UACCUUGCGUUAUAAAAUGAAGAUUAAGGACUUCUUUGUUGGUGGUUUUUCUUUAAGCAAUUGCUGGUAGUUGGUUCCAGACUCCCUUUUUGUUAAGCUGUCACAGAUGUCUUUGCUGUAUGUCUUUGUGCCCUUGUAGUUUUAGUGGGUUGGAUGUAUCGAGUACUUAUUUACCUGAAACAAAAUGCAUCUCCUGUUUCUCUUUCUUCUAAUUUCCUUUCCUGUGACUCGCAGUAUUUCUUUAAUCUCUACCUUUUGAUUUUCAUCAACAAAAUGACGUGAACAAUAGAAAACGUUAAAAAUUCAGACUUGUGCUCGCUAGCUCCUCUAGAGAAGUUCAGAGAUCUUUAAGCAAUUUACUGAAGUUUCAUCCCAGAUUGAUUUAUCAUACUCAUACACUUACUCUCUCACAUAGUAUCAUUUUUUUAUUGUCGAGAAUAUCAUAUGAAAAGUAUUAUAGUACUACAUGCUCUGCUCUAUGAUCCGUGAACUUUUGUACAAGAGAAUGGAAAAGGUGACAACACCAUUCAUGCCUUCACAACAGCAACCACCAAGAAUCUUCUUCUCUUCUCUAACAGUUAUGAUGUAUUUUGUUGUUUUCUUCUAGCUCACCGCAAGAUAUACAAAAACUAAAGAAACCAUGAGUUGCACGUACCUGAUAUCUUGAGAUGAAGAUGACAUUGACGGUCAUCGAUCUCGGCUCAGCUGCUUGCGAUUUCACAGCUAUAUGCUUGAGAUGAAGAUGAAGAUGUUUGGCCAGUUUUGUUUCUUAGCUGUUUGCUUUAUCGUUUCACACCAGAGUUAUUUUUACUUAUCCAACUUUUUUUAUUUGUAUCAAACUGAAAUUAAUACAAACAUAUGUUGUACUACAUCUUAAGCUCUACAUGAUCCAUUGUGCAACUUGAUAACAUAUGACGCAUCCAGCCAUAUUAACUUGUUCAUCAUUCAACUAGAACACAAAACUCAGCCACUCAUGCGUGCAUCACCUAUCCUAUUACUACAUGCCGCCUAAAUUGGGCGAAUCAUCCCCAUGCCACCAUCUUGAACCAGCCAUAGAACCCGGUAGCUCUACUCAAUUUAUUGAGCACCAGGUUCGGAUUGAAUGGGUAGCCAGAAGAAUGGGUAGCAAACAAUUGAGGAAUUUUAUUUGCUAAAAACCAUAUAGUUGUGACAAUGCCUAUAAAACUUUGUGUCAAACAUAUUAUUUAUUUUUUUAUUUAUUGUGAGAAAACUUUCAAUCUAUUCAUCUUUAAUCAUGGCAGUAUGACGAACAUCGGAAAUAGUAAAAAUUACAUCAAUAUCUGUAGACCACCUAGCGACGACUACAAGCACUAAAGCGAGUCGAAGGCGCGCCGCCGUCAUCGCCCCUCCCUCGCCGGAGCCGGUUAAAACUUGUUGUAGUAGACAAUCGGAAAGUCGUCGUGUUAAGACCCUGUAGGACCAGCACACCAGAACAAUAGCCUCCGCCGUUGAAGAGUAGCGUAUAUUAGAAGGAUCAAAUCUGAAGACAGACGAACGUAGACGAACUACGACCAGAUCCGAGCAAAUCCACUAAGGACGGAUCCGUUAGAGACACACCUCCACACGCCCACCGGCGAUGCUAUAUAUCAUCGGGACGGGGCCUAGGUUGGGAGAACAUUAUUCCAUCUUCAGAAAGCCGCAGUCUUCUCGUCUUCCUGAGCAGGAUACAAAUCCUAACAAAACUCGAAAGAACAUCUAAAGCGGAGCCCUCCCACCGGCAAAACAUAUUAUAAAUACUAAAAGUGGUGGAAGGUCAAAAGUCGCUAAAAUAACUCGCCACGGUAGUCGAGCAAAGUGGCAAGGAAAGAAUAGAUGUUGAAUAGAUUCAUCCUCGCAAUUUGUUUCCUUUUCGAUUUUUGACAAGUUUUUUGAACCCUGAACCGUAGAACAAUUGUUCUAGCACCUGGGCCAAUUGAUGAGGUAGUUGCUCAUUUAUCCACUGACAAGGCACCUGGGCCAGAUGGAUUUAAUGGAAACUGUUGGAAUAUUAUUUCUAAGGACUUUUAUGAGCUUAUUCAAGGCUUUCACCAAGGAAAAAUCAAGCUUCAAAGCAUCAACAACUCCUACAUCACACUCAUCCCAAAGAAAGAUAAUCCUGUGACAUCAAAUGAUUUUAGGCCAAUAUCUCUGCUUAACUGCACUGUCAAAAUCAUGACCAAGCUUCUUGCCAAUAGACUCCAAAAGAUCAUUCUCAAGUUGGUGCAUAUUAACCAAUAUGGUUUCUUGAAGGAAAAUUCUAUUCAGGACUGAGCAUGGGCAUUUGAAUAUUUGCACCAAUGCCAACAAUCAAGACAAGAGAUUAUCAUCCUGGAAUUGGAUUUACCGAAAAAGGGUUACCCCCGCUUUGUAUUCCAAAACAACCAACACCGAUACAUAGAUCGCUGGGGCGAGCAGCACAACAAGCCCAAAAGAAAAAAGAAGAAGAAACAAAUGCCAACAAUGGCAGCUCAACAAAGCGUGGAUGACUCGCCACCGCUGAGCCCACCGGAAACAAACCAUCAUAACCUGAGGCUUCGAUCCGCCGCGUGCCAAGCAGCACCCCCAAGAAGGAAUGCGACGCCGACGACGCUGCUGCUCGGACGGGUCCUAGGGUUUCCCCCGGCACGCAGAGGGAGUUGGGGGUGGAUAACAAUGACACCCUCCAGGAAGGAAUGGUGGCACCCGCAGGCGUCACCGCAUCGAAGCCUAAGACCGGCAAGGAUUUCUCCCACACUCCAAACCCCGCCGCCCGACCGAACCGGAGCCGACCAGCCAAACCUCCGCCCACCACCUUGCGCCAUCUCGGCUGCGCCACCACCCAUGCCGCCUCACUGCGAACACCACCACGAGGCCAAGAGACCCGAAGAGAAACGCCAAACGAUGGAAGCAGCGGCACUGUUACCGAGCAGGAGGGACCCACCUCCCCCGCCAACGUGCGGGAGGCCCGAGCCCCCGGCUCUGUCGCGGUCGCCAUCCGGACGCGGCAGCAGGGCACACCAGGCCACCCCUGGCCUGGCUGGGCCCAAACAAGCCCGCAAAGCCCCGCCGGCCACGUUGCAGCAAUUCGGUAUCCACGUCGCCGGCCCGCAGCCGCUCGCUGCCACACCCCAGCCUCCUGGAGGUCGCACCGUAGGCUCACCCCGCCGCCGGCCCGCCCAGGCCCAGAUGGGCCCCGAAGGGCCCAGAUCUGGGCCGAGCGGGCGCCGCGAGGACGCGCCGCCGCGCUACCCCACCGCCAACGGUGACGCCGCCAUCCAGCCAUCCGCCCGCGUAGCGCCAGGACCCCCCCGCCACGCCGGACCGCCGCCGCCUAGGGACACUGCCCCAGCCCGCUCCGUCCCGCGCCAGAGGAAGCCGAGAGGGGAAAAGCGAGGGGGCCACCGCCGCCAGCGUCGCCCGGGCCAGGCCCUGCGGAGGGGAGGGAAUGAGGAGGGAGGGGCGCUGGAGAAGAAGACCGGGGCACGGCGGGUCGCCCGCGGGGGCGACGCGGUCGCGAGAGCCCGAGGGGGUUUCUAGCUCUGAAAUUGGAUUUUGAAAAAGCCUUUGAAUUAAUUGAUCAUGAGUUUUUUUGAACAUCAUGAGAGCUAGAGGUUUUGGUUAGAAGUGGAUUAGUUGGAUCCAAAACAUCUUUGACUCAGGUACUUCUGUUGUUCUCCUAAAUGGAAUCCUAGGGAAAAUUAUACACUACAAAAGAGGGGUCAGACAAGGAGAUUCUCUAUCUCCGUUAUUAUUUGUCGUUGUUGUUGACCUCCUACGAUCAAUUGCCAAUGAAGCCAUGAGAAAUAACAUUAUCUCUGCCCCUUUGCAUAUCAACUCAUGCCCAGAUUUUCCUGUAAUACAAUAUGCGAAUGGCACUAUGGCCCUGUUUGUUUGGGCUUUUGCUUCUGCUUUUGCAACUUUUCCACUUUGGUCAAAAAGCCAUAAAAGCUCCUAAAUAGGUGCUUUUAGAGCUUUUAUGGCUUUUGGAGCUGAAUAUUGUUAUAUUGAUUCAUCAAAAGCCAAAAAAACUCCAAAAGCACCUAUUUAGGAGCUUUUAUGGCUUUUUGGACAAAGUGGUGCUAGCUGAUAUAACCAAAGUAUGUCAAGUCAGAAACCUGCCGCUACACUUUGCUGCUCGAACAAGCCUUAAGGUGAACUAUAACAAAUCUAUGAUCAUUCCAAUCAAUGUGGGUACUGAUAAGCUUGAACUCAUUAAAGAUACUCUGGGAUGCCAGUUGGGUUAUUUCCCCUUCACCUAUCUUGAACUGCCCCUCGGUACCUAUAAAUUGAAGAUUGAGGAUUUUACUACAAUGAUGCAAAGAAUUGAAAGAAUAAUUUUUGGAUGCUCAACACUAGUCUGAUGGCAGAUUGCGAUUAAUUAAAUCAGUUUAUACAUCUCUUCCAACAUACUUAAUGUGUUGCUUAGCAUUGCCAAUGGGAGUGGUAGAACAAAUCAAUAAGUAUCUUAGACGUUGUUUAUGGAGAAAAUUUGGUACUGCUGAAACAUGAACUGCAAUGAUUUCCCGGGAUUUUGUCUGCAAACCAAAAACUCAUGGAGGACUAGUUGUUUUGGAUUUGGUCAGUCAGAAUAAAAGCACUUUUGCUGAAAAAUCUUGACAAAUUCUUCAACAAAGAUAAUCUGCCUUGGGCAAAUAUGAUUUGGGAAACAUAUUAUGCAGAAUCACUAUGACGCCCCCGAUUCAAUCGUACGCUAAUCAUACACGCAAAUGUGUACGAUCAAGAUCAGGGACUCACGGGAAGGUAUCACAACACAACUCUAGACACGAAUUAAAAUAAUACAAGCUUUAUAUUACAAGCCAGGGGCCUCGAGGGCUCGAAUACAUAAGCUCGAAAACACAAGAGUCAGCGGAAGCAACAAUAUCUGAGUACAGACAUAAGUUAGACAAGUUUGCCUUAAGAAGGCUGGCACAAAAGCAAUAUCGAUCGAAAAGGCAAGGCCUCCUGCCUGGGAGCCUCCUAACUACUCCUGGUCGUCGCGGUCUUCAUGAGGUAGUAGGCACCCUCGUGGUAGUAGUAGUAGUAGUCGUCGUCGAAGGUGACGUCUGGCUCCUGGACUCCACCAUCUGGUUGCAACAACCAGAAAGAAGAAAGAAGGGGGAAAAGGGGUAGCAAAGCAACCGUGAGUACUCAUCCAAAUUACUCGCAAGCAAGGAUCUACACUACAUAUGCAACAUUAUCAAAGAAAGGUUGUAUAUGUGGACUGGGCUGCAGAAAUGCUAGAAUAGAGAGAAGGCCUAGUCCUACUGAAGACUAGCAUCUUCUGGAAACCACCAUCCCGUAGCAACAGGAGGGAGUAGAGUAGCAUAAAGUAAAGUAGUAGUAGUGUUAUCAACCUCGGCCAGAGAUCCUUUCUCGACUCCCUACGAGAAAGAAAUCCCAGAGCCCUACUAUCCAUUUGUCAUCACAAUUCAAUUCUCGUCACCAUCCAAUUCUCAUCACAAGUAUCCAGUUCUAGUUGUAUCGAUCGGGAUACAACUCCGAGCGUCCGUUACCGUAGGACAGGCUAUCGAUAGAUGUUUUCUUCCCUGUAGGGGUGCACCAACUUACCUACCACGCUCGAUUAACUCCGGCCGGACACACUUUCCUGGGUCAUGCCCGGCCUCGGCCAAACAAUACGCCGCAACCCGACCUAGGCUUAAUAGAGAGGUCAGCACACCGGGUUAAACCUAUGCCCCCAGGGGUCAUGGGCCAUCUCCCCGGGAACUCCUGCAUGUUGCGUGGGCGGCCGGUGAGCAGACCUAGCUACCUCCUUAAAAAAGGUAGGAGCUUACCAGUCCAACCCGGCGCGCGCCGCUCAGUCGCUGACAUCUAAUAAGCUUCGGCUGAUGCAUACGACGCAGAACGCCCAUACUAUGCCCACGUGAUGGUUAGUGCUAUCAGGCCAGAGGCCCCUUGGAUCAAAUAUCCAAAUCGUAGUGGAUUAGGAACGUGCGGUAAUAAGCAGAGACUCACGAAAGAUGUGACCCCGUUGCCCCAUCUCGAGGACUUGCGGCAAGGGCUAAGAAUGCCCGGCCACGCCUCGUAUUCGACUCUCGGGUACCCUCCAGGUCAACCCGUCUCCACAUCACUCGCAAUUAUGCUUGCGCGGGUAGCCCUCAGGGUCGACCCGUCUUUAGUAACAUGGUUCAGUGUAAAGUCAUAGUGAUCAUAGUAACUUUGUGUCUAAACAUCAAGGGGAAAACCCGAGGAAUCACCCGGUGAAUUCCACUCGAUGUAAUCAUCAAGGUGAACAUUAGAGGAAUCACCCCCGAGGUUCACACUUGAGGGGUUGCACGACAGAGUCGUAACGGAAGUGGUUAAGGCGGAAUCACCCUCGAUGACCACGACCGAAUAGCUACACUACAGGGUUAAUAUCAGAAGUGCUGUAGAGGUCUCAUCCUCGACACUCGAUAGUAACCCAGUAGUGUCGAGCAACUAAGGGGAAGUGAUGUGCGGUGCCGGGGCCUGGUCUUCGACCCCGUUGAUCGGGUCUUCGAUGAUGAAGCAGGGGCAACAAGGACACGGUGGGGGUCACUGAUGGAUCACUAACCAACUUAUACUAAGCAGUUUAGGAUAAGCAUGUAAGGUACAACAGCAGAUACAAAAGCAGGCUAUGCAUCAGAAUAGGAGAAAACAAUUACAGUAGCAAAAUCUAAUGCAAGCAUGAGAUAAAGGAAAAGGGCGAUAUCGGGAUGAUCAAAGGGGGGGCUUGCCUGGUUUCUAUGGCAAGGAGGGGUCGUCGUCGACGUAGUCGAUCACAGGGGCAGCAUCGGUCUCAGGGUCUACCAGAGAGAAGAGGGGGAAGAAAUCGUAAAUAUAAAGCAAACAUAGCAUAACAGGACAACAAGCAGAGUUAGACGUGUUCUAACAUGGUGCUACACGAUAACGGCGAGGGGGGGAAGUCAACCGGGAAUGUUUUCCCGGUUCCGGACCUGUGUCAGACAGACGACCGGAGGGGGAAAGUUCCAUGUUCAGCAUGCUAGGGGCAUGUGACAGAUGAACUGACCGCGUAUUUGGAUUCGUUGGAUUUUUCUGAGCAACUUUCAUGUAGAAAACAUUUUCAUCUGAGUUACGGUUUAUUUUCUAUGAAUUAUCAAAUAUUAAACCAUUUUUUGAAUUUAUUUAUAUUAAAAAAAUAUGACAUAAGCAUGAUGUGUUGAUGAUGUCAGCAGUCAACUGGUUAGUUGACCAGGUCAAACCUGACCUGUUGGUCUAGGGGGACCCACAUGUCAGCGACUGCGGCACUAACAGUUGAUUAAAUUGACUAACAAAAGUAAUUAGGGGUGUGGGCCACACUAGUUAGUGACUGAUUAGUGAUUAAAACUAAUUAAUAGAUUAAUUAAUAUUUUAUUUAUUUACAAAACCUGUUAAUUAGUGCGGGGCCCACAUGUCAGUGGGCAGAGUGCCCAGUCAGCAGUUGACCCAGUCAACUGGGUCAACUAGGAUCCACGGGGCCCAGCGGCAGUGUCACAGCGGGCCCACUUGCCAGGUCACGUCGGCGACGACAUGAGACUCGACGCCGUCGACCAAAACUACGGCGGCGCGGCCUCGGAUGUGGCCGGAAAAAUGUGCUUCGGCCACAAGCGGAGACCAAACCGCGUCAAACCGUCAUGGUCUCGCGGCCAGGGAGGCUCUACGCCGACGACGGCGAGCACAUCGGUGGCGGAGCUCGCGGGUGCGCUACGGGGAGGCUGCUGCGGUGCGAAUUUGCGUGCGCGUUCGGGCUCAUUCAAACGCGGGAACAUCACCGCGUCGUUCUAACCCAACGGCGCUGGCUAUGGUGGUCGGAAGCGACGGUAGCGACGAGUUCGGGCGGCGGACAGGAAAAAAAGCGGCUGCGAGCUAGCUACGGUGAUGCACAAGGCACAAGGAGAGGAAAGGAGGGAGGGAGGAGCUCACCGAGUGGCUCACGGUGGCCUGUGGUCAGUUUAGUAGCAGCAGAGCUCUACGCAGACGGGGGCGCAUCGGUGGUCGACGGGGAGGCGACCUCGAAGCCGAAGAUGCGGGGCCUCUCCGGCUCCUGCUGUUGGGCGAUAGGACGAGGCCAAGGCCCGUGCAGCUACUGAACGCCCUGUCGUAGCCCAGGGUGGCGCCGGAGCGCGCGGACAACGGCAGGCGGCAUCAGGAGGGGCUUCGAUGAGGCGGGGGAUCUGAGGAGGGAAGGCCGAGAGGGAGAGGGAGGGGGACGGAGAGGCGGGAGUGGCGGUAGGUGAGGGGGAGGACUUGAGGCGUCCGGGGGCGUGGAGGCCUUAUCCUCUCGCGGGGGUCGUCAUCGGNNNNNNNNNNNNNNNNNNNNNNNNNNNNNNNNNNNNNNNNNNNNNNNNNNNNNNNNNNNNNNNNNNNNNNNNNNNNNNNNNNNNNNNNNNNNNNNNNNNNNNNNNNNNNNNNNNNNNNNNNNNNNNNNNNNNNNNNNNNNNNNNNNNNNNNNNNNNNNNNNNNNNNNNNNNNNNNNNNNNNNNNNNNNNNNNNNNNNNNNNNNNNNNNNNNNNNNNNNNNNNNNNNNNNNNNNNNNNNNNNNNNNNNNNNNNNNNNNNNNNNNNNNNNNNNNNNNNNNNNNNNNNNNNNNNNNNNNNNNNNNNNNNNNNNNNNNNNNNNNNNNNNNNNNNNNNNNNNNNNNNNNNNNNNNNNNNNNNNNNNNNNNNNNNNNNNNNGCUGGGCCUGGCCGGCUGGGCCUGUCUCUGUGGCCUUAGGCCCAGGGGCAAGGGGGGUCCCUUUUCCUUCUUCUUCUUUUUUGCAUUUCUAUUUCUUUUCUCUUUUUACAGAAUGCUUUGCAAAUUUUUGGAGCUGCCAAAAGGAUUCUAUAAAAUGUGGGACUUGGCCACAUAAUUACAAUGCAAUGUUUGACACAGCCACAAAAAGUUUGGAAGAAAUUUGAAUUAGAUGGAAUUUGCAAAAAGAUGGAAAAGCAAUUAAUUUGCUGAGUGGCACUGUUUUAAUUUGCUAUAGUCCAUCUUAGCUUGGAGGUGAUGUUGUUUUCCUUAACAGUCAUUUGUUAUGGAAUAUUUACUAAAUGAUGGACUAUUUUGCAACAACUUUUGUGCAACUUCAAAAAUCACUUGCAAAUUGAAUUUGAUUCCAAAGUGGAAUUUCAAAUGAGAUUUGAAUCAAAGGUGAUUAAGCACUGUUUGGAAAAAUGAUUAGCUUAAUCACAGUGGGUUACUGUAGCAUGACACUGGGGGUGUUACAAAUCUCCUCCACUACAAGAAAUCUCGUCCCGAGAUUUAAGAGGUGGAGUAAGGGGUAAGACUCGGAAAGGAAGGAGCUCAACACAAGAUAGGUAUGUGGGGAUUAUGUGAGUGAACGUGGCAUAGAGGCAUCUCUCGAGUUAAAAUUCAAGAAAGUCAUCGAGAGCAAGGUGAGGUGCAAUAAGAAGCUUCAACUUGGUAGAGAAUCGUUUGUUGCCUGAAACAAGGGGGGUGAAAGGGGUUUAGAGCAAUGGUAAUAAGUAUCGUGUCUGAUACCAGAAUAGAUCGCCUCUGAGAAGGUCGGGAUUUUUCAUAUGAAGCCAAGUGUGAGAAAUAACCUUAGAAACAAGCGUGUACAGGAGAGCCAGGUUUCGAUCUUGUGGAACUGUGUGUUAUGGGCCCACCAUAUGGUUUAAAAGUAGAAAGAGCGGUGACAUGUUACACGGUUAUGAUAGCAAGCUUUGUCGGAGGAUAGUCUGUCAGUUAUGUUGGCAACCACGUUGAUACCAAGGGCGAGGGACGAAGAGAACCAUAUUCCUGCUCGUUGAACGAGGCGGACCAAUCGGCAAGGUUCACGUCCAUCGGUGGUUACCGAAUGUCAUCAACAAUAGUAACAGGGUCUCACUGACAAGGUUGUACAUCGGGGCGUUUUAUAAGCAGGGAAUUAUUUCUGCUUAUAUCAUAUAGAUCACAAGAAGGUUAAACAAGCCAAUGGAAAGGAAAAUGUGGUUAUUAGAUUAAUCAGAACAUUGGAAAGGAAAUGUGUUUACACACAAGAAUUGAGAGUAUAUCCUUCCCAAGGGGAAGCGGAGCAGGAUAUACAUGAUAUGACAGCAAGUUCAAAAGCACUUAGAUAAAGAGGGCGAGGGGAUAAUCAUGAUAUUACCCAUACAACGGUUUUUGGAUUAAUAGAUCAAGAACAGUUAGCAUUGUGCUCCCAAUGUUCUUAUUGAUGAUCAGAGUAUCACACACAUGCUUCGGGAUAGUGUUGGCAUGGUCAUCAGGGAAAGGUCAGACUUCGGAUACACAAAGAAUCCAUCGGAACAACUUAUAAAAUAAGUCAUACAAUUCCCGCAAGAAAAAGAUGAUUUUGUGACCGGCGGGCUCAGGAACAAUUCAUCGAGGGGGCAAGGAUGGUAUUUCUCAUCAUGAAUUAGAUUGAUAUCCUAGAACAGCUCGGAAUGUUGGUGAUGAUCACGACACAUUUGUCGAGAGAUUUCAUGAAGAUGCAAUCGAUCGGCGGUGACAUCAAGUCAAAGGAAUGAUGACGCGAAAGGUUAUUGAAACCAUGAGUACGACACAAAGUCGAAAUCAAACUUUCUGUUCAAGGUGAAAUGAUAUGACGUGAAAGAUCGAUGUAAGCUUAUCUUAACAUCAAAAAUUAUGCUCCGGGAAGAAGGACCAGGUAGCAUAGUUAAAAUUUAGCACAAUAAUGACAUAGUCGGCCAGGCUAGGAAUGACUAGAAGGAUUAUUAAACUCGUAAGCAAUGAAAAUUACUUAGAGUUAUAGAAUCGGAGUGCGGAAUCGAUUCAACUGAUUCACUUAUCGGUGUCCUCGAGUGAUUAAUAACUCAGGUCCCGGGGGAAAUCUGAAAUCGGUGAGAAGCAAUACUAGAUGAAGACUCAUAGGAAGCAACACAGUUCUUUGAUAUUCUCGAGAUACCGGAGGGUAAUACUUGAAGGAAGAUCAAAAUAGAGGUUGUGGAUUCGCAUUGAUCUGCAGAAGACAAGUGCGUGAACUUGUCCAAGAAAUGGAAUCGAAGGGGAACAAUCAUGGUCAGAACCACGGUUGCAAAGGACCAAUCCUAGAUACCAGAUGAACUUAUAACAAGGGGAUUAUUAUUAUCACAAGAAGCUUCCAUGAUAAGUGCCACAUCGGGUCCAUGGGCAUGAACACAAAGUUCAAGGUCGACUCCCACUUCUUCAAUGCAUAACCUUUCAUUCACUCCUCAUUUUUCGAAGAAAUUGUAGUGCAGAGGAUUUAUCUGCCGAAGUACCAGAAGAGUAAGACUCGGGAGAACUCUCGGGUUCACACGGAUUAUGGAAGCAUAAGUUCAACCCAUCGGGGCAUUUUUACGAAUCUAUACAACCAUCAACCAAGCAAAAGAUACGAGUUCAAAAGUAAGUAUCGGAGUCAAAGCAGAUGAUACAAUUUACCGAAGGUAUUAUGUAUCAGGGAAAAACUCACAAGACUUUGGAUGUGAAGGACAUUGUCGGAUAACAACCCAGCAAUGGAUCUAGCGAUUCACGACAGAGUUGAUGUGAGUAUCGAUAAUCAAUCAGAUGAAGAAGGGGAUGUAAAUGCAUCAGCUUAUAGAAACAUCUGAAUGAUUCAAUGCUUGGGUACAAAGGAAUUAUGAUUUCAAGACAAAGGAUCAGAAGCAGAGGCUCUGAUCAAAAGAUGAGUAAGUUGAAUAGACUUAGAGGUGUACCCGAUCAAAUCUGGAUUGGGCAAGAACCAGCUCAUAUCUCGAAGGAUGUCUGAGCCGGAAAGAAAAUUUCCAAGGAUUGAUUGAUGAUUGCGAGUAUUAGCACACAAGCUGAAUCCAUAGGCACAUAAUGACAAUCACAAAGAAUUUUAAAGAAUAUUGCUAGACAUAUGGAAUUAAUCCUAAUGCAAGCCGGCAAGGAGAAUCAAGAGCAAUAGGUUGCAAAGGAUUUUGAAAGAUCAGAUAGCCUUUUCAGGUAUUAGGAAAGCAAAUGAACAACUGGGGAUGAACGAACCCCGAUUAAGCAAAUUAUCCGCAGUUCGAAAAGAAGCUGCAAAGAACAAGGCCACAAAGGAUUCUCGGAACAACGGAGAGUACUAGUGGUAUCUCGUAAUAACAGGAGCAACUAGGGAUGAAGGUACAAGCGACAAGGAUGUUAUUCAGGGGGGUUAUCAGUGGUCAAGAACUACAAGGCAGUUGGCACAGGGUCUCGAGAAACAUCGAGGAGUAUCCGCAGAAUCUUCUGGCGAAGCAAGCAAUCAUCGAUAAUGUUGGGGCUCUCCGGGAGGAAGUGGGUACGAGAACCUAAUGUCAGAGUUAGUAAAAUGUUUAACCCGAAUAGACGAGAGAUCAGAGUCCCAGAGUAUAGACGAGGAAUAAAAGAUCCUAAUACCACCCAAUGGCAACGUGGGCCCGUAAGCCACACAGCCAUGUUAGUAAAAGUUUUUGUAGUGACUAGACUCGACUUUGGCCAAGGAGUUGGAAAGGGAGCUACCUAUAGGCAGUCGGCUCUGAUACCAACUUGUGACGCCCCCGAUUCAAUCGUACACUAAUCAUACACGCAAAUGUGUAUGAUCAAGAUCAGGGACUCACGGUAAGGUAUCACAACACAACUCUAGACACAAAUUAAAUAAUACAAGCUUUAUAUUACAAGCCAGGGGCCUCGAGGCUCGAAUACAUAAGGUCGAAAACACAAGAGUCAGCGGAAGCAACAAUAUCUGAGUACAGACAUAAGUUAGACAAGUUUGCCUUAAGAAGGCUAGCGCAAAAGCAACAUCGAUCGAAAAGGCAAGGCCUCCUACCUGGGAGCCUCCUAACUACUCCUGGUCGUCGCGGUCUUCAUGAGGUAGUAGGCACCCUCGUGGUAGUAGUAGUUGUCGUCGAAGGUGACGUCUGGCUCCUGGACUCCACCAUCUGGUUGCAACAACCAGAAAGAAGAAAGAAGGGGGAAAAGGGGUAGCAAAGCAACCGUGAGUACUCAUCCAAAUUACUUGCAAGCAAGGAUCUACACUACAUAUGCAACAUUAUCAAAGAAAGGUUGUAUAUGUGGACUGGGCUGCAGAAAUGCCAGAAUAGAGAGAAGGCCUAGUCCUAUCGAAGACUAAUAUCUUCUGGAAACCACCAUCUUGCAGCAACAGGAGGGAGUAGAGUAGGAUAAAGUAAAGUAGUACUAGUGUUAUCAACCUCGGCCAGAGAUCCUUUCUCGACUCCCUACGAGAAAGAAAUCCCAGAUCCCUACUAUCCAUUUGUCAUCACAAUUCAAUUCUCAUCACCAUCCAAUUCUCAUCACAAGUAUCCAGUUCUAGUUGUAUCGAUCGGGAUACAACUCCGAGCAUCUGUUACCGUAGGACAGGCUAUCGAUAGAUGUUUUCUUCCCUGCAGGGGUACACCAACUUACCCACCACGCUCGAUUAACUCCGGCCGGACACACUUUCCUGGGUCAUGCCCGGCCUCGGCGAAACAAUACGCCGCAACCCGACCUAGGCUUAAUAAAGAGGUCAGCACACCGGACUAAACCUAUGCCCCCAGGGGUCAUGGGUCAUCUCCCCGGGAACUCCUGCACAUUGCGUGGGCGGCCGGUGAGCAGACCUAGCUACCUCCUUAAAAAAGGUAGGAGCUUACCAGUCCAACCCGGCGCGCGCCGCUCAGUCGCUGACGUCUAAUAAGCUUCAGCUGAUGCAUACGACGCAGAACGCCCAUACUAUGCCCACAUGAUGGUUAGUGCUAUCAGGCCAGAGGCCCCUCGGAUCAAAUAUCCAAAUCAUAGUGGAUUAGGAACGCGCGGUAACAAGCAGAGACUCACGAAAGAUGUGAUCCCCGUUGCCCCGUCUCAAGGACUUGUGGCAAGGGCUAAGAAUGCUCGGCCACGCCUCGUAUUCGACUCUCGGGUACCCUCCAGGUCAACCCGUCUCCACAUCACUCGCAAUUAUGCUCGCGCGGGUACCCCUCAGGGUCGACCCAUCUUUAGUAACAUGGUUCAGUGUAAAGUCAUAGUAAUCAUAAUAACUGUGUGUCUAAACAUCAAGGGGAAAACCCGAGGAAUCACCCCCGAUGAAUUCCACUCGAUGUAAUCAUCAAGGUGAACGUAAGAGGAAUCACCCCCGAGGUUCACACUUGAGGGGUUGCACGACAGAGUCGUAACGGAAGUGGUUAAGGCGGAAUCACCCUGAUGACCACGACCAAAUAGCUACACUAUAGGGUUAACAUCAGAAGUGCUGUAGAGGUCUCACCCUCGGCACUCGAUAGUAAUCCAGUAGUGUUGAGAAACUAAGAGGAAGUGAUGUGCGGUGCCGGGGCCUGGUCUUCGAUCCCGUUGAUCGGGUCUUCGAUGAUGAAGUAGGGGCAACAAGGACAAGGUGGGGGUCACUGAUGGAUCACUAACCAACCUAUACUAAGCAGUUUAGGAUAAGCAUGUAAGGUACAACAGCAGAUACAAAAGCAGGCUAUGCAUCAGAAUAGGAGCAAACAAUUACAGUAGCAAAAUCUAAUGCAAGCAUGAGAGAAAGGAAAAGGACGAUAUCGGGAUGAUCAAAGGGGGGCUUGCCUGGUUUCUAUGGCAAGGAGGGGUCGUCGUUGACGUAGUCGAUCACAGGGACAACAUCGGUCUCAGGGUCUACCGGAGAGAAGAGGGGGAAGAAAAAGUAAAUAUAAAGCAAACAUAGCAUAACAGGACAACAAGCAGAGCUAGACGUGUUCUAACGUGGUGCUACACGAUAACGGCGAGGGGGGAAGUCAACCGGGAAUGUUUUCCCGGUUCCGGACGUGUGUCAGACAAACGACCGGAGGGGGAAAGUUCCAUGUUCAGCAUGCUAGGGGCAUGUGACAGAUGAACGGACCGCGUAUUCGGAUUCGUUGGAUUUUUCUGAGCAACUUUCAUGUAGAAUACAUUUUCAUCUGAGUUACGGUUUAUUUUUUGUGAAUUUUCAAAGAUUAAACCAUUUUUUGAAUUUAUUUAUAUUAACAGAAAAUAAUAUGACGUCAGCAUGAUGUGUUGAUGACGUCAGCAGUCAACUGGUCAGUUGACCAGGUCAAACAUGACCUGUGGGUCCAGGGGGACCCACACGUCAGCGACUGCGGCACUAACAGUUGAUUAAAUUGACUAACAAAACUAAUUAGGGGUGUGGGCCGCACUAGUCAAUGACUGAUUAGUGAUUAAAACUAAUUAAUAGAUUAAUUAACAUUUUAUUUAUUUAUAAAACCUGUUAAUUAGCGCGGGGCCCACAUGUCAGUGGGCAGAGUGCCCAGUCAGCAGUUGACCCAGUCAACUGGGUCAACUAGGAUCGGCGGGGCCCAGCGGCAGUGUCACAGGGGGCCCACUUUCCAGGUCACGUCGGCGACGACAGGAGACUCGACGCCGUCGACCAAAACUGCGGCGGCGCGUUCUAAAGCGGAGACCAAACCACGUCAAACCGUCAUGGUCUCGCGACCAGGGAGGCUCUACGCCGACGACGAGCACGUCGGCGGCGGAGCUCGCAGGUGCGCUACGGGGAGGCGGCUGCGGUACGAAUUUGCGCGCGCGUUCGGGCUCAUUCAAACGCGGGAACAUCACCGCGUCGUUCUAACCCAACGGCGCCGGCAAUGGUGGUCGGAAGCGACGGUAGCGACGAGUUCGGGCGGCGGACAGAAAAAAAAGCGGCGGCGAGCUAGCUACGGUGAUGCACAAGGCGCGAGGAGAGGAAAGGAGGGAGGGAGGAGCUCACCGAGUGGCUCACGGUGGUUUGUGGUCAGUUUAGUAGCAGCAGAGCUAGACGCAGACGGGGGCGCGUCGGUGGUCGACAGGGAGGCGACCUCGAAGCCGAAGACGCGGGGCCUCUCCGGCUCCUACUGUUGGGCGAUGGGACGAGGCCAAGGCCCGUGCAGCUACUGAAUGCCCUAGCGCAGCCCAGGGUGGCGCUGGAGCGCGCGGACAACGGCGGGCGGCGUCAGGAGGGGGUUCGGUGAGGCGGGGGAUCUGAGGAGGGAAGGACGAGAGGGAGAGGGAGGUGGACGGAGAGGCGGGAGUGGCAGUUGGUGAGGGGGAGGACUCGAGGCGUCCGGGGGCGUGGAGGCCUUAUCCUCUCGUGGGGGUCGUCGCCGGCGAGGUAGUUCGGCGGCGACCAGCCUCCUGUAGCGACGCGCACCGGGGGAACAGUGGGGGAGACGACCGGGGCGGGGAGCUGGCCCUAGCCGACUGGGCCUGUCUCUGUGGCCUUAGGCCCAGGGGCAAGGGGGGUCCCUUUUCCUUCUUCUUCUUUUUUGCAUUUCUAUUUCUUUUCUCUUUUUACAGAAUGCUUUGCAAAUUUUUGGAGCUGCCAAAAGGAUUCUGUAAAAUGUGGGACUUGGCCACAUAAUUACAAUGCAAUGUCUGACACAACCACAAAAAGUUUGGAAGAAAUUUGAAUUAGAUGGAAUUUGCAAAAAGAUGGAAAAGCAAUAAAUUUGCUGAGUGGCACUGUUUUAAUUUGCUAUAGUCCAUCUUAGCUUGGAGGUGAUGUUGUUUUUCUUAACAAUCAUUUGUUAUGGAAUAUUUACUAAAUGAUGGACUAUUUUGCAACAACUUUUGUGCAACUUCAAAAAUCACUUGCAAAUUGAAUUUGAUUCCAAAGUGGAAUUUCAAAUGAGAUUUGAAUCAAAGGUGAUUAAGCACUGUUUGGAAAAAUGAUUAGCUUAAUCACAGUGGGUUACUGUAGCAUGACACUGGGGGUGUUACAAUCACGACCUACUGGCAAACUAGAAGGAUCUUUCUGGUGAAAAUCUCUCUUAAAGCUAAUACCUCUAUACAAGGAAACUGUCAUCUCCACUGUGAAAUCUAGAAAAAAAAAUUAUUCUAGGAUGACAGAUCGAAAGGAUAGACAUUGGCAAUUCAAUAUCCUGAGCUUCACUCUUUUGCUAUCCAUACUAGAAAAAUUGUGGCACAUGUGCUGAAUGGGCAAGAUUUUGCUGAAAAUAUUCAUAGGCCUGUCUCAACUCAAACCCAUGACCAACUCAUCAAUGUCAAUCAAGCAAUAGAUCAAAUUUCCCUAGAUGAAGGAAAUGACUGUUGGCAUUAUUACUGGAUAGGAAAUAACUAUUCUUCCAGGCAAAUGUAUAAGUACAUCAUGGGCACCUCUGAUUCCCACUGUAUCUUUAAAUGGCUCUGGAAAAGUGCAAAUAGAGUCAGACACAAAAUCUUCUUUUGAUUGGCUCUUUAUGAUAGAGUGAGUACAAGGGGUCUUCUGGAAAGAAAAUCUUUCCACAUCCUCUCCUUCAAUUGUGCCCUAUGAAUGAAAACUGUGAGGAAAAUAUUUUGGGAUAAUUGAUUUUAUGCCCCUAGUUGGGUCACACUCGGCAGUUUUACCCCUAGUUUCCGAAAACACCCGUUCCUGUCCAAACCAUUUUGCUCAUCUUAUGCUUUUGCCCUUCCGUCUGAAUUCCGCCCAGUCAAAGGCGUUUGACCGUUAGAGAGACAGUUUUGUGGACCAUUUUGCCCCUCCUUACAACUUCGGUUUAAAUUCAAAGAAAAAACAUUGUGACGCUUACAUGUGGGAUCAAACUAAAUAAAAAAACAAAUAGGAAAAACAUUAUCUCUCCCCCUAAGCAACCUCACUUUCCCAUCCUGGCGCCGCCGCCCUGGCCACACACCACCCGCACCACCGGUGUUGCAUGCCCUACCUCCGGUGCCCCCACAACCACCUCCUUCUCCCAUCCUAGGCGCGGCCCCGCUCAGCUAACCGCCGUGCUGGCGGACCUCGAGGCCACGGUGGUCGUUCGCGAUGCAUGUGGCAGAGGCGGCGCACAUGCUGAGGAUGAAACUGAGAAGUACUAACUACACAAAACUUGACAUCACUAUCAUUGCCACCACCAUAAAAGACAUGCCGAGGCGUUGAAAGACAAACCACUAGAGUGCGAUGCCAUCUCCAAUGUUGAAAUGGUCCACCAAGAACAUAUAUAACCAGAACUAAAAUGAAAUAAACUACACUCUAGACAUAGGUUAGGAUUCGUGGUCCCGUGUGUCAGAUGGUCGCCAGAGACGAGGGCGUGGAAAACAGAGGAAGGAGUGGGUCUCUCAUUCCAUUUUUUAAUUCUCGUCAUCUUCCUUGAUCACACAGUGAUGAAGUACUAGUAGUUUGGCAACUUGUCUUGCAAAGAUUUGUCCCACCAUUUUGCGUUAGUACAUUCUAGGUUCUCACUUGUUGGAUCGGGCAGCUCGUGGGGCUGUUCGAAACCUUCGAGGUUAGCCAUCUUAUGUAGGUUUGCUAUUCUAUAGUCUUUUCACCUGACGCCAAGGACUUUGAUGUAACUUUAUGUUUUAUAAUAGUUUUUGUUGUUUCUUCUUUACUCGAUCUGAUGUACCUUGUCUAGUUUAUAAAUAUAGCCGGAUCAUUUACUAAAAUAGUAAAAAAAGUGACCCAAUGACAAGAUGCUUGGCAACGUUAUUGCCAAAAAAAAAAAACCUCCCGCUGGCUUCUACAAUUCUACUUAACUGAAGAGUUGGGAGCCCUAUAUGACGCAAGGUGAAUCCUAGUUGACGCCCACAGGUAUCAACUAGUUGAGGGACGACCGCAGAUGAGCGAGCGGGCAGACCAAAUUCUAUGUUUUCCAUUCACGCAUGUGCUAUGUUCCUAUUAUGUUUUUUCACGUUUGUUCCCAUUAUGCUUCUUGCUUUGCUUUUUUUCGCUUUUAUGUUUUGGUUUUUCUUUUUUGGUUUUUUCUUUAUAUUUCCUUUUUUACUUUCUGUUCUUCUGGGUUGAUUCUUUCCUGGUAUUUUUUCCUUUUUCUUGAACUCUUCCUUCUUUUUAGUUUCUAUAACUACAAACAUUUUUUUCAAUAUACUAUGAAUAUUUUUGUAAUAUACAUUGAACAUUUUUCUAUAUAUAUUAAACUUUUUAUUAAUAUAUGUUGAACUAUUUUAACAUUCGGCGAACAUUUUUUUAUACAAAUUGAACUUUUUGUAAUGUAUGGUGAACUAAUUUUGAAUAUAUGCUGGACAUUUUCUUAAUAGACAUGAAACUUUUUCAAAACACACACCCAAUAUUUUUCAUAGACAAAAGAAGAUAUGAAGGGAAAAACAUCUAACAGCAAGUUUUUCUAAAAAAAAACACUCAGUUGAGCUCAUCAUAUUGGACGGCAAUGGCGGAGCUUCCCUAGGGCCAAAGGGGGUGAUUGCCCCCUACUCUAGAAAAUCCAUUACGUGUAUACCCUUAAUGUUGGGCUUAAAAUAUCAAAUAUUAGUGAAAAUUCGAGCAUUUGCAUUCUUUGCCCCCUCAAUGCUGCUUAGCCCCUUCAACAACCUUUGUCAAGCUCCGCCACUAUUUGACAAACACAGUUCGUUUACUUUCAAGCACGCGAACGGGCAUCAACCAGGAGGCCAAUAGAAGAGAAAAGGAGAGUUCCCAGGAUUCGAACCUGGGUAUCCUCAAUGGUGUGUAGCGAAGCAAGUUAGUGGGUAAGCGCUUCGUUCAGAUUGAUUACCAGGGCGCAGACUGCUAAUAGAGAAAAGAGUCGAUUUUUCAUUUGUUUUCUUUUCGGGUUUUUUCUUUUGUUUUUCAUCGAUUAUUCUUUGUUUAUUUCUCUAUUUCUACUGUUUUUUUCUUUUCUUCUCCAGUUCUAGUGCUUUAUUAUGUUUUCUUUUCCUUUUGUUUCUUUCCUUUUUCCCUCUCUAUUUUUUCAUUCUUUUUGCAUUGGUUUUUUCAAUUUUACUUUUCAUUUUAUUUUUAUAUGGAUAUAUUAUUUCUUUUUCGAUUUCUUUUGGUUUAAUUUGUUUAUUUUAGUUUUCAUUCUACACUUUUUUGUACAUAUCACAACAUUUUUUUAAUACACAUUUAUCAUUUUUCUAAUACAAAUUUUACAUACUCAACAUUUUUCCUAUCCACAUUUUAAACAUUUUUCAAAUAGAAGAUUAACAUUUUUUUUAAUAAAUGGCUAACAUGUUUCCUGUACAUGCUUUAAACUUUUUCAAAUGCUUGAUUGACAUUUUUCAAAUACAUGGUCAACAUUUUUAUAUUUACAUUUAAUAUUUUUCACAUCCUUGAUUAACAUUUCUUAAAUUCAAUAUUAACAUUUUUAACACAUGUUCAACAUUUUUCUAAACACAUUUAACAUUUUUCAAAUGAUUGAUUACCAUUUUUCAAAUACUUGUUCAUCACUUUUUGAAAUGCUUGCUAAGCAUUUUUAUAUACAUCACAUGAUAAAAAAUUUCCCUAUACACAUUUAACAUUUUUAUAAUGCUUGUUGAACAUUUUGUUUUUUCAAAUGCUUGAUUAACAUUUUCAUAUACAUGAUCAACUUUGUUUCAUCAUUUCUUUAAUACAUGGUCAACACUUUUUCUUCGCAUAUCUAUCAUUUUCAAACACUUGUUCAACAUAUUUUCAAAUGCUUGAUUAACUUUUUUAAAAUAUAUGGCCAAUUUUUUCCUACACAUUUUAUUUUUUUCAUACAUUUUUCAUAUAUGUGAUAAAUAUUUUCUCUACACACUUUUAACAUUUUUGAAAUGUUUGUUAAUAUUUUUAAAAUGUUUAUUGGAGUGAUUUUGUAAUAUAUUUAUUUUGAGUAUUUGAAAGUAUCAAUAAAAUAAAAGAAGAAAGCAAAAAAGAAAAUGUAAAAAAAACAGAAAACAAGGCUGUUGUUUUCCGUGCACCUGGGCCGGCCCAACUCACGGCACCCCAUCAGGGAGGGUUCACUGAGAGCAACUAAUUAAAGAGCGCUCCUUCGGGAGCCUCGCAACGACCAACGCCACUUGGCGUGCUCCCAGCCGCUCGCCACAUGUCGUGCUCUGGACGCUCCCUCCAGAUUUUAUUUUCUUAUUUUUCCGCAUGCGUUUUCGGCCUUUUAAACGGGUUUUCGGGAUUUUUUUCGACGUUUCUGUUUUCCACCAUUCUUCCUGAACUUUUGGACCAUUUUUUUUGGCAAAAAAACGCGUUUUUCCCUUUCGCGAGAGUCACGCUUUUGCUUCCGCGAGAGGCAUGCCUUUUGCUUCGCGAGAGUCAUGGCCGUGCCUCUGGGAAACGGAAAAACACGUGUUUUCUUUUUUUGUCCUUUCGUGAAAGGCAUGGUUUUGCUUCUGAAAGAGGCACGGUUGUGCUUUCGCGGGAGUCAUGGCCAUGCCUCUCGGAAACGAAAAAAAUGCGUUUUUUAUUUUUUCCUUCUGCGAGAGGCACGAUUUUGCUUCCGCGAGAGUCACGGUUGUGCUUUCAUGAGAGGCACACCUCUCGGAAACGAAAAAAACGCGUUUCCCGAUUCUGUUUUCUUUUACCAGAGGCACGGUUUUGCUUCCGCGAAAGGCAUGGUUAUGCUUCCGUGAGAGGCACGGGCGUGCCUCCUCGGAAACGAAAAAAACACGUUCUCUUUUUUUUUCCUUCCACAAGAGGCACAGGUUUGCUUCCACGAGAGGCACGGCCGUGCCUCUUUCGGAAAGGGAAAAAACCCGUGCUCCCGGUUCAGUUUUUUCGUCUGAUUUUUUUCGUGAAAAAAUGGUUCAUCAAAAUCUAUCAACAUGGGAUCUAGUUUUUAAGAUCUCGAUGCGAGGAAUUCAACGAUGAAAAUGGUUCUAGAUUUGGACGCAUGGUUAAAGAGAUAAAACGUUUUGAAUAAAUGAAUCUACAAAAUAAAGGGAAAAUUACCCGGUUGCGACAAGUGGCGCACAUGCAAGACACCACUUGUCGCAACCUGGAAAAAUGAGAGUGAUCUUUGCAACGAAUACUUCUUAACUAGUGAUUUCGGGGUUCACUCUGUCUCGCUGUAUGCAAGACAUAUGGGUGCCCAUGACGCAAUGCGUUAUAUUGGUUGACGCAUAGGAGUGUGUCCUCGUGGGCUGUUCCACUUCGGUGAUUCUGCGAUCAGCCCUUUACUGUGCAGUUUUCAACUUUUGUUUCAUGCUCAGGUUAGUUUUAUUUAUUAUCACAUAAAAUAUGAAAGAUGAUUCAUUUUAAAAUUAAAUAGGCGAAUUUAGUUUAAAAUCAAGAACAUUUCCUAAAUCCAUGAACAUUUACUAAAUUCAUGAUUUAUUUUCAUAUUCAUAAUGUUUUUAAGUUCAUGAAUUUUUCUUAAAAUUAUAAAUAUCUUUUGAUUUCGUGAAUAUUUUUUAUAAAAUCGGUGUUAUCGAUAUUACUGUAUAUUUUAUUUUUUGGAUAUCUUUUGUACAUUUAUAAAAUCCGUGAACCUUUUUAAAAAAUGUGUGAAUAUUCACAAAUUCAUGAAACAACUUUAUAGUUUGAAAAAAAAGACAAAAUAGAAGUAAACACCGGGUGAAAAACCAUAGAAACAAAAAUUAAAAAAUAAAACAAACAAAACUAGCUUGAAAUCGUAAAAUAUCAAAAUGAACAAAAUCAAAAGGAAAAGGAAAAGAAUGAAAGAAAAUGAAAUAAAUAAAAUGCAAAAGCAAAGAAACCAGAUUAAUGAAAUGGGAAAACCGAAAGUACCGGAAAAUGAAGCGACCGGAUGAAGCGAGCAACGAACGAAUGGGAAUAAAGAUCGGCUCAAACUGAUCGAUAGAUUGGCCGAGGCCGGGCCAUGGGAACGAAGUAUGUGCGGUAUCCGGACAAUUUGGUGCAAUGACUGUCAAAUAUGGAUUCACGAGGGACUUGGCUGAAUUUACCUCGAAGUGUUUUAACAUUUAUUUACCAUUUUAAGCCUCUUGCUUAUUAAUUACCUAAAAGAAAGACCUUACCGAGUUACCGUAAGCAUCUUAGAUAUUAGCACCUUUAGCGCAGUUGGACUAGAGGUUUGGAUGACAAUUAACUACAAUACCUGAACAAUGUUUUCUCACAUGUACUGUUAUAGAAAUUACAGACCUUUUCUUGAAAAGAAGUAGAUGUAUACAUGAUGAAUCAUGUACCGGCUGCAGCUCAUAACUGCUACUAGUCUAUCUAGAUACCGGAACCGGAGUACAUAGUAUACUCGCUCUACACAGAAGAGCACAGUAUUUUUCGAACAUAGUACUAGCACUAGUUGAGCUCAUUCUUCUUCUAUGGAGCCUGUCCAGUCCACAUAUAAUUGACAACGUUCCUGUUGUUGUGCUCAUAUACUGUGGACGUGUGAUUGGUUCUUUGGCCUCACUAGUCAUCGUGUCGUUGUCAUCACAGGUCAGGCAGAGGCACAGCCACGGCCAUGUCCAUUGCCCUGCAUGCAGAAAGAAGCCAUCAUGAUAGAGUAUGAGAUGCUCUCUACUAGGUAGACCUAUGUUUUCUGUAGUGGGCUAGCUAGCUAGCUAGGCCUGCAGAUUCAAUGCAGUUAGUUUGUAGGCCUGCAGUGUAUAACUAUGCAGUUUCAAGCAGCAGCAGCUGAGGCUAAGAAAAGCUGAGCCAUUUCAUGGUUAACCACUUGAGUUUGAUCAGAUGGCCUCAGGGUCACUGUGCGUGCGUGCGUGCGUUUUGACCUUGAGAAGCUAAAUGCUCGGCCCCCUAUUGCCACCUUUGGUUUCCUGCAUGUUCUUGCUAGUGGUAGCAUUUCGGUCAUUUCACUGUAUCAUCUGGCAAUUGUCCACUGCACGAUGAUGAUGCCUAUUGACAUCAGACGUGUCAUGUGAUCCAUCAGUCACCUAGCCGUGUGCGCUGAAGUAGAUGCAAGACCAUGCGUGUUCGGCCUUUGAUCGUCAGUUUGAUCGACUGAAAGAAUUCAUGUCAUGUGGUUGGGGAAUUCUGUCGUGGUCAUUGAACGCUGCUUCUGGUACCACUCGUACCGGCUCCCCGUGGUGCACCCUUCGAAUCGAAAGGCCAUGCAUGCAUAUGCACCAGAGGCAAAGAAAGUGGAUCGAUGCAGUACGUCGCAGGCUUUCUUCUUUCCCUUUGCUAGCUUUUGGUUGCUUUGGCGCACUCUGAUGCAGAUGCAGCAGCAGCAGGAGCAGCAGAAUUGAAGAGUGCAUGCAUUCGAUUCAGUGCCCGGCCGGCCCCCUCCAUCAGAAUCAGAUCAUGGUAUGCAAUCCUGCGUGCGUCGUAGAUCAUCAGAUCCCCAUACAUCGCCAUCACAAACCCAGAAGGACACAGCCUUUUCCUCCCAUCCUUCUCUAACUGCAAUGGAAUGCUUACUUAUUACUGCCAUCUUUAAUCUAGUACCGGCCGGCCAGUAUCUCUUUCUCUCUCUACACGUCUUUGCAUUGCACCCGCCGGCCGGCUCUCUUUCUCUCUGCCAUGAUUAAUUCUGUCUUUCUCACUCAUAGUACUGCAUGCAUGCUGCUGCAGGAUGAAGCGGAGGAGAAGGCUAUGGCUAGCUGCCUUGGGACUAGCAACCGGAAGCAGCAGAGUACCCUUUGCUGAACGAGGAAACACUCCUUCUGAAAGUACACUGCAUGCUGCUGCUCGAUCGGCAGGCCACGCUCGGGAGCAUAUAUGUUCUCUUCACCUAAUGACCGCAGCAAGAAUUAACCUUUACUUUGUCACCUGUUGGAUGUUCCAAACGGAAUGUAGUAUAUUUGCACCAAGCAGGCAAUCCCCAUGACUAGUUACGUCAUUUACUUGCUUAACUAAGUUUUUUUUCUUUCAAAAAGAAGGAUAAACCCCUGGGCUCUGCAUGAAGCGAUGCUUGGCCUAUAUGUCUCUGUUGACUGGGAUUUUAACCAAGUCUCACAGGAAUAGUAUAUAAGAAGAAGAAUAAGAAAUUAUUAUUUUUCUUGCAUUGAUCUCCACGCAAGAUCGAACGGAUAUAGCAUCGACUGAGACAUAAUCAAGUCUCAGUCGACUGAGACUUAGCAAAACUGUUAUUAUAUUAUUCAACAGAGCUUGACAAAAUAAAUAAAAGGAUCAACCCAAAGGCACCUUCUUGGUGAUCUAUGUUGCUACACCUACAAGCUUUAUGAUGCGCCAUCACCGCACCAACACACAAUAUCUAAUUCGGUCCUCACGAAGCCGCCCGAGGCAUGCUGAGAGCACCAACCGGUCUAGCAAACCCGCAGCACGCACCAACAAAAAAUCAUCAACUUGCUUAACUAUUACUACGACUGAAGAAUACAUACUUGUACUGCUAGCUAGCUAUGUGAAAGUAUAAAAGCUUCAAAAAUACAACCUCGACUUGUGUACAACUUUGUACUCCCGCGCUCAUGUAUAGUACGUGGCUUGCUAUGCAAUUUCACACCUCUUUUCUCUCUUUGCCUUUUUUGGGUAGCUAGCUAACUAGCUAGGAGGCCGGCUAAGUUCAAAAAAAAAAAAAAAGCUAGGAGGCCGGCUACCUAGGUAUGGUAUGGACGGUGGAUAUAUGUAUGUGUGUAGAAAGAGAACAUGCUAAAUCCCUGUCAAGUCUCCGUCUCUCUCUCCCUCCAUGAUGUCCCUUAUCUCCUCACCUCUUUUUAUUUAUUCGUAUCAUAUCAUGCAUGCACAUCAGUUCAUUCAUCGCUGCCGCGUGACUUGGGUUAAUUGUCCACAUAAAUUGACCAUCUUGCAGGUUUUGCCCUACGAUAAAUAUGCAUGUAUAUAGAUCUUUCUGAAUUGCUCUCUGGAAUUACUGCAUGCAUGCAUGCGUGAUAUGCGCGUGGAGUGGAGAAGAGGCCAGACACAAAGACAGGUUCCAUGUGUCCGAUGCAUGCAUGUGAUUUUUUAAUUAUCUCUGUGGUUGUUUCUGAUGAUGCAUGCAGUGUGUCCUAAUUGCAAGCUACUGUCAUGCAGGGCGCGCAUGCAUGCAACGCAUAUGCUUUGUGAUGACAAACUUUGGAGGUUUCCUUUGUGGGCGCAGCUUUUAGUAACAUUCCUCUUCUCUUCUCACUCAUCACACAUCAGUAGUAACUUCUACUCCUUGGCUCUAUGCAAGACAUUGAUCGUGGGAAGAAAAAUACACCGCAUGCCAACAUAUAUUUUGUAGUUAACGUAGUACAAGAAAAAUACUUGGGCCAGAAUUGAUUAUUUGCUGCCCAGAAAUACUCAUACAUACACUUCAGCGUAUACUUCUAAUGCAUAAGCUAAUUAACGAUCAGGAGAUCAGUCCGGCUCUUCUGUGUUGAUGGCAGAAAUGUGAUACACCCAUGUCAGGAUAAAUAAUUGAGGGUUCCAGCCCAUCUGGUGUAAUUAAAUAAGUUAGCUUGCAAAGCAGCAUGUUGACCUAUUUUUUUUUUCGAAAAGGGGGGCUUCCCCGGCCUCUGCAUCAGCAUGAUGCAUACGGCCAUCUUAUUAAGCAUAAAAUAGUCCACAAAGUCUCCAAGUCUCAAGGUUGUCAACAAGAAAAGUAAGAAAAGGCUCACACAGAGCCCGAAGGCUAGAUACACAAGCUAGCCAAAGCACUUAUACAUCACAGCCGUUUGGCUCCAAAAUAGACAGGUAAACUAAUUGUCUAUCCUGUUACACGACCGCCAUCCAAACCGGCUGAAUAUAUCCCGAGCUACCAUCUCCCAUCGGAUAGCAGCAGUAACCAAAAGCUCCCUGGCCUCCGUCGGAGUGAGUAGCGACCAGGAACGGAUAAGAGCCGUUGCUCGAAAGAUAACCUGCAAAACAUGGAUAUUUGUUGAUCUGUUAAAGACGAAGUCAUUUCUGCAAUUCCAAAGCGCCCACAAAAAAGCGCAAACCCCCAAGCGAAUAUGUUUUGCUAACCCGGGCUCUACCCUAGUUAGCCAUGUCCCAAACAACAUGUUAACCGACCUUGGUGGGGUAAUAUUGAAAGCGACUUGAAUAGUCGUCCAAAGAAUUCUAGCUAGUGGGCAGUCAAAGAAAAGAUGUUUAAUGGUUUCACCCUGAUCACAGAAACUACACCUAGUAGGUCCUGUCCAAUUACGCUUAAUAAGAUUAUCCUUUGUUAAGAUCACCUGUUUAUGUAGAAACCACAUAAACACCUUGAUCUUUAAAGGAACUCUGACGUCCCACACAUGCUUUGAAGUAGGAAUCGAGCUGGAAUUAAUAACAUCAACAUACAUUGAUUUAACCGUGAAUCCCCCCGACCUAGUGAGAUUCCAGCGUAAUUUAUCAGGUUGUUGAGAUAGUUGUACCUGCAUCAGUCUCCUAACUAGAUGCAGCCACUCUUCCCAACGAUUGCCCACUAACGAUCUUCUAAACUGGAUAUCCAGGGGUAUCGAGGCGAAGACCGAUGCAACCAAAGCAUCGCGCCUUCGAACUAUACGAUACAGAGACGGAUACUGGAUUGCUAGGGGAGCCUCUCCAAGCCAAGUAUCCUCCCAGAAUCUCGUGCUUGCACCAUUACCAACUAAAUGCUUUGACCUCUGAAAAAAUGAAAGCUUCACUUUCAUAAGCCCUUUCCAAAAGGGUGAAUCAGUUGGUCUAACCGACACCUGAGCCAAAGUUUUGGUUUGGAGAUACUUGUUACGCAGGAUUUGAGCCCACAUGGCGUCAGUUCCUGAGGAUAACUUCCACAACCACUUACUAAGAAGGCACCGGUUCUUGACUUCGAGAUUCUCAAUCCCCAUACCCCCUUGGUCUUUCGGUCUACAAAUGAUAUCCCACUUCGCUAACCGAUAUUUUCUCUUAGGCUCAUCCCCCUGCCAAAAGAACCUCGAUCGAUAGAAGUCCAGUCGUUUCCUAACUCCAACUGGGACUUCAAAGAAGGACAAAAGGAACAUGGGCAUGCUCGUGAGCACCGAAUUAAUAAGAAUUAAACGGCCUCCAUACGACAUGAGCUUGCCCUUCCAACAACUUAGCUUCUUCUCGAAACGAUCCUCAAUACACUUCCAUUCAUUAUUCGUGAGCUUGCGGUGAUGAAUAGGAAUUCCUAAGUAGGUAAAAGGCAGCUCACCCAAACCACAUCCGAACAACUGCUUGUAAUCCUCUUGUUCCUCUUUGGCUCUCCCAAAGCAGAACAACUCACUUUUGUGAAAGUUAAUUUUGAGCCCACUUAGCUGCUCAAACAAACAAAGCAGCAGCUUCAGAUUUCUAGCUUUUACCAAGUCAUGCUCCAUGAAGAUGAUAGUGUCAUCAGCGUAUUGCAGGAUGGAUAUACCCCCAUCCACUAAGUGUGGCACCAAGCCCCCUAUUUGGCCAACUUCCUUGGCUCUCCCUAACAACACCGCCAACAUAUCGGCUACUAUGUUGAACAGAAUAGGGGACAUCGGAUCUCCCUGCCACAGGCCCUUAUGUGUCUGGAAGUAAUGACCGACAUCGUCAUUCACUUUUAUGCCAACACUACCCUUUUGCGUAAAAGUUUCAAUCUGGCUCCUCCAGCCCUCGUGGAAACCUUUCAUACGCAAAGCUUGUUGCAGAAAAGGCCAUUUAACUUUGUCAUACGCUUUCUCAAAAUCUACUUUAAAGAUGACUCCAUCAAGUUUCUUAGAGUGAAUUUCCUGGAGCGUUUCAUGCAACACCACCACCCCUUCAAGGAUGUUUCUGUCUGGCAUGAAAGCUGUUUGGGAUUGCUGCACCACAGAAUGCGCAAUCUGUGUGAGCCUAUUAGUCCCAACCUUGGUAAAAAUUUUGAAACUGACAUUCAAGAGGCAGAUAGGACGGAACUGCUCAAUCCUGAGAGCGUCGGUCUUCUUUGGAAGCAACGUUAUCGUUCCAAAGUUCAAAUGAAAAAGUUGAAGCCGUCCAGCAAAAAGGUCGUGGAACAUGGGUAGCAGAUCCCCUUUGAUGAUAUGCCAACAUCUUUUGUAAAACUCCGCCGAGAACCCAUCCGGCCCGGGAGCCUUAUUGUUCUCCAUCUGAGAGAUGGCAUCGAAAACCUCCUUUUCCGUAAACGGCGCAACUAGCAUGUCAUUAUCAGCAUCAGUUAAUUGAGGCACAUCCUCAGUCCUGGACUCAUCGAGGGACACAGCGCUAUCCUCCGGCGGUCCAAAUAACUGCUUGUAGUAUUCGGUGAUGUAUAGCUUAAGAUUAUCGUGACCAACAAUUGUGCCUUCAUCUUGCUCGAGCUGAAAUAUUUUUUUCUUUCUGUGUUUGCCAUUCGCAAUCAGAUGAAAGAAUUGAGUGUUCGCAUCCCCUUGGAUUACUUUGCGAACCUUUGCUCUGAGCGCCCACUUCAGCUCUUCUUCGCGGAGAAGUUCCUUCAACCUCUUUUCAGCAUCAAUCUUACAGCACAUAUCCGCAGAUUGAAGAACCGCUGAUUCAGCUUUAACAUCUAGGUAUUGAAUAAUCUCCAGGAGUCUGUCUUUCUCAACCUUAUAAACUCCACUUAGAUGUUUAGCCCAACCUCGAAGAAAGCACCUCAAAUGCCUAAUCUUAUUCUGCCAUCUCUCGACAGGCGAUCUACCCCUAGACUCUCUAGCCCACUCUCUGGCAACAAUAUCCAAGAAACCUUCUCUUUCAAACCAUGUCGUUUCAAAGGAGAAAGUAUUCUUGUUUCCCACAUGCCUUGGCUCCCCUGAGUCAACAAAUAGCGGUGUGUGGUCCGAAAUUCCUCGCGUUAGAGCCUGCACCGUGACCAGAGGGAACUUCUGCUCCCAUUCGGCACUUGCAAGAACCCGAUCCAACUUCUCAUAUGUCGGGUUUGGUAAAGAGUUAGCCCAGGUAAAUUGUCUACCAGAGAGUUCGAUUUCUCUCAAAUCCAAACUCUCAAUGAUGGUAUUAAACAUAAAGGACCAUCGCCCAUCAAAAUUAUCGUUAUUCUUUUCAUCCCGCCUCCUAAUAAUGUUGAAGUCCCCCCCAACCAGGAUAGGGAGUUGUUCGGACCCACAAAUUCUAACCAGGUCAGCCAAAAAUUCAGGUUUAAGCUCAGGUUGUGCAGCCCCGUAGACCGCCACCAACACCCAGUUAAACCCAUCUAUUUUGGACCUGACUCUGAAUUUCACUGCAAAGUCACCCAUAACAACACUCCGGACUUCAAGGGAAUCACAUCUCACACCCAGCAAGAUGCCCCCAGACCUCCCUCUUGGAGGAAGACAAUGCCAAUCGAAUUCCACCCCUCCCGACAACGUGUUAAGAAACUGAGGUGCAAAAUUAUCCCUACCAGUUUCAGAGAGAGCAAUGAAAUCUAAACGGUGCUCUAAAGAUGCCUCCGCUAGAAACCUACGUUUAGCCAAGUCCUUAAGACCUCUGCUAUUCCAGAAUAUUCCUUUCAUAGGUCAUCAUGGAAUUUUUUGGCCUUACGAAUUCUAGCACUCCUGCGUACCGCGGAUGCAGGGUACACCUUCCGCUUCCACUUACAUUUAGGAAUGUUAUCACCUGUAGCCCGGUCCUCAUAACCGUGCUCUGGUUGAACAUGAGCUGCAUCAUCUACCUGGAGUUCAUCCUCAUCAGGCUCCGCAGACGGAGGAACAAGAUCCGCGCAGAAUUUAUCAAGCACCCUAACACCCAAGGCCUCAAUCUCCGCAUCAUUCAAAGGUUUUACAGCCGCUAGGUUUCUAAUAGACUCCAAGGCCCGUUCCGCUUCCAAAUCUAAAAGAUCAUUAACCGAGUUUUCAAUUUCCAAAUUAUUAUUCCCAAGAGACACCCCCACUUGGUUUGCAUUAUUAAUAAUCUCAUCCUUAGAGAAAUGCAGAAUAGAAUUUGAAACAUUAACUGACAUACCUGUUGUGCUCUCCACAUCACGCAGCUUGGCCGCCCGCAUAGCGCACCUCUGCUGCAAAUCAUCAACCUCCGGAAGGUCCUGGAGACGAGAGCUCGUCCGCCUCCCCUCGGAAGCAGGGUCUCGGAUCCCUCCGAACGCGAUCACCUCCUCCCGAGUAGCGGCUCCCGGAGUAGGUCUGGGAGAGGGGGACCGCGUAGGAGAUGUGGAGAUGCCUGACGGAGUUAGCACCAGGGCCUCCUGCCCUAGUCCGACCCCCCCAGCCGACGCCGUGGCAGCCGUGCGCUCCACCUGCAGGACCGCCGUCGGUACUAGAGGGUCAGGGGCCACCUGCCCCUGACGCCUGCCUAGCACCUCCGGCGACCCCACCACCAACGAGGCUCCCGCGAGACGGACCUCCAGGGCCUCCUGCCCCAAAGAUAUGUCGCCCCGGCUGGACACAGGUACCUGCGCCGCCUGCUGUGAAACAGAAGAAUGAGAGGGAGUCGUGGCCACCUGCCCAGACGCCCCUCCCCUCCGCGAGGAAACCGAAGACCUAGAUCGCCAUGGCGACUCCUGAGGCUCCACCUCUUGAACAACACGGGCACUGAAGCUGGCCGACUGCCGGGGUGACCGCCCAAAGUCCAAGACCGGUAGCGAAUGCUCGAACGUAUCGUCAGAGUCAACCCGAUCACUCCACAGACGAGGAGGCGCCGACGACGGCAGAAAAGAUCCAAACCGCAGUGAGUUAUGAGGCAAAGACGAAGCCGGGGACUGCUCCAUCCCGGCUCCGUUCUCCGGCUCCUGAGCAGCAGGCCCCGAUCCAUUGGGCUCCUGUGCUGCCUCAUCUGCCUGCUCUCUGGGAGCACCUGUAUCAUCACCCCCAUCGUGCAUAUCCACGUCAGUGCCAGCAGCAACCUCAGCAAACAACUCUGCAUCCUCAAACUCAAUAUCAAGUGGAAACACCUCGCCUCUAUAGGUCCAGUUGAUGACGUCCGGGACAUACUCAAUAUCCAGAAUGCUAACUCGCAGUCGAGCCACCCCCUGAGCUCUAGUGAACGCCAUAUCCACUUUCUCCGUCUUACCAACCAUAAUCCCCAAACUAGCCACCACACGCACAUCAGAAAGAGCCUCAGACGGUGCCCCCGAGAAACGCAGCCACACCUGAGUAAGAGGCUUCCCCUUAGGCUCAACUUUCUUCCACUCGUGGAACUCCAAAAUACCUUUGGUGCCUGGCACCUUACACAUCCCAAAGCUCAACAAACGCUGCAAGUCCUCAAUCGAAGGAAACUCCACUCUGAAUACUCUAUCCUCAACGGGUACGAGGUCCCACUGAAAAUCACCCGGAGCCAACUCCUGAAGUCUCUGCACAAUCUGAGCCUGGGAGACAUCUCCCUGUGUCACCUUGACCAAACCAGAAGUAAGGCUCUGUGUAUCAGCUGGGAUCUCCCUCGCAGCCGCUGACUCGAAGAACAUCAGCUCCGCACAGUACACACCAUAUACAGUAAGAGCUGGAAUAUGGUCCCUCCGCAAAGGACAAACCCCUGAAGCAUGCGCAGGCUUACCACAGGAUUCGCACAGCUGGGCCACACACUCCGUGAUGAAGUGCCCCUUCUCUCCGCACCGGUAACAAAGCAUUCUCUCUUUCUUCCGAGCGUACUUGGAUGCCCUCUCAGAAUCAGCCACUUGAACCACCUCAGCCUCCUUCGCAAUCCCAGGAACCUCAGCAACCGCAAGUGCAUUCACCACCUCCAUCGCCUGGGGAGGUAGCUCCUGUGGUGUCUGAUCAGUCUCCAUCGCCGCCCCGUCAGAGUCAACAUGUCUAGGGGGAGGCGGCCGGCGGAACCUUCCGCGGCCUCCACCACGACCACGGUAUCCGCGAUAACCUCCUCUGUGCCUGUUAUCAGGUCCUGAGGCCCCCUCAACGAAGCCUCCAGCCGGCCCCAGGAACGGUCUCUCUGCAGACCCGUCACUCUGCCAAGCAUAACCCCGACCUCCUCCCGCUGAAGAUGAGCCCCGAUGCUGGCCUACUCCAUACGCAUCAAACCCGUCAUCACCCCACUUGCCUCGAGGUGCAUCAGUCGGUCUCCCACUGGUAUUACUCUGAUUACUCUGAACCUGAUUCUGCCCUGAACGAUUCUGCGCCUGACGAACCGCAAGGUGUGGCGGGGGUGCACGCUGACCCCCGGUAGUUGCCGCCACCGGAUCAGCAGCGACACCGGCAGCCACCGUGGCCCCCGGCGUCUCGGCCCUCAGAGCAGCCAUCCCCGCCGCCGACGCGUUACGAGCCGGCACCACCGGCGGUGCAGGGCGAGGAGCUCCACGGCCAGUAUUAACCAUACCAGUCGUCAUCGACCCAGGAGCCGGCGCCGCCGGCGGCGGAGGGCGAGGGCCUCCCCGGCCGACCCCAGCAGCAUGAGAUGGCACCGGGGGUCUAUGCGCUGCCCGGCCAGCCGUCGUUGGCUGCGCCUCAGGAGCCCGAACUCCCGGAGCGCCCAGCUGCUGCCGCGGCUGGAGAGCGCCUCCACGACCUGCAGCAUCCGGCGCAAGUGCCGGCGGCUGCUGUCCGGCCGGCGGUGCGCCCCGUCCCGACGCAUGGGGCGGCGGCGGUCGAGCCCUUCCAGCCCCCCCCCCCCGCGGUACUCGCAGCAGGAGGGGGUCCCGCUCCACGUCCAGCCAUUAGCAGCGGCGGGAUCCUCCUCGCCCUGCUCGAUCCACACUGCGGGAAACCACGACUCCCCUGGCGAUGAACCCUAGCGGCACGUACCGACUGUGCUGGGACGAUCGAAGGAUCGGACGUGCAUGGCAGAAAACACUCAACGGACCGGCCUUGAUAGACAUAAUGGGCCUCAUACCCAUUAUUGUCCGGCCCAUUGGCAACGAGGCCCGAAGGCUCCCGAUCCAGCCCGGCCGCACCAAGCAGCUGAGCGAGCGCGGUCGCCCUCGUCGAUCGAAUCUCGGUCGCCGUGGCCUCCAUGGCCGGCGCCGGCGGACGCACAUUCCGGGACAACAACCUCCGUCCUUUCUUCCUCUUAACCGUAACCCACGCAUCCGGUCGGAUCAGAUCAAACACAGUGAGCUUCGGCAAACAUACCUUGGGUAAAGGUCCCUUCCAUGGACGAAGCGCCGACGGCGCCGUCUUUCUAUGCACGAUCCGGCGAACAAUCUCGAUCUUCUCUCCAUCGUGCAGCCCCUCACGAGCCAGAUCGUCUCUGGGAACCACCUUGUCCACCGUGGUCGCUACUUCCUCUUCCGAGUAACCUGAAUGAAAGAAUUCACAGAUUAGGUCCGACGGCGUAGGAGACGGCGGUGACUCCCCCGGCGGCUCCGCUCCAUCCUCGUCCGCAUCAUCAUCGUCAGAUCCGGCGAGGGCCCAGAAGCGACCGCCCACCCGGCGGCGAUCGCCGGCAUCGGGCGGUGGCUCUGCCGUCGGGCGCGGAGAUCGCCCCGGAUCGCCUCCCUGUCGCCUAACGGUCAUGCCGUUGAACGAGCAUGUUGACCUAUGGAAAGUUGAUGUGCAUACAUAUGCAUCAUCUAGUUCUGCUUUUACCUUGUGUUUGGGCCAAACAAGCAGAGGGCAGCAAGUGGCAUGUGUAGGGUGAGUUGGUUGGCAAGGAUACAUCCAUGUCAGGAGCUAGGGGGAGAAGACAAACUUAAUUGGGAUAGCGGCAACCAACUUGAUGAUAUCUUCUCAAAGCUUUGCCCUCCCCCCAGAGAAACACAUAUGAUAUAUUAUCCUCGGUCCUAGUAGUAAACUGUCUUGCUAGCUGCUUCCCAUCUAUUCCCUUCGUUCUUAAAUACUUCCUCUGUUUCAAAUAAGUGUCUCAACUUUAUACUAAUUCUAGUAUAAUUUAUACUAAGCUCAAGACAUAUAUUUUGAGACGGAUGGAGUAUAAGUCUUUCUAGAGAUUCUAAUGUGGAUUACAUACGGAGCAAAAUGAGUGCAUCUACACUCUAAACUAUGUCUAUAUACAUCUGUAUAUAGUUCAUAUUGAAAUCUCUAGAAAGACUUAUAUUUAGGAACGGAGGGAUAUAUAUGUACGUUGUUUAUGUAGGCAUGUGCAGAGAUAUCCACCAAAUCUGGGGCAGCAGCCCAUGUAUAUAUAUGUAUAGGCAUACACAUACACAAUCUAGCGAUCGAGACAUAUAAUACUACAUGCUGGGUGCCAUGUGAUGCCUCAACUUGGUAAUGUUUCCUAGAUUCCAACUUGCAAUGAAAUGCAGGCAGUAGUACACUGAUUGUUAUGUAUAAUAUAUACCGACAAAAAGAAAAAUAGAUCCAAUUUUUUGUGUCCAAUAUAUAUGGAUCCUGUUUCUUUUCGAGCAUACCUCUCUGUAUGCAUGUGUCUCUAGCUAGGUAUGGACAUGUAGCAACAUUGUCGCCAUUUAUACCAGUGAUCCAAAAUUGAAGGAACCAAUUAAUUUGCUGGCCAUAAAUAUACAUAGUCAUUCAGAUCUAGCUUUCUAUCAAGAUGAAACUGAGAAAGUACACACAAAAAGGGGGGAAAGGAGGAACUAGCUAUAGGGUUCCACCGAGCUGCUUUUCUUCCAAAAGAACUAUUCCUUAAAAGAGGCAUAUGCUUGAGAACAUUAAAAGAGGCAAAAACACUAUCUUCUUUUAGUGAUAUUAACCCCCUUUUUUUUGGAGAAACUGGCGACAGCAUUACUCUUUUAAUGAAGAACAAUCUAGAGCAUAAUUUACAAAAAACAACGUAAUAGAUUGACUGUAACCUAAUGUAGGUUUUUAGAGAGUAACCUUCAACACCAAGGAAACCCGUUGAAAAUUUGGCAGUUUUCUUCCUCUCCAAACAUUCCACACAAUAGGGGAGGUGGCCAUUGUGCCCAUCUAUACUGUCAACAUCCACACAUCCCACUUCAUCAACCCACUACUUUUAUUCUUCUAAGCAUGCAUGAGAAAUAGUAAUUAUAUUCUAUAAAUAUUUUACGGCUAUAUAGCAUGAAAUACAAUAAAUUCUAAGUAUUUUUAGUCUUCAUUUUCAUAUUCAAAUUCCACUCAAUCAAAUAUCUAUCAAAAUAAUACACGGCAACCAAUUCUCACAACAAUGCGCUGGGUAUCAUCAAUUUAAGUUACAUUACCGAAGACACUAAGGCCCAGGACGUUUGGGUUCUUGUCCACCGUUUGCCACACAUCGCUUCACCUAAGUUAAGCAAGUUGACCAAGUUAGGUGAGUGCUUGUCACACCUUAGGCAAGAUUAUCUUUGUGACAAACAAAUCCAAUAUGCCAUACAGAACGAAAAGUACGGCGAGAUUCUCCUAGACAGGCCAAAAUGUUGCUAAGAUUUUAUGUACCUUAUAUAGUUUAAGCAAGUUUGGUUAAAAUCAUGUGGCAAACUAUGGCAAAGUUAGCUUCCAACCAAAGGCCAGAAAUAUGUAUGAAAAAUGAAAUGCUAGCUGAUGGAGCUAGUUAAGAGCUCGCCAUGGCCAUAGCUAGCUGUGAAUCCAAUGACAUGCAUGAUGUGGUGGUGUACGCGUCAGUUUAGUUCAAGUGCAAGGUACUGUCCUGUUGACUUGACUACACCUUCGUACAGAUCACUGCACGCAGCUAGAUAGGGAUUAAACUAAUGCAGCAGCCGAGGUAAUAUAAUCAAUUUGUUUGAUUUGUGCUUGUAUGGCUAUUUUUUGUCUUGAUUCCAGAUUGUUCCACAGCACUUUGAGAUUAGUAGUUUGUAAGUACUGCCUGCAUCUCUGCAUGCAGGACAGCAUUCUUAACUAGUUGUACUAGUUAAUACCUUGGCCCAAAUUCCAAGUAAAUCAAAUAAUAUAAAAUGCCUUCUAUAGUGUGCAAACAUAGAGGAGAUGAUCUUGAUCACCAACUAAUGAUUCGAUCGAAAAGCUCAUCUUUUUUUGCUUCACCUUCAUUAACAAAGCUUAUCUGGCGUGUUUGUGUACUAGUCUGGAACCUUGAUUUUCUGCAUAAUUUUCUACGCCCUGUUUCAGUUGGGGAAACAGCACAGUAUAUUAAUCAAUCGGUCUUUGUAUUCGGAGACAAUAAAGAGCCCCAUAAGCUAGUUGGUUGGUAAUUCAAAGACAACUUUAGGUAUCACUCGAAGAAAAGACAGCUUCAGAUGGAGAGGACGCAAGCUACAGGGAUUGGGGAGGAAUCUACUCACUAACAGUGUCCUUGAGAUAGAACCUAUACACCAUAAACUAACUGCUGGUACAAGAACUACAUUGUAUAAUAAGAUGAGGGCUGCAGGCAUGGCACUUCUUAUGUAUAGCCAACGACUACUUGUCUACUCAGAGGGCGUCUAUACAUUGGCUGCUCGAAUUCAAUGCUUGCAUUUGUCACACAACAAUCAUGUUCAUGGGUGUGGGUGGGUGUGGGGGAGAGAUCACAUCAUCUUGUCCACAAGAAACAUGGAGCUCAACCUCACAUGUAAUCCUCACGGGUGAGUAUUGCUAGUAAAACACUUUUUGGAGGUAAAAAGGGGCCAUAGGCCACCCUGACAUUACAAUGACCAGAACACUUGCUACAUUUAAUUGAUGAGGAAAGUAUGUUUCGGUCUCUCAACUUGUAUAUGAGUUUAUUUUUGGACCCUCAGCCAAAAAACGACACACUUUAAUCGCUCAUCUUCGAGAACCUAGGCAUAUUUAGUUCAAAAUCCGUUUGAAGUUGUAUCAUGCCUGACGUGUACCUGGUUUUUUUCAUCUUACAUAGUCACAUGCAGCAAGGAUCAAGUGGCACAUCUUGGUAGCCAGAGGAAAAGAAAGCAAAAUCGAUUCAUCUACAGAAAUUCAUUUACAGGGCUAUACUAUGAAAAAACUACUAAAACACUUUCUUUCACACAUUAGUCAUAAAUUGCUUCUCGCCAUUAUGUUUACAUUGACAUAUUUUAUCGAACAAAAUGAUAUUGUGAAGUUAUUUAAUUAUUAUUGCACAUUUUAAUUAUCAUUCCACAUUUAUGAGGAGAUGUUGAAUCACAUCGAGCUCACAUGUGUGUUCAGUAGGACGGUGUGGAGGACGAUAUGCAUGGUAAUCGGCAAGCCGCAGUGGACACCACAAGUGAAUGACUCUCUGAACAGUUGGUGCGAGACAAAACCGAGGAGCAUAGGGGCCAUGAUGAUCCUGGUGCUUUGGGAACUGUGGAAACAUAGAAAUGCUAUUGUUUUUGAUGGAGGCUCACCCACGUUAGACGAAGUAAUAUAGAGAAUCGUGGCAGAGGGGAAUGCUUGGCAUCAAGCCGGAUUAUUAAAAGGAGAUUGGAGCGGCAUUGCUGUGGAGCUUCAAAGGUGGGCGAGGCAUGAGUAGUCUGUACUAGGAGCGUGUGGGUGGGAAUUGGAGCUAAGAGCAUCUCCAGCCGUUGCGCCUCCCAGGAGGCAUUUUUCAGCCUCAUGGGGAGGUGCCACGAACAUAUUUGCGUGGGGGUGGAAUUUCUUCCAGCCGUGCCCCCACCCAACAACAGCUGGGAGGAGCUCCUACGGCGGCCACCCCGUCCAGAGCUCACGCCUCGCCGCCCCGUCCAUGAUCACGCCUAGAGCGACCAGCAAACAGCAGCGGCAGCAGCAGCAAGAAGUAGCAGUAACAAGAAGGCAACAGCAGCAGAGCUUCAGCGGCAAAGCAGCAGGCAGCGGCCACGAGCAAUACUAGUUGCCCCCGCGCACGGGCAAGGGCAGCUGCGGGCGUAACGCACGACGACGGGAGCAGCGGGGUGCGGCCAGGGGACGACCGCCUCGCGGCCGGACGCGGCCGGGGGGCACGUACGGGGCGCCCUGGCGUGAGGCGCGGGCGCGCAUCGCGGCCAACGGCCGGAGCUUGGGCCGCGGCAAAAGCAGGGGCGCAGCCGACGAGUGGAUCCGGGACACGAGCAAGGAUGGGCGUCGCGCGGGCACAGGCAGGAGAGCCCAGGGGGCGGGCUGAGCGCGGUGACAACAGGCAGGGCGUGCGGGAUCGGAGCACCGUCUAUGGCGGCCUCGUCGGGUGCGUGCGACUACGACGAUGGGUCAAGGUUGAAGAAGGGGUCAAGGCGAGGAGGAGCGCCCGUUUCCGUGCCUGGCCGGCUCCGAUGCCGCCUCCCGCCGCGGCCCGGCGCUGUUCCAGCGCGACCGCUCGUCGUCCAUGUCCGACGCCAUGGACGAGCUCCCCGCCUCCCUUCUCUGGCGCCCUCCCCGCGAGCUCCAGCGCCCGCCCGCCGUGACGCCCCCCGUGCCCCAGCUCCGGCGCCCCGCUCGCCGCGCCUGUCCCGUCCCGUGCGCGCCUGCUUCGGUGGGUGGGGGAUGGGGGAGUGUGAGCACGUGGGUGGGCCUGCAGAAAAGAGAGGGAAAGAGAGAGGAGAGAGGCAGUUGAGACACUGAAACUGGGCCAUUUGCAUGCAAAAUAAGAGUGCUGGCGUCCCCAGCUGCCUCCCGGGGGGCUGGGUUUCGCCCGCACGUGCCGGCCGUAUUUGUCGUCUAAUCCGGUGAAAAGCGAGGUCCUGUCCCGAGUGGGACGUUUUUUGCUCGCCGACGCUGAAAAAGUGGCCUGGGAAGGCAUCUUGGGGACGCUAGUGGAGAUGCUCUAAGGCUUUUGGGUUCUUUUAACACCACCCCCCUAUAAAAUAUGAUAUGCACACUUGUGCAUAUUCGAGAACAAAAUUGUUUUUUAUUUAAACUGCAUGGCUUCUUUUUAAUAAAAUUUGUCCUAAAAAUAGCUAUUUAAAAACUUAUACAACUUAGCGGGUAAUUUCAGUUUUGUUUUUUUAUUUUUGUUUACUAAUGAUGUACAUCACAUUUAUUACAUCUUAGCGGCUAAUUUCCUUUUUGUUAUUUAGUUUUUAUAUUUAUCCCUAAAAAAUAUUUUUAUAUUUUUUUAAAGAAGUGCUAAUUUUAUUGAUAGAUAAAUAAAUAUUUUUUAGUAUGUGAAUUUUUGUAAAACUACAUGAACAAUUUUUAAAAUAUGUAAAGUUUUGUUAGAAGUACAAAACAUCUUUUAAAAAAACAGGAACUCUUUUAAUUACAUGAAUAUAUAUGAAAAGGACUGGGAAUUUUCACAAUACAUGAUCAUUUUUAGAAUUGCAUGGUUGUCUUUCUAAAUUACAUUAACACUUUCUAAAUUGCAUAACUUUUCUCUUAAAAUUAUGUGAGUAAUUUGUUAAAUUACAUGAAUAUUUUUUGUAAUCCAUGAACAUAUUUCAAAAAGUUAAAAAUUAAUACAGAUUUUUGGUAUGUGCAAAUAUUUCUUAUAACACAGGCUUUUUUAAAAUAAAUAAAUUAUUAGUGAUUAACAAAAUUCUAAAAUAACUCAAUUUCUUAAUGGGUGCAUUGGUGGGCCCAUUUAUGUUUCAGGAGGAGUGAACUAAAAGCCCCGCAUAGAGAUUGGCGUGCGUGUACCAUGUUGGUGGUUUGUAUUCUUCUCUCGUUAGAAUUCGGACCAGAAACUGAUUCCGAGUCCCCUAAGACCCAGUUCUUUUGGCCGAUUUUCUCAGAAUCUUGAGAAUUGAAUCUCCACUAGCUUCUUCCAAAAUCUUGAACCUAUAUUUUUUUAACAUUCCUAGUUGGGUUUGUCAAAAAGAUAUGGAUUAAAGAUUUUAGGAGAAGCUGGGGUGAGGCCCGAUUCUCAAGAUUUCAAGAGUAUCGGCCAAAAGAACUGGGCCUAAGUACAACACUUAAGGACAUUCCCUGAGAAAAGGACCCAGAUAGGUGGGGAACGUCAGCCAAGGGGUGGUCCUGGUGUACCGAGUUGUUCCCUAGGGAAGGGUUGAUCGAGCGAACAUAAUCGUUCACUGGGCAAAACCAAGAGCAACUAGUUAACGAUUACCUGGGGUGGGUUGAGUGGCGCGCACUCAGUCCCCGCCACAUGUCGUGCUCUGGGUGUUAAUUUUUUUAUUUUAUUUUUUCCACACGCCUUUUCGGCUUUUAGAUGGUUCUUUCCUAGUUUUUACGCCUUUUUGGUUUUUCAUCGGUCUUUCUUAACUUUUGGAUGAAAAUAUAAUUUUCAAAAAAAAAAAAAUUGCGAGAAAAAACUGUUGGAGUAUGCCCUAGAGGCAAUCAUGUAUGAUGAUAUUUCCUACGUGUUUAUGAAUAAAGAUAGUCCUUGGAUAUAAUCAAUGAUACUUGUUGGCAAGUACGUGACUUGUCUGUGAGAUCUUGUGUUGUAUGAUACAUCCUAAAGUGUCCCUAGUCGCAAGUGACGUGUGGGCACACGUCGGACUACACUAACAUAUGACACGGUGGAUGGCUCGGUCUCACUAGCCAUGCAUCAUUGGAUGCUAACCGGAUAAUAUGGACUCGAAAGGAUCUGGUUGGAUUCGACAUAGUCGAAUCCGAGUCGAGAUAAGGUUCGAGCCGGACAAACCCAACUAUGAGACACAGCGAUAUGUUAUCUGUGAGUCUCUCGUACAACAUACGUUCUAUGUCCUAAGACCCGAGCUGACGCAUGUACUCGGGAUGGUGACAGACUUGCUUUGGGCCGACCAAACGCUACUCCGUGACUGGGUAGUUACAAAGGUAGGUUUUGGGUUUGUCCAGUCCCAUGCUGCGAGACAUGGUCGAGCAAGAUGGGAUUUUCCCAUCCGAUCAGGAGAGAUAUACUCUGGGCCCCUCGUGUGAUCCGACCAGGAUAAGCAUGGCCAUGCGACAAGGAUUAGGAGAUAAUCCAGUUUGUGGUCGGUAUCAUUGGAAUGAGAAAGAGGUUGGGCUAGCACAAGGAUGACAUACUCGCCUUGAGCCCGACAACAUAUAUCGUGAGGCAAAGAGAACAUAAGUGUGACAUGUUGUACAAGUUCGUCUAACCAGCUUCAUAGUCUCCUUGGUGGUCGGCACUCCUUGCUAGAGGCCGCUACCAACCGUGCAGGUCGGAGGUGACCCGAACUGUGACCAAGCCAACUUGAACCUAAGGGGCCACGCGCUUAAGGAAAGGAACCUACGAGGUCGGUUCGAAGGACACUGGUCGGAUGUGAUCCGAGCUGGACUUGGAACACGACCGAGUAGACUUUGGGCUUUAGGAUCCGUGCAAGGCCCAAGUGUUGAGCCCGCGACGGAUUCCUAUAAAUAGUGGAGGUGCGACACACUUAUUCGGUUGAUCGCUUCAGUGCCAUUGUUAGGGCUUUGCAUGUGUUGCAACUAGGCACCUCCACUCGCCGCCGGUUGUGUGAUCGGACCUAGCAGUCCGCCGCACGACGUUCCUCCUGCACGCGCGGAUACCGUUAGAGGCGGUGCACUUGCACCGCUCCAGCGAACCUGUUCGCGGGAUCCGAUCGGCUAUGUGGGAGACCAGCAAGGAGGAGACGACUCCGGGAACGCGAGGUGACUCCGGGAACGUGCUGCCUCAACUCUACUUCCGCUGCACGACACUGCAUGUCUAGUGGUAACGAUCUGUGAUCCAUCUCCCGUAGCUGUUCCUGGAUGUUCUGCGCGGAGGAAAAUUUUACAUUUGCAGUCGACGCACCCUACCGUAGAACCAAACAAAGACGCGUUUUUUUGCUUUCGCGAGAGACACGGUUUGCUUACGUAAGAGGCACAACCAUGCCUCUCAGAAAACGAAAAAAACAUGUUUUUUUUCGUGCCUCUCAGAAAAAAAGUGCUUUCUCCAUUUCUUUUCCUUCCCUGACAGGCACGGUUUUGCUUCUGCGAGAGGUACAGUUUUGCUCCCGCGAGAUGAAUGGCCGUGCCUCUCGAAAAUGUAAAAAAUGUGUUUUUUUCCUUCUAUAAGAGGCACGGUUUUGCUUUCGCCAGAGGCACAGCCAUGCCUCUCGGAAACAUUUUUUUUAUUUUUUUCCUUCUGUGAGAGGCACGGUUUUGCCUCUUGGAAACGAAAAAAAAGUGUUUUCUAUUUUUGUCCUUCUGCGAGGGGCAUGGUUUUUUCGUCCAUUUUUUUCAUGAAAAAAAUUCGUCAAAACCAAUCAACAUGGGAUCUAGUUUCAAAGAUCUCGACGUGAGGAAUCAAAUGGUGAAACAGUUUGAGAUUUGGACGUAUGGUUUAAGAGAUAAAUGUUUUGAAUAAACGGAUCUAUGAAAAAAGGAUGCACAGUUGAAGAGAUAAACGUUUUGAAUAAACAGAUCUAUGAAAAAAGGGAAAACUAAUAGGUUCCGACAAGUGGCACACAUGUAGCGCACCACUUCUCGCAACCCAAGGAGGAGGGAGUGAUUUUUGGAAGGAGUACUCCUCAAUUAGUGAUAUCGGGCAAAACCGUCCCAACGUACCUCUCCCCCUCCAGAAAAGUUGGCUAAGACGUUCAGUUGGGCCACAAAAAAGGCCCGUUAUCCUGACACAUUACAAAACUUAAAAACUGAUACUUGGGACUCAUUUCAAAAUACCUAGAAAAACAAACAAAAAUAUGCAUAGCAGCAUACUAUUUUGAUAGAAAAACGCCAUGAAAAGUCAUAAAAAAGCGGAGAACAAAUAAAAUUACAACAUGCCAAGCCCUAGAUGGUAAAAAUUGACAUGCAUACUUAUUUAUGAAGUAUAAAAUGCCAUGGCUGUGAAAAAGACUUGCCAUAGGAAGACAUAUAGGAAAAACCAAUUUCUUCAAAUUGACAUGCUUCAAAAAAUUACUAACUCUUAAAUUAAUCUAAGUGAAGCAUGAGAGUAUUUCUUCAAAAAAAUUGAAAGCCCACCGUACUCAAAAAAAUAUAAGUGAAGCACUAGAGCAAUUCCAUAGCUCAAAAAAUUUAAAGUGAAGCACAUAAAGAAAUUCUAACAAAUCAUAACACAAUUAUGGCUCUCUCAAAUAGGUGUGUCCAGCAAAGAUGAUUGCGACAAACUAAAAAGCAAAACAAGCAAAGACUCAUAUGAUACAAGAUGCUCCAAGCAAAACUCAUGAUAUGUGACGAAUAAAAAUAUAGCUCGAAGUAAAAUUAUCGAUGGUUGUUCGAAGAAAGAGGGGAUGCCUUAUGGGGUAUCCCCAAGCUUAGUUGCUUGGUUCUCCUUGAAUAUUAGCUUGGCAUGCCAUGGGCAUCCCCAAGCUUAGGCUCUUUUCACCCAAAACUUGAAAACUUCAAUCGCACAAAACUUAACAAAACCUUCAUGAGAUCCGUCAGUAUAAUAAAGCAAAAUCACCACUUUAAGUGUUGUUGCAAACCCAUUCAUAUUUUAUUAUGGCAUUAUACCUACUGCAUUCUAACUUUACUAUGGCUUAUAUCCCCCGAUACAAUCAAUAGAUUCAGCAAAAUAAGCACACAAUGCAACGAAAAUAGAAUCUGUCAAAAACAGAACAGUUUGUAGUAAUCUGGACUUUGACCAUACUUCUGUAACUCCAAAAAUUCUGAAAAAUUCGUAAAAUGUAGGAAAUUUGUAUGUCAGUCUUUUGUAAAAACUUCAGAAUUUUAUCAAGCUUAUGUGAUUUUAACAAUUCUGCUACUGGGCGCAAAAGUUUCUGUUUUUCAACAAGAUCGAAUCAACUAUCACCCAAUAUGAUCCCAAAGGCUUUACUUGGCAUAAACACUAACUAAAACACAAAUCACAAUCAUAAUGGUAGCAUAAUUUUGCAAACACACAAAACCAGAAAGAAAAAGAGAAAGAAAUUAUUUUAUUCAUCGGGUUGCCUCCCAACAAGCGCUAUCAUUUUAUGCCCCUAGCUAGGCAUUGAUAAUUUUAAUGAUGCUCACAUGAAAGACAAGAAUCGAAGGACAAAGAGAGCAUCAUAUAGCAUGUGAAAAUCACAUUUAAGUCUAACAUACUUCCUAUGCAUAGGCAUUUUAUAAUAAAACAAAUUAUCAAAACUAGCAAAAACUAGCAUAUGCAAGGAAGAAGAAUUAAACAUCGACAAUCUCAACAUGAAGAGAGAUAAUUUAGCAACAUGAAAAUUUCCACAACCACAUCUCCCUCUCUCAUAAUAAUUACAUGUGGGAUCAUGAUCAAAUUCAACAAUAUAGCUAUCACAUAACAUAUUCUCAACAUGAUCCACAUGCAUGCAAAGUUGACACUUAUCCAAAAUAGUGGGAUUAUCAUCAAAUAAAGUCAUGACCUCUCCAAGCCCACUUUAAUAAAAAAAACCAUAAGAUUGAACACUCUCCAAAUAUGUGGGAUUAUUAUUACCUAAAGUUGACGCUCUUCCAAACCCACUUUCAAUAUUAUUAUUGCAAAAUUAAUUAUCAUAUCAUAUUCAUCAUGAGGCUUAAAUAAAUUUUCAAGAUCAUAAGAAACAUUAUCACCCCAAUCAUGAUCAUUGCAAUAAGUAGUAGACAUAGCAAAAUUAGCAUCCCCAAGCUUGGGGUUUUGCAUAUUAUUAGCACAACUAACAUUAAUAGAAUUUAUAAUAACAUCAUUGCAAUCAUUCUUUUCAUUCAAGGAGCUAUCGUGACUCACUUUAUAAAUUUCUUCGUUUAACACUUCAUCACAAUUUUCAGAUUCAUGAACUCAAGCAAAACUUCAUAAAGAAUAUCUAGUGAACUCAAUUCAUUAUCAAUUGGUUCAUCAUAAUUGGAUCUUUUGAAAAGAUUAGCAAGUGGAUGAGGAUCCAUAUCAAUAGAUUUUUAGCAAGCAAAGAUGCAAGAAAAUAGAAAACACAUGGCAACAUAAGCAAAGAUAACAAACAAGAAAACAUGCACACAGAAGAUCGAACGAGAAAAAGGCAAACGAAAAAGAAGGCAAAUAAGAAAGCAAAUAUUUGUGUGCUUUUCGCAGAAACAUUUUAGAAGUGGGGGAGAUGAAAACGAGAGGAAAAUGAGAAAUAUGUAAAUUGCAAGGAGAUGAGAUUUGUGAUUAGGAACAUGGUAGAUGUUGAUGAUGUCUCCCCGGUAAUGGCGCCAGAAAUCCUUUUGACGUGGCUUAGCACUACGUCGGUUUUCUCCAAAGAGGAAGGGAUGAUGCAGCACAACUAUAGUAAGUAUUUCCCUCAGUUAUGAAACCAAGGUUAUCAAUCCAGUAGGAGAACCAAGCAACACUAUGUAAACGGUACCUCCACACAAAGAACAAAUACUUGCAACCCGAUGCGUAAGAGGGGUUGUCAAUCCCUCUACGGUAAAAAGAUAGAUAAUAUUUUAUAAGAUUGGGUAAAAGAUGUAGCAAGAAUAGAAAAUAAAAUAAGUAAAGAAAAAGUACAGAAAGGUAUUUUUUGGAAUAAUAGAUCUGAAAACAAUAUGAUAAAAGAUAGACCCGGGGGCUGUAGAUUUCACUAGUGUCUUCUCUCGAGAAAAUAGCAUACGAUGGGUAAACAAAUUGCUAUUGGGCAAUUGAUAGAAGAACAAAUAAUUAUGACGACAUCUAAGGUAAUGAUCAUGUAUAUAGGCAUCACUUCCAAGUUUAUUAGACCAAAACGAUUCUGCAUCUACUACUAUUAGUCCACACAUCGAUCGCUAUCCAGCAUGCAUCUAGUGUAUUAAGUUCAUGGAGAAACGGAGUAAUGCAAUAGGAACGAUGACAUGGUGUAGAUAAGAUCUAUUCAUGUAGGAAUAGACCCCAUCUUUUUAUCCUUAAUAGCAACGGUACAUGCGUGCGUCGUGCGUCGCUACCCCUUCUGUCACUGGGUCAGGACACCGCAAGAUCGAACACAUACCAAAGCACCUCUUCCCGUUGCAAGAAAAAUCAAUCUAGUUGGCCAAACCAAACCAAAGUUUCGAAGAAGAAAUACGAGGCUAUAACAAUCAUGCAUAUAAGAGAUUGAAGAGAACUCAAAUAAUAUUCAUGGAUAGAUCUGAUCAUAAACUCGAACUUCAUCGAAUCCCAACAAAGACACCACAAAAAGUCAUUACAUCAAAUAGAUCUCCAAGAACAUCGAGGAGAACAUUGUAUUGAGAAUCAAAAAGAGAGAAGAAGCCAUCUAGCUACUGCCUCUGGACCCAUAUGUCUAUGGUGAACUACUCACACACCAUCGGAGAAGCACCAAUGAGGAUGAUGAACCCAUCCGUGAUCGUUUUCCCCUUCAGUAGAGUGCCGGAAUAGGGCUCUAGAUUGGAUCUCGUGGUUCUAGAACUUGCGGCGGCUGGAGUUGUGUUUCGACCGCUCCCUAGGGUUUUUGGAAUAUCUGAGUAUUUAUAGAGAUGAGAGGUGGUAGAGGAUACCUCCAUGGGCUCCACCACCCAUCAGGGCGUGCCAGGGGCCUCUGGCGUGCCCUGGUGGGGGUGGGUGAUACAUCUCCAACGUAUCUAUAAAUUUUGAUUGUUCCAUGUUGUUAUAUUAUCAUUCUUGGAUGUUUUACAAUCAUUUUGUAGCAAACUUAUAUUAUUUUUUGGGACCAAGNNNNNNNNNNNNNNNNNNNNNNNNNNNNNNNNNNNNNNNNNNNNNNNNNNNNNNNNNNNNNNNNNNNNNNNNNNNNNNNNNNNNNNNNNNNNNNNNNNNNNNNNNNNNNNNNNNNNNNNNNNNNNNNNNNNNNNNNNNNNNNNNNNNNNNNNNNNNNNNNNNNNNNNNNNNNNNNNNNNNNNNNNNNNNNNNNNNNNNNNNNNNNNNNNNNNNNNNNNUAGACACUAAGUACCAAAAGUUGCAGUUUUUAACUUCUUUAAGUUGGAGUGGAGUUUAGGCACAAGUUUAACGCUCACAAUACAUAUCAAGCAAGCAUGCAAAGAGUAUAUGAGCAGCGGAAAAUAAAGCAUGCAACUUGCAAGAAUGUAAAGGGAAGGGUUUGGAGAUUUCAAACGCAAUUUGGAGACACGGUGAUUUUUGAGCCGUGGUUCCGAUAGGUGGUGCUAUCGUACAUCCACGUUGAUGGAGACUUCAACCCACGAUGGGUAACGGUUGCGCGAGUCCACGGAGGGCUCCACCCACGAAGGGUCCACGAAGAAGCAACCUUGUCUAUCCCACCAUGGCCGUCGUCCGUGAAGGACUUGCCUCACUAGCAUAGAUCUUCACGAAGUAGGUAAUCUCCUUGCCCUUACAAACUCCUUGGUUCAACUCCACAAUCUUGUCGGAGGCUCCCAAGUGACACCUAGCCAAUCUAGGAGACACCACUCUCAAAGAAGUAACAAAUGGUGUGUUGAUGAUGAACUCCUUGCUCUUGUGCUUCAAAUGAUAGUCUCCCCAACACUCAACUCUCUCUCACAGGAUUUGGAUUUCGUGUAAAGAAGAUUUGAGUGGAAAGCAAGUUGGGGAAGGCUAGAUAUCAAGAUUCAUAUGGUAGGAAUGGAAUAUCUUGGCCUCAACACAUGAGUAGGUAGUUCUCUCUCAGAAAAUGGAUGCUGGAAGUGUAGGUUCGUUCUGAUGGCUCUCUCCAUGAAUGAAGAGUGGGUGGAGGGGUAUAUAUAGCCUCCACACAAAAGCUAACCGUUACACACAACUUGCCAAACUCGGUGGGACCGAAUUGAGAAACUCGGUCAGACCGAUUUAGCAAAUCUAGUGACAGUUAGGAUUUUCAGUGGGACCGACAUGCAACUCGGUAGGACCGAUAUGGUUAGGGUUAGGGCAUAACGUAAUCUCGGUGAGACCGAUUACACAAACUCGGUGGGACCGAUUUUGGUAAUAAGCUAACCACAGAGUUGGUCAGGCAAACUCGGUUUGACCGAUUACACAAACUCGGUAGGACCGAUUUUGGUAAUAAGUUAACCACAGAGUUUGCAUUGUAAUCUCGGUAGUACCGAUUACCCAAACUCGGUGAGACCGAUUUUGGUAAUGGACAUACACAGAGAGAUUACAAUCCAAUCUCGGUGAGACCGAGAUCCCUAUCGGUGAGACCGAUUUGCCUAGGGUUUGUGGUAGUGGCUAAGACAUUUGAACUCGGUGGCCCCGGUAGGAAAGAAUCCGUAGGGCCGAGUUAGACUUUUGGUUUAGGACAUAUGUGGAUGUGAGAAAGUAGUUGAGGUCUUUGGAGCAUAUCACUAAGCACUUUGAGCAAGCAAGCCAUUAAGCAACACCUCAUCCCCUCUUGAUAGUAUUGGCUUUUCCUAUAGACUCAAUGUGAUCUUGGAUCACUAAAAUAUAAAAUGCAGAGUCUUGAGCUUGGAGCUUGAGCCAAUCCUUUGUCCUUAGCAUCUUGAAAGGGUUGCACAUCCUUUAGUCCAUGCCACUCCAUUGUUGAACUUGUCUGAAACAUACUAGGUAAAAGUGUUAGUCCAACAAGAGAUAUGUUGACAUUAAUUAACAAAACCACCCAGGGAGCACUUGUGCUUUCAAUCUCCCCCUUUUUGGUAAUUGAUGGCAACAUACAUCAAAGCUUUAGAUAAAGAUAUAGAGAAUAGCAAGUAAAGCUUUGGAAGGACAUGUAACAAGCAUAGGCUCCCCCUACAUGUAUGCAAUCAUGUGAAUAUGGAAUAUAGAAGCAUGUGAAUGCAUAAACAUGACAGAGUAAGCAAUGUGUUACAUAUAUCUUGCCUAUAUGCAACAGAGCAAAUGAUGUGAAUAUGGGAAAUGUACCUUCAUGCUCAUGAGUCCUUAUUGCAAACAAUAUGUACAACAACAAGAAUUCCUCAUACACAUGAUUGUGAUGCAUAUACUUACCUUGUGGUCUUGAUUUGGCUUAGGAUGGAAUGAAUCUGUGAAAAUAAGGUUAGAUAACACAGAUACACAUACUAGCCAAGGCAAACAAAAGAAACCACAAGAGUACCAAGACGGAGAUAACAUGUAGAGAGUGAGUACUAAGUACCACAUUGAAUAUAGACAUGUCCCCAAAGGUAAAGAUGUGCAAUGAAUUUAAAGAGUUUCUUUCCCUUAGAUGUCUUGCUCCCCCUGAAUCUAGCAUGGGAUACUGGGAGAAGAUAGGGAACAGAAAAUCAGAGCAGAAUGCAAAAUUAGAGCUCAAGGGAACAAAUGAACAGAGCUAAUGCAGACAAGCACAUAUGAACAUGUCUUUCCCCUCAAGAAGACAUGUGGCAUCUCUCCUCUUGAACACCAAGCAUCUGGGAUCCUUGAAGAUUACUUUCUUCUUGAGUAUUCUCUCCCCGUGGAGAUAUCUCUCUCCCCCUGUUGAAGUGAUAAGCUUUGAUGUGAUCUCUCUCUUCCCCUUUGACAUCAAUUUCCAAGAAGGGCCUUCUGGAAUUUGUCAUGAAUGGCUUUGGUCCUUGAGUCACAGCACAAAGCAAUGAUAAAAAUGUGAUGCUUGUAGAGGACAAGAUUCAUUGAGUGGAGCUGGAUCAAAAGUAAUACAGGAAUAAAUGGCAAAAUGUUUUUCCUGUUGUGAAAUCAGUGGCACCGAGUUGGAUGUUUUGGUUGCACCGAAUGAUUUCGGUUGGACCGAAAACAAGAAACCGGUGUGACCGAGUUCAUCACAGAGAAAACACUUGUCACCUCAGCUCACUAGACAAGUAAAAUCUCACAAGGAUUUGCAAGGAAUUAACUGAAAGAUUUGCAAUGAAUUGGAUGCAGGGAAUGCAGAACAGAAUAGAAAGAAAAGAAAUCUAGAUGAAGUUUUUUUGGAAAUAAAUAUGCAUGAGACAAAUGCAAGAGCACAGAAAAGAACACAAGAGAACUUCAUCUAGAGAUGGUCGGCGACAAAGUCACCUAUGUUAGAGUAUAUUGACUUAGGAGUCAAGUGAGAUCACUUGAUCAUAGGUCAUACUCAUUGUUUAAGCUUAAAAUGGGGUUACCAUUUUUCGUUUAAGUAUCUUGAUGUAUUCACAUCUUGUCGAGUUGCUUUGGCUCAUGACUUGGAGUAAAGCUUCUCUAAGAUGGAAUAACAUACCUUGGAUGAUGGUGUUGAUCGUGAUCAUGUAGUUGAACUUGUGUGGGUUGCUCAAGGUUGAUGUAGCUCAUCAAGAAUUGGGAGCACCACUUGGAAUUUGAGUUCAUCUAUCUACACGGGUUAGUUCUUGCAAGGAAGAGCACUUGUGUAUCCAAAAUGACAAUAAUGAAACUCAACAUAGAAUUUGUCAAAGGAUAUGUUUGAAUGGUUCCGUGCUUCCUUGUCGUCAACCACCAUUGUGUAGAGACUUGGUGAUGUAGAGAUUGCUCAAGAUGUGAGUGAGUUGCAAUCUCAUAGAUUUAGAUUCAUCCAAGUACCUACAUGGGUUAGAUAACAUGCAAGGUGCAAGUAUAUCCAAGAUAUAAGAUUAUCAUCAUAAGAGAAAUAUCAAGGAUUAGUCAUAAGCUCAUGUCUUGCAUGUAUCCAAUGGAGUUCCUACUCCAAGUUUGAAGCAUCAUUGAUGUUCAAUUCUCCUCUUAACCUGCAAAACACUCUCUCAUCAAGUGGUUUAGUGAAUAUAUUCACUAAUUGCUUUUCUGUGCGAACAUGCUUAAGAUUAAUGUCACCCUUAGCAACAUGAUCUUGAAUGAAAUGAUGACGAACUUCAAUAUGUUUAGUUUGAGAGUGUUGCACGGGAUUAUGAGCAAUCUUGAUAGCACUCUCAUUGUCACAAAGUAAUGGAACAUGUUUCACAUAUAUCCCAUAAUCUUUAAGAGUUUGGGUCAUCCAAAGUAAUUGAGCACAACAUGAACCAGCGGCAAUGUAUUCCGCUUCGGUGGUGGACAAGGAUACCGAGUUUUGUUUCUUGGAAGACCAAGACACAAGAGAUCUACCAAGAAAUUAACAAGUACCCAAAGUAGACUUUCUAUCAACCUUGUCACCGGCAUAGUCCGAGUCGGAGUAGCCAACAAGAUCAAAAGAGGCCCUCUUAGGAUACCAAAUGCCAAAAUUUGGUGUAUGGAUUAAGUAUCUCACUAUCCUUUUCACAGCCUUAAGAUGACAUUCUUUAGGAGCAACUUGAUAUCGUGCACACAUGCACACACUUAGCAUGAUAUCGGGACGUGAAGCACAUAUAUAUAACAAUGAACCAAUCAUAGAGCGAUAAACCUUUUGAUCGACCGGUUCACCAUCUUUGGUCAAAUCAAGAUGUCCACUAGUAGGCAUGGGUAUGGUCAUACCUUUGCAUUCUUGCAUAUUGAACUUCUUGAAUAAGUCCUUGGUGUACUUCGUUUGAGAGAAAAAGGUACCUUUCUUAGUUUGCUUGAUUUGCAAACCAAGAAAGAAUUUGAGUUCACUCAUCAUAGACAUCUCAAACUUCUCCGACAUUAGCUUUCCAAACUUUUCACUAAAAUGAGGGUUAGUAGAACCAAAUAUAAUAUCAUCAACACAGAUUUUGCACACAAAUAGUUCUCCAUUAACCCUUUUAGUAAAAAGAGUAGAAUCUAUUUUUCCAAUUUCAAAGCCUUUUUCAAUAAGGAACUUGGUCAAGCAUUUAUACCACGCUCUAGGGGCUUGUUUAAGACCAUAAAGAGCUUUGUGUAGUUUGUAAACAUGAUCAGGUUUCUUAGGAUUAUGUGACGCCCCCGAUUCAAUCAUACACUAAUCAUGCACGCAAAUGUGUACGAUCAAGAUCAGGGACUCACGGGAAGAUAUCACAACACAACUCUAAAACAUAAAUAAGUCAUACAAGCAUCAUAAUACAAGCCAGGGGCCUCGAGGGCUCGAAUACAAGUGCUCGAUCAUAGACGAGUUAGCGGAAGCAACAAUAUCUGAGUACAGACAUAAGUUAAACAAGUUGCCUUAAGAAGGCUAGCACAAACUGGGAUACAGAUCGAAACAGGCGUAGGCCUCCUGCCUGGGAUCCUCCUAAACUACUCCUGGUCGUCGUUAGCGGGCAGCACGUAGUAGUAGGCACCUCCGGUGUAGUAGGGGUCAUCGUCGACGGUGGCGUCUGGCUCCUAGACUCCAGCAUCUGGUUGCGACAACCAGAAAGAAAGGAAAGGGGAAAAGGGGGGAAGAAAGCAACCGUGAGUACUUCAUCCAAAGUACUCGCAAGCAAGGAACUACACUACAUAUGCAUGGGUAUAUGUGUAAGGAGGCCAUAUCAGUGGACUGAACUGCAGAAUGCCAGAAUAAGAGGGGGAUAACUAAUCCUGUCGAAGACUACGCUGCUGGCAGCCUCCGUCUUGCAGCAUGUAGAAGAGAGUAGAUUGAAGUCCUCCAAGUAGCAUCUCCAAAUAGCAUCUCAUAGCAUAAUCCUACCCGGCGAUCCUCUCCUCGUCGCCCUGCGGAAAAGCGAUCACCGGGUUGUCUGUGGAACUUGGAAGGGUGUGUUUUAUUAAGUAUCCGGUUCUAGUUGUCAUAAGGUCAAGGUACAACUCCAAGUCGUCCUGUUACCGAAGAUCACGGCUAUUCGAAUAGAUUAACUUCCCUGCAGGGGUGCACCACAUAGCCCAACACGCUCGAUCCCAUUUGGCCGGACACACUUUCCUGGGUCAUGCCCGGCCGCGGAAGAUCAACACGUCGCAGCCCCACCUAGGCAAAACAGAGAGGUCAGCACGCCGGUCUAAACCUAAGCGCACAGGGGUCUGGGCCCAUCGCCCAUAGCACACCUGCACGUUGCGAGGGCGGUCGAAAGCAGACCUAGCCUAGAGGCGUUCCAGUCCAAUUCGGCGCGCGCCGCUCCGUCGCUGACGUCUGAAGAGCUUCGGCUGAUACCACGACGCCGGGAUACCCAUAACUACUCCCACGUAGAUGGUUAGUGCGUAUAGGCUCGUAGCCAACUCAGAUCAAAUACCAAGAUCUCGUUAAGCGUGUUAAGUAUCCGCGAACGCCGACCAGGGCCAGGCCCACCUGUCUCCUAGGUGGUCUCAACCUGCCCUGCCGCUCCGCCACAAAGUAACAGUCGGGGGCCGUCGGGAACCCAGGCCCAUCUCUACCGGGAUGGAGCCACCUGCCCCUUCAGCCCCCUCGUCAGAAUCACUUGCGGGUACUCAAUGAGCUGACCCGACUUUAGUCACCAUCUGUAUAGUAUGUAUGUAUGUAUAGUAUAUACCCGUGAUCACCUCCCAAGUGAUCACAGACCGAUAGUAUAGCAAGGUAGACUGACAAGAAUGUAGGGCCAAUGAUGAUAAACUAGCAUCCUAUACUAAGCAUUUAGGAUUGCAGGUAAGGUAUCAACAGAUGUAGCGACAAUGUCAGGCUAUGCAUCAGAAUAGGAUUAACGAAAGCAGUAACAUGCUACACUACUCUAAUGCAAGCAGUAUAGAGGAGAAUAGGCGAUAUCUGGUGAUCAAGGGGGGGGGGCUUGCCUGGUUGCUCAGACAAGGAGGGGUCGUCGGUGACGUAGUCGUACUCGGUGGCAUCAGCGUCGGUCUCGUAGUCUAUCGAAGAGAAGAGGGGGAAGAAAUAAUGAAUACAGAGCAAACAAAGCAUCACAAAAUAUAACAAGGCAAUACGCGGUGUUCGGUGUGCCCUAACGCGGUAGUAGGUGAUACCGGUGAAGGGGGGAAAACAUCCGGGAAAGUAUUCCCGGUGUUUCGUGUUUUCGGGCAGAGGAGCCGGAGGGGAAAAGUUGCGGGUUCGAUAGGUUAGAGGGGUUUGGCGGACGAACGGACCGCGUAUCCGGAUUCGUCUCGUCGUUCUGAGCAACUUUCAUGUUGAAAAUAUUUUAAUCCGAGUUACGGAUUAAAAGAUAUGAUUUUCUAAAGAUUUUAUUAAUUUCUGGAAUUUAAUUAAUUAUUUAAUCCAACAUUAUCCAGAAUAGUAAAUGAUGACGUCAGCAUGACAUCAGAGUGAUGUCAGCAGUCAACGUUGACCAUUGACCUGGUCAACCUGACGUGUGGGUCCCUUUGUCAUUGACUAAGAUUAACUAAAACAGAUUAAUUAGUUUAAUUAGUGAUUAGGUUAAUCUAAUCAGGAUUAAUUAACUUAAUUAAUUACUUAAUUAAUUAAUUAAUAUUUUAAUUAUCUUAGUUAUUAUUUAUUUAUUUAUUUAAUAUAUUCUUUUUUUUAUUUUAUUUUUUAUUAUUUUUUUAUUCCUUUUCUUUUUUUUUUAAACCAUUCUGGGGCGGGGCCCCCUAGUCAGUGGCCCGGGGGGGCCUAUCGGUUCGGGUGUGCGUGCGUUCGGGUUCGGGCGCAACGGGUGUGCCCCGUUUGGGUGCACGCCCAGGGUGCAGGCGGACCCGGGAGGGCACCGGAACGGCGGAGGUCGGUGGCCACGGCAUGGCCAUGGCCGGAGCCAGGCGAGGCCGCGGUGGUGCGCGGGCGGCCGCCGGAGGCCGUGCGGGUGGCAGCCGGAGGCGGUGCUCGGCUGUGGCCCAGCGGGAGCUGCGGCAGUGGCCGCGAGGGGGCUCGGCCGGAGUAGUAGGGGAAGGCGGGUGGCGACCGGAGGUAGCACAGAGGAGCGAGGCCAGCCUGGCGACGGGGCGCUGCAGCCCGACUGGUCCCCUGGCGCCGGCUGGGGUGAAGGAGGGCGUCGGCCAGGGCGGAGGAGGGCGAGUGCGGCCUGGAACGCAAGCUCCGGCACGCGGGCGCAGUGAUGCGUGCACGGGCGUGGACGGGACAUGGUCGUGGUGAGCGCGGGGGCGAGGGAGAGGGAGGAGGCCGGGGGCCUCACCACGAUUCGUAGGGAUCCGGGCAGCGGGGCUCGGGGAGGAGGUCGGGGACGUCGCGAUGGAGGGGAAGCAGGCUGGCGGGGAGGCGCUCUCGGCGGCGACGGGCGGCGGUGUCGAGGCCGCGGGCGUCGGGUGGCGGCGACUUGGGGCGGCGGUGUCCAGGCGGCGGGGCGCGGCUCGAUCCGGCGGCUUCAGGGUCGGUAANNNNNNNNNNNNNNNNNNNNNNNNNNNNNNNNNNNNNNNNNNNNNNNNNNNNNNNNNNNNNNNNNNNNNNNNNNNNNNNNNNNNNNNNNNNNNNNNNNNNNNNNNNNNNNNNNNNNNNNNNNNNNNNNNNNNNNNNNNNNNNNNNNNNNNNNNNNNNNNNNNNNNNNNNNNNNNNNNNNNNNNNNNNNNNNNNNNNNNNNNNNNNNNNNNNNNNNNNNNNNNNNNNNNNNNNNNNNNNNNNNNNNNNNNNNNNNNNNNNNNNNNNNNNNNNNNNNNNNNNNNNNNNNNNNNNNNNNNNNNNNNNNNNNNNNNNNNNNNNNNNNNNNNNNNNNNNNNNNNNNNNNNNNNNNNNNNNNNNNNNNNNNNNNNNNNNNNNNNNNNNNNNNNNNNNNNNNNNNNNNNNNNNNNNNNNNNNNNNNNNNNNNNNNNNNNNNNNNNNNNNNNNNNNNNNNNNNNNNNNNNNNNNNNNNNNNNNNNNNNNNNNNNNNNNNNNNNNNNNNNNNNNNNNNNNNNNNNNNNNNNNNNNNNNNNNNNNNNNNNNNNNNNNNNNNNNNNNNNNNNNNNNNNNNNNNNNNNNNNNNNNNNNNNNNNNNNNNNNNNNNNNNNNNNNNNNNNNNNNNNNNNNNNNNNNNNNNNNNNNNNNNNNNNNNNNNNNNNNNNNNNNNNNNNNNNNNNNNNNNNNNNNNNNNNNNNNNNNNNNNNNNNNNNNNNNNNNNNNNNNNNNNNNNNNNNNNNNNNNNNNNNNNNNNNNNNNNNNNNNNNNNNNNNNNNNNNNNNNNNNNNNNNNNNNNNNNNNNNNNNNNNNNNNNNNNNNNNNNNNNNNNNNNNNNNNNNNNNNNNNNNNNNNNNNNNNNNNNNNNNNNNNNNNNNNNNNNNNNNNNNGGGGGGAGGCCUUUUCUGUUUUUAUUUCUUUUGUUCUAUUUUUGUUUAUUAUCCUUUUUCUGUUUUCUGUUUUAUUUUAGUUCCUCUUUUAUUUUAGUUUUAUAGACUAUAAAAGUAGUCCCUAAUUUAGUGUUAGUAAUUAGCUACUGCCACAUAAGUUUGGGCAACAAAAUAAAAUAGCUUAAUAUUUUAUUUAUCGUAAAAGGCAUUCAACAAAUUGUUUUUGCUACUGUUUAAAACAUCUUAGAGUAUUUUACACUUUUAUAAAAGUGUGGUUUCUCCACCAUACUUACUUAUGCAUUAUUUGGCUCACUCCGAACAUUUUAGUUUUAAUAUUUGAAAACUUUUAUUGUUUACUUGGUUUUAAAUUUGAAUUUCGAACUAGGUUCCGAACUAUCGAGAGUUUAUUACAGUAACCGUGGUGACGUGGCAUCAUUAGCGGGGAAUCACUGUAGCUUAAUUAUCCGGGCGUCACAAUUCUCCUCCACUACAAGAAAUCUCGUCCCGAGAUUUAAGAGGGGGACUAAGGGGGAAAGGUCUGGUUACGAAAUGCUAACGAAUCUUCUCAGUCUUGGUUGCUCUUCUUGAAGAGGUCGAUCCAUUAGAUUGACGUCUUCAUUUCUCUACUUCAGGUCAUCAUGGUGAUGUCGUCCUUUUCUCGGGAACUCCAACGUACUUGCGAAUAGGUAAGGGGCAGCUCGGCUACGACAGAAUGUUUAUGAGGGAAACAAUCUGGGGUUAACCCAUGAAUGAGCGUAAGAUUAUCUCUCGAGCUGAACAUAUCGAAUACAUCAAGAGUAAGGUACGAAGGUACAAUAAGAGGUUCCAAGUGGAUAGAUAGUUGCUCGAAGUCUGAACCAGAGUGAGAAAGGGGUUCAGAGCAACGAGAGUAAGUAUAGCGUCUGAUACCAGAAUAGAGCAUUAGGAAGGUGACCCGUGAAUUACAUACGAAGUCAAGUGUGGGGAAUAACUUUGGAAACCGGGGGUGUACAGGAGAGUCAGGUUUUGAUCCUGUGGAACUGUGGGUUAUGGGCCCACCAUGUGGGUUAAAAGUUGGAAGGGUGGAGACAUCUUGCGUGAUCAUGCAAGCAAGGCAAGUCAGAGGCUAGCAUGUCGAUUAUGUCGGCAACAAUGACGGUACCAAGGGCGAGGGACGAAGAGAACCAUUUUCCUGCUCGUUGAAACGAGGCGGACCAAUAGGCAAGGUUCCCGUCCAUCGGUGGUUACCGGAAUGUCAUCAACAAUAGUAACAAGGUCUUGCUGACCGAGCUGUACAUCGAGGGGUUUGCACAAGUAGUGGAUUAUUACUGCUUAUAUCAUAUAGAUCAUAGAAAAGGUUUAAACAAACCAAUGGAAGGAAAAUAUGAUCAUCAGAUUAAACAGAUCAAUGGAAAGGAAAAUAUGUUUAAACACAUAUUUCGAGGGUAUAUCCUUCCCAAGGAUAAGCAGAGCAAGAUAUCCAUGACAGGAUAUAAAGUAGAAAACCAUUUAGGUAAGGGGGGAGGAAUCUCAUGAUAUUACCCAUACAACGGUGUUAGGAUAAAUGAUAAAUAAAAUUUAGCAUCGUGCUUCAAAUGUUCCUGUUACAAAUCGGAGUACCAUUGGCAUGCUUCGAGAUAGCAUUGACAUGGUCUUCAGGUGAAGAUCAGACUUUGGAAACACGAAGGAUCCAUCAGGAAUAACUUGUAGAAUAAGUCUUACAAUUUCCUCAUGGAUGANNNNNNNNNNNNNNNNNNNNNNNNNNNNNNNNNNNNNNNNNNNNNNNNNNNNNNNNNNNNNNNNNNNNNNNNNNNNNNNNNNNNNNNNNNNNNNNNNNNNNNNNNNNNNNNNNNNNNNNNNNNNNNNNNNNNNNNNNNNNNNNNNNNNNNNNNNNNNNNNNNNNNNNNNNNNNNNNNNNNNNNNNNNNNNNNNNNNNNNNNNNNNNNNNNNNNNNNNNNNNNNNNNNNNNNNNNNNNNNNNNNNNNNNNNNNNNNNNNNNNNNNNNNNACAUCAUGUUACUGGGUCAUCAAAGGAUCAAUAUCAUAACUCUUGGAAAGUUGUCCUAACCAUCAUAUCUGACGGAGAUUCAGGUAUGAUUGGUGUCAGGAUACCUCAGGCUCAGGAUGCCUGAGAAGAAAGGUGCAACACCAAUUGACGGGAUGACACUGAAAGAUUCUUGGGAAAUGAACUAUGAAGUGACUUCCGUUAACAAGAGUUCAUCAUUAACCCAAGGAGAGGACAAGGAGGUGUCUGGUGAACUCAACGGCAAUUCACCGAGAUUCCCAAAAGAUGGAUUUCCACCAUUAAGUGAACAAGGAGAUAACAUUUGUCAAAUCAAAUGAUAUAGGGAAGUAUGCUCGAGGAAAACAUACACAAUUAAACAUUGGUUGAAAGGUGCGCCCGAAAUAUGGGUUGGGUUGCACGACCAAUGUCAGAAUGGUGAUUCAAUUAGCGAAGGACUUAGAAUGAACUAUCACCCAUUCACUUCAAAGCAAUAGGGUUGCUAGAAGGAAAGAACCCAAACAACACCGUUCACUUGUUGGAAUUAACACGGGGACCAAGAAAGAAUGGUGAUGGUGAGAAGUAUUUCUAUGUCAAAAAUUCUCAAGAGGUGGAACAAAUCUCAGAACAUUCUUGACAUAAAGGAUGGUACUACUCCAAGGUAAAGAAGAACAAUUGCUGGAUAGCAAGGAACUCAAGGUAUAAUACCAAACAUGAACAAGCUUGUGUUGGUGGGAGGGCAAUAAAGUGGUCGACGAUAAUACAAUUUAUCGAGGGCAAGGAUGGUAUUUCUCAUCAUUAAUUCACUUGAUAUCCUGGAAGAGCAUCAGAAUGUAGAUGGUGAUCAUGACACAUUUGUCGAGAGAUUCCACGAAGAUGUAAUCGAUCCGCGAUCACAUCAAGUCAAAAGAAUGAUGAAGCAAGAGGUUAUUGGAACCAUAGGUACACGACACAAACCUGAAAUCAAGAUUAUUGUUCAAGGCAAACUGAUAUGACGAGGAAGAUCGACGUAAGCUUAGCUCAUUGUCAAAAGUUGUGCUCCGGGAUUAAGGACCAGGUAGCACAGUUAAAAUUUAGCAUGGUAAUGAUAUAACCGAUCAGGCUAGGAAUGACAUGAUCGGGUACAAACUCGUAAGUAAAGAAUAUUAGUAAGAGUUGUUGAACCGUAAUGCGGACUUGGUUCAGUUAUCGGUGUAUUUGAGUGUUUAAUAACUCAGAGCCCAUGAAAAAUUGUAAUCAGUGAGUAUGUAGUACUUGAUGAAGAACUCAUCGGAAGUUAUGCAGUACCAUGAUAAUCUCGAGAUACCAGGGGGGUAAUACUCAACACAAGAUCAAAGUAAAGGUUGGACUGGUGUAUUGAUCCAUAGAAGACAAUUGUUUAAACUUGUCCGAGAAAUGGAAUCAAAGAAGAACAAUCAUGGUCGGAACCACGGUUGCAAGGGAUCAAUUCACAGAUACCAUAUGUUAGCUAUCAAGGAAAUAGUUAUUAUUACAAGAAGCUUCCAUGAUAGGAUAUACAUCGCGUCCAUGGGCAUGAACACAAAGUUCAAGGUCGACUCCCACUUCCUCAAUGCAUAAUCUUCCAUUCACCUCUCGUAUUUAGAAGAUGACAUUAGUUGUUGAAAGUUUUACCUGGUGCAAUACCAGAUAAGUAUGACUCGUGAAAACUUUCGGGUUCACACAGUUUAGAGAAGGCAUAUGUUCAACCCAUAGGGGCUUCUUAGAAACAUAUACCACAAGUUUCCAGAGUAAAUAACACAAGCCCGAAAGCAGAGCAUGGUUGGCCAAGCAGAGGAUACAACUUAACAAGGGCAUCAUGUAUAAGGGGAAGAACUCACAAAGUGUUCAAAUGUGAAGGACACUGUCGGAUAACAAUCCAACAAAGGACUUGAUAGUCCACAAAGGAUCUGAUAUGAGUAUCGGUACUCAACCAGAAGAGGAAGGAAUGCAAAUGCAACAGGUUAUGGAAUCAUCUAAAUAAUUCAAAGCUUAAAUAAAAAGGAAUUAUGAUUUCCACAACAAAGGAUCAGAAGCAGACGUUCUGAUCAAGGAUGGAUCAAUUGAAUAUACCAGAGGCACAAUCGAUGACAGAUAGUUUGGUCGAGAACCAGCUCAUGUUUGAAAGACAUCUGAGCUGGAGAGAUAAUUUAAAAGGAUCAACUGAUGAUUACUUGCAUUCGCCACAUAUUGAGUCAACAGACUCAAAAUGAUAAUGACAAGGAAUGUCAUUAAGAUUUCUAUUCUUAUGGGAUUAAUCAUAAUGAAAGCAAACAAGAAAUUCCAGAGCAAUAGGUUGCUGAGGAUUUUUGGAAUAUCAGGUGGUAUUUCGAAGACUUUUGUGUAACACAUAAACAACUAGGGGAUGAGCGGAUAUUCUAUAAAUGCGAGAAUUAACCGUAGGGGUAUUCAAGUGACAAGAACAGCAAGGCAGUAAGCUCGAGGGUUUAUCGAAACCACGACGAGUUUUUUAGGGUAUCGAAACCAUGACCAACUGGGGAUGAUAUAAGAAUAACAACUGUAAGUAGCUACCCAUAAGGGUUGACGGUGGAAGGGGAAUUGCAAACGCGAUGAACACAAGUUCUCGGCCUAACAACGGAAAGUAUCUUCAGGGUCUUCACGUGGAGCAGACGAUCAUCAGUAAUAAGGGGCUCUCCGGGUGAAAGUAUUUUCGAGAACCUAAAGUUAGUUUUUAGUAAAAAUCGUUUAACCCGAAUAGAAGAGGGUUCAGAAUCCCAGAGUAAAGGUCAAGGAAUAAAAGAUCCUAAUACCUCACGAUGGCGACGUGGGCCCAUGGGCCACACAGCCAUGUUAGUAAAAGUUUUUCAACGACUAGACUCGACUUCGGCCAAGGAGUUGGAAAGGGGGAUUCCUACAGGCAGUCGGCUCUAAUACCAACUUGUGACGCCCCCGAUUCAAUCGUACACUAAUCAUGCACGCAAAUGUGUACGAUCAAGAUCAGGGACUCACGGGAAGAUAUCACAACACAACUCUAAAACAUAAAUAAGUCAUACAAGCAUCAUAAUACAAGCCAGGGGCCUCGAGGGCUCGAAUACAAGUGCUCGAUCAUAGACGAGUCAGCGGAAGCAACAAUAUCUGAGUACAGACAUAAGUUAAACAAGUUGCCUUAAGAAGGCUAGCACAAACUGGGAUACAGAUCGAAACAGGCGCAGGCCUCUUGCCUGGGAUCCUCCUAAACUACUCCUGGUCGUCGUCAGCGGGCAGCACGUAGUAGUAGGCACCUCCGGUGUAGUAGGGGUCGUCGUCGACGGUGGCGUCUGGCUCCUGGACUCCAGCAUCUAGUUGCGACAACCAGAAAGAAAGGAAAGGGGAAAAGGGGGGAAGAAAGCAACCGUGAGUACUUCAUCCAAAGUACUCGCAAGCAAGGAACUACACUACAUAUGCAUGGGUAUAUGUGUAAGGAGGCCAUAUCAGUGGACUGAACUGCAGAAUGCCAGAAUAAGAGGGGGAUAACUAAUCCUGUCGAAGACUACGCUGCUGGCAGCCUCCGUCUUGCAGCAUGUAGAAGAGAGUAGAUUGAAGUCCUCCAAGUAGCAUCUCCAAAUAACAUCUCAUAGCAUAAUCCUACCCGGCGAUUCUCUCCUCGUCGCCCUGCGGAAAAGCGAUCACCGGGUUGUCUGUGGAACUUGGAAGGGUGUGUUUUAUUAAGUAUCCGGUUCUAGUUGUCAUAAGGUCAAGGUACAACUCCAAGUCGUCCUGUUACCGAAGAUCACGGCUAUUCGAAUAGAUUAACUUCCCUGCAGGGGUGCACCACAUAGCCCAACACGCUCGAUCCCAUUUGGCCGGACACACUUUCCUGGGUCAUGCUCGGCCGCGGAAGAUCAACACGUCGCAGCCCCACCUAGGCAAAACAGAGAGGUCAGCACGCCGGUCUAAACCUAAGCGCACAGGGGUCUGGGCCCAUCGCCCAUAGCACACCUGCACGUUGCGAGGGCGGCCGAAAGCAGACCUAGCCUAGAGGCGUUCCAGUCCAAUUCGGCGCGCGCCGCUCCGUCGCUGACGUCUGAAGAGCUUCGGCUGAUACCACGACACCGGGAUACCCAUAACUACUCCCACGUAGAUGGUUAGUGCGUAUAGGCUCGUAGCCAACUCAGAUCAAAUACCAAGAUCUCGUUAAGCGUGUUAAGUAUCCGCGAACGCCGACCAGGGCCAGGCCCACCUGUCUCCUAGGUGGUCUCAACCUGCCCUGCCGCUCCGCCACAAAGUAACAGUCGGGGGCCGUCGGGAACCCAGGCCCAUCUCUACCGGGAUGGAGCCACCUGCCCCUUCAGCCCCCUCGUCAGAAUCACUUGCGGGUACUCAAUGAGCUGACCCGACUUUAGUCACCAUCUGUAUAGUAUGUAUGUAUGUAUAGUAUAUACCCGUGAUCACCUCCCAAGUGAUCACAGCCCGAUAGUAUAGCAAGGCAGACUGACAAGAAUGUAGGGCCAAUGAUGAUAAACUAGCAUCCUAUACUAAGCAUUUAGGAUUGCAGGUAAGGUAUCAACAGAUGUAGCGACAAUGUCAGGCUAUGCAUCAGAAUAGGAUUAACGAAAGCAGUAACAUGCUACACUACUCUAAUGCAAGCAGUAUAGAGGAGAAUAGGCGAUAUCUGGUGAUCAAGGGGGGGGCUUGCCUGGUUGCUCAGACAAGGAGGGGUCGUCGGUGACGUAGUCGUACUCGGUGGCAUCAGCGUCGGUCUCGUAGUCUACCGGAGAGAAGAGGGGGAAGAAAUAAUGAAUACAGAGCAAACAAAGCAUCACAAAAUAUAACAAGGCAAUACGCGGUGUUCGGUGUGCCCUAACGCGGUAGUAGGUGAUACCGGUGAAGGGGGGAAAACAUCCGGGAAAGUAUUCCCGGUGUUUCGUGUUUUCGGGCAGAGGAGCCGGAGGGGAAAAGUUGCGGGUUCGAUAGGUUAGAGGGGUGUGGCGGACGAACGGACCGCGCAUCCGGAUUCGUCUCGUCGUUCUGAGCAACUUUCAUGUUGAAAAUAUUUUAAUCCGAGUUACGGAUUAAAAGAUAUGAUUUUCUAAAGAUUUUAUUAAUUUCUGGAAUUUAAUUAAUUAUUUAAUCCAACAUUAUCCAGAAUAGUAAAUGAUAACGUCAGCAUGACAUCAGAGUGAUGUCAGCAGUCAACGUUGACCAUUGACCUGGUCAACCUGACGUGUGGGUCCCUUUGUCAUUGACUAAGAUUAACUAAAACAGAUUAAUUAGUUUAAUUAGUGAUUAGGUUAAUCUAAUCAGGAUUAAUUAACUUAAUUAAUUAAUUAAUAUUUUAAUUAUUUUAAUUAUUAUUUAUUUAUUUAUUUAAUAUAUUCUUUUUUUUAUUUUAUUUUUUUAUUAUUUUUUUUAUUCCUUUUCUUUUUUUUAAACCGAUCUGGGGCGGGGCCCCCUAGUCAGUGGCCCGGGGGGCCUAUCGGUUCGGGUGUGCGUGCGUUCGGGUUCGGGCGCAACGGGUGUGCCCCGUUUGGGUGCACGCCCAGGGUGCAGGCGGACCCGGGAGGGCACCGGAACGGCGGAGGUCGGUGGCCACGGCAUGGCCAUGGCCGGAGCGGGGCGAGGCCGCGGUGGUGCGCGGGNNNNNNNNNNNNNNNNNNNNNNNNNNNNNNNNNNNNNNNNNNNNNNNNNNNNNNNNNNNNNNNNNNNNNNNNNNNNNNNNNNNNNNNNNNNNNNNNNNNNNNNNNNNNNNNNNNNNNNNNNNNNNNNNNNNNNNNNNNNNNNNNNNNNNNNNNNNNNNNNNNNNNNNNNNNNNNNNNNNNNNNNNNNNNNNNNNNNNNNNNNNNNNNNNNNNNNNNNNNNNNNNNNNNNNNNNNNNNNNNNNNNNNNNNNNNNNNNNNNNNNNNNNNNNNNNNNNNNNNNNNNNNNNNNNNNNNNNNNNNNNNNNNNNNNNNNNNNNNNNNNNNNNNNNNNNNNNNNNNNNNNNNNNNNNNNNNNNNNNNNNNNNNNNNNNNNNNNNNNNNNNNNNNNNNNNNNNNNNNNNNNNNNNNNNNNNNNNNNNNNNNNNNNNNNNNNNNNNNNNNNNNNNNNNNNNNNNNNNNNNNNNNNNNNNNNNNNNNNNNNNNNNNNNNNNNNNNNNNNNNNNNNNNNNNNNNNNNNNNNNNNNNNNNNNNNNNNNNNNNNNNNNNNNNNNNNNNNNNNNNNNNNNNNNNNNNNNNNNNNNNNNNNNNNNNNNNNNNNNNNNNNNNNNNNNNNNNNNNNNNNNNNNNNNNNNNNNNNNNNNNNNNNNNNNNNNNNNNNNNNNNNNNNNNNNNNNNNNNNNNNNNNNNNNNNNNNNNNNNNNNNNNNNNNNNNNNNNNNNNNNNNNNNNNNNNNNNNNNNNNNNNNNNNNNNNNNNNNNNNNNNNNNNNNNNNNNNNNNNNACGGUGGGGGUUAUGGAGGGUUAGGUGGGCCGACCUGGUUGGAUGGCCAGCCCAGCAUGUGGGUGGGCCGAUGCCCAGUAGGGGGGGGAAGGCCUUUUCUGUUUUUAUUUCUUUUGUUCUAUUUUUGUUUAUUAUCCUUUUUCUGUUUUCUGUUUUAUUUUAGUUCCUCUUUUAUUUUAGUUUUAUAGACUAUAAAAGUAGUCCCUAAUUUAGUGUUAGUAAUUAGCUACUACCACAUAAGUUUGGGCAACAAAAUAAAAUAGCUUAAUAUUUUAUUUAUCGUAAAAGGCAUUCAACAAAUUGUUUUUGCUACUGUUUAAAACAUCUUAGAGUAUUUUACACUUUUAUAAAAGUGUGGUUUCUCCACCAUACUUACUUAUGCAUUAUUUGGCUCACUCCGAACAUUUUAGUUUUAAUAUUUGAAAACUUUUAUUGUUUACUUGGUUUUAAAUUUGAAUUUCGAACUAGGUUCCGAACUAUCGAGAGUUUAUUACAGUAACCGUGGUGACAUGGCAUCAUUAGCGGGGAAUCACUGUAGCUUAAUUAUCCGGGCGUCACAGAUUAACAAAGCCGGGAGGUUGUUUAACAUAAACUUCCUCCUCUAUUUCACCAUUUAGAAAAGCACUUUUAAUGUCCAUUUGGUACAAGGUGAUAUCAUGGUGAUUAGCAUAGGCAAGUAAGAUGCGAAUGGACUCAAGUCUAGCAACGGGAGCAUAAGUCUCACCAUAAUCCAUACCUUCAAAUUGUGUCUAGCCUUGGGCGACGAGAUGUGAUUUGUUGCGAACUAUUGUCCAUCUUCAUCUUGCUUGUUGCGAAACACCCAUUUGGUACCGAUGAUGUUGUGGUUGUUGUCGGGCUUCUCAACCAAUGUCCAAACUUGAUUUCUCUCAAAGUUGUGUAGCUCUUCUUGCAUGGCAUUUAUCCAAUCCGGAUCUUCCAAAGCUUCUUCAACCUUCAUAGGUUCAAUGCUAGAGAUGAAUGAAUAGUGUUCACAAAAGUUAGCUAAACGAGUUUUAGAGCGAGUGAUUCUCCCGGUUUGGAUAUCAUUGUAGAUUUGCUCGACGGGAUGAUCUUUAGCUAUUCUUGCUCGAACUCGUGAAAGCUUUUGCUUGGGUCUUCGUUGAACAUCUUCUUCAUCUUGUUCUUCUUCUUGGCCUUCUUCAUUGUUGGCGUUGUCAUUCUCUUGUCGUGGUGGAGAAGGAGGUUGUUGACGUUCGUCUUGGCGCACUCCCUCGUUUUCUUCAUCUUGGUGUGCCACUUGUGGAUGCUUCCGUAUCAACCCUUGGUUCACCUUGUUUUGAGGUAGAAGCUUCCACUUGGACAGACGAGGUACUCUCCUUCACUUCCGUUGGACGAAUCUUGCCAAUAGACAAGUCUUGGAUUGCUUCUGAGGGAUCUUUGUCUCCUACAUCAAUUGGAAAUUGCUCUACUUGCGAGCCGUUAGAUUCAUCAAAUUUCACAUCUACCAUUUCUUCAACCUUUCGUGUGAAAUUGUUGUAGACACGGUAUGUGUGAGAGUUUGAGACAUAAACAAGUAGGAAACCUUCAUGAGACUCAGGAGAAAAUUUAGAACGACGAUGCUUAUCAAGAAUGUAGCACUUUCAGCCGAAUACUCGAAAGUAUGCAACUUGGGGUUUGUUACCGGUGAGGAGCUCGUAUGCCGUCUUGCCAAGUAGCUUGUGAAGAUACAAGCGAUUUGUUGCAUGAUAGGAUGUCUCAACCGCUUCCGCCCAAAAGUGCUUUGGCGUCUUGUACUCAUCAAGCAUUGUUCUCGCCAUUUUGAUGAGCGUCCGGUUCUUCCUCUCAACAACUCCAUUUUGUUGAGGUGUGUACGUAGCUGAGAACUCGUGUGAAAUCCCUUCUUCGUCAAGAAAGGUAUCCACAUUUGCGUUCUUGAACUCCAUUCCGUUGUCUCUGCGAACCUUCUUGAUCUUCACUUCAAAUUGAUUUUGGGCCUUCCUAGCGAAGUUUUUGAAGAUCUUCUGAACCUGCAAUUUAUCAUCGAGAAAGAACACCCACGUAAAUCUUGAAAAAUCAUCAACUAUAACUAGACCAAAAGAAUUUCCACCGAGACUUUUGUAGACGUUGGGACCAAAGAGAUCCAUGUGAAGUAGCUCGAGAGGCCUCCUUGUGGUCAUGAUGUUCUUUACGGGAUGCCUUCCUCCAACCUGUUUACCUGCCUGACAAGCGUUGCAAAGUCUAUCCUUAUCAAAUAUGACAUCAUUAACUCCAAGGAUAUGAUUUCCUUUAAUAAGCUUGUCAAGGUUUCGCAUACCAACAUGGCCUAAUCGUCUAUGCCAUAACCAACCUUUAGAGGAUUUAGCAAUAAAGCAAGUUCUAGGUUGAGCCUUUUUAGUGAAAUCAACAAUGUAUAGAUCACCUCUACGCACACCGGUAAAGACCAUUUUAUGAUUAUCUCUACGAAACACUUGGCAAUCUACUUCAGUAAAUAGGACAUUGAAACUGAAAUCAGCAAGUCUAGAUACUGAAAGUAAGUUGUAGCCAAGAGAUUCAACGAGCAUGACAUUUUGUAUGGAGCUAUCAUGUGAUAUGGCCACCUUACCGAGGCCAACCACCUUACCCUUUGAGUUGUCACCGAAAGUGACAUACUUUUGAGGGCCGUCAUUUUCAGCAAGCUCACGAAACAUAUCUUUAUCUCCGGUCAUGUGAUCGGUACAUCCACUAUCAAGAACCCAUUCCUUUCCUCCUGCCAUAUAUCCUCGAAGAUUUGCCAUAAGACCAAAAUGUCUCAUUUCAUCAUCAAGAUCAAAGUCACUAUCAUCCUCCUCAUCAUAGUAUCCAUGUUCAACAUCGUCAAUCCUAGAGAGGGUGAUUCGUUAGAGUGAGUUUGACAAUGAUCUUGCUUAUGAAUUUUUAUAGCUUCGGAAAUAAUAUCACUAAUAAUUCCAACAUCUCCUUUGGCACGCAUAAGGUUUGUAAGCUCAAAUAGACAGUCGCCAAACAUAGGAUCACUGGAAUUCAUCUUACUCAAGGCAAUAGACUUAUGGAUAAUUUCAUCAAGAUUUUUCAAGGAAUAAUUUGGAAAAUGUUCCUCAAGAAAUUUCCAUAUAGUGUAGGCACACUUAAGAGUAGGCAAACAUCCUAUCAAGUUUCUAGGAAAGUCUCUAAUGAUAAGUUCGGCAGUUCUAAGAUUGCGAAUCAUGUCAAUUGACUUAUCAAGGGUAGGAUGCAUAGGAUCAACAUGAGGCGCACAAGGACUAGCAAUGUACUUGUUCAAAUGAUAUUGAUUGAAAAUCACAAGCACCUCAUUUUUCUACUCAUGAAAGUACUCUCCAUCAAGUAUAGGCACUCUAUAUCUAAGACUCCCAAUAGUAGACUCAUACAUCUUCCUCCAAUGGUGUUUAAACCAAAGCAAUGGAGACAAAAGCUCUGAUACCAAUUGAAAGGGAUCGAGAAGAGGUGUCUAGAGGGGGGGGGGUGAUUAGACACUAAGUACCAAAAGUUGCAGUUUUUAACUUCUUUAAGUUGGAGUGGAGUUUAGCCACAAGUUUAAUGCUCACAAUACAUAUCAAGCAAGCAUGCAAAGAGUAUAUGAGCAGCGGAAAGUAAAGCAUGCAACUUGCAAGAAUGUAAAGGGAAGGGUUUGGAGAUUUCAAACGCAAUUUGGAGACACGGUGAUUUUCCAGCCAUGGUUCCGAUAGGUGGUGCUAUCAUACAUCCACGUUGAUGGAGACUUCAACCCAUGAAGGGUAACGGUUGCGUGAGUCCACAGAGGGCUCCACCCACGAAGGGUCCACGAAGAAGCAACCUUGUCUAUCCCACCAUGGCCGUCGCCCACGAAGGACUUGCCUCACUUGCGGUAGAUCUUCACGAAGUAGGCGAUCUCCUUGCCCUUACAAACUCCUUGGUUCAACUCCACAAUCUUGUCGGAGGCUCCCAAGUGACACCUAGCCAAUCUAGGAGACACCACUCUCCAAGAAGUAACAAAUGGUGUGUUGAUGAUGAACUCCUUGCUCUUGUGCUUCAAAUGAUAGUCUCUCCAACACUCAACUCUCUCUCACAGGAUUUGGAUUUCGUGGAAAGAAGAUUUGAGUGGAAAGCAACUUGGGGAAGGCUAGAGAUCAAGAUUCAUAUGGUAGGAAUGGAAUAUCUUGGCCUCAACACAUGAGUAGGUAGUUCUCUCUCAGAAAAUGGAUGUUGGAAGUGUAGGUUCGUUCUGAUGGCUCUCUCCACGAAUGAAGAGUGGGUGGAGGGGUAUAUAUAGCCUCCACACAAAAUCUAACCAUUACACACAACUUGCCAAACUCGGUGGGACCGAAUUGAGAAACUCGGUCGGACCGAUUUAGCAAAUCUAGUGACCGUUAUGAUUUUCGGUGGGACCAACAUGCAACUCGGUAGGAACGAUAUGGUUAGGGUUAGGGCAUAACGUAAUCUCGGUGAGACCGAUUACACAAACUUGGUGGGACCGAUUGUUGUAAUAAGCUAACUAGAGAGUUGGUCAGGCAAACUCGGUUUGACCGAUUACACAAACUCGGUAGGACCGAUUUUGGUAAUAAGUUAACCAGAGAGUUUGCAUUGUGAUCUCGGUAGUACCGAUUACCCAAACUCGGUGAGACCGAUUUUGGUAAUGGACAUACAUAGAGAGAUUACAAUCCCAUCUCGGUGGGACCGAGAUCCCUAUCGGUGAGACCGGUUUGCCUAGGGUUUGUGGAGGUGGCUAAGACAUCCGAACUCGGUGGCGCCGGGUGGAAAGAAUCGGUAGGACCGAGUUAGACUUUUGGUUUAGGACAUAUGUGGAUGUGAGAAAGUAGUUGAGGGCUUUGGAGCAUAUCACUAAGCACUUUGAGCAAGCAAGCCAUUAAGCAACACCUCAUCCCCUCUUGAUAGUAUUGGCUUUUCCUAUAGACUCAAUGUGAUCUUGGAUCACUAAAAUAGAAAAUGCAGAGUCUUGAGCUUGGAGCUUGAGCCAAUUCUUUGUCCUUAGCAUCUUGAAAGGGUUCCACAUCCUUUAGUCCAUGACACUCCAUUGUUGAACUUGUCUGAAACAUACUAGGUAAAAGUGUUAGUCCAACAAGAGAUAUGUUGACAUUAAUUACCAAAACAACCCAGGGAGCACUUGUGCUUUCACCAACCUACUGACAUAGUGCCCAGUGCCAGUUGCUGUUUUUUUGCUUGUUUUUUACUUCAUAGAAAACCAAUACCAAAUGGAGUCCAAAUGCAGCAAAACAUUUUGGAGAUUUUUUUGGAGCAGAAGACAUCCAGUGGGCCAAAGAAGUACCAGAGGGGUGCCCCGAGGGGGGCACAACCCACCCAGGCGCACCCUGGUGGGUUAUGCCCACCUCGGUGGCCUCCCGCACCACCUCUUCGCCCUAUACACUACAUGAAUCAGCUUAUUUGUUGUCUGCCAUGGCAGAUGGCAAAGGCACCAAAAGCGGAUGGCAAAGCUCUUUGCCGUCUGCCACCAACGGCAAACCUGCCCGGCAAAGAGAGCGACGGUAAACAUGUUCUUUGUUGUCUGCUUCCUCAAAGUGGAUGGCAAAGGCCCUUUGCCAUCAGUGGCAGACGACAACGAACAUGGACGGCAAAAACCAUGCGUUAGCCACGUUAGGUGGCUAACGGCAGCCUUUGCCGUCCGCCAGCAAAUGGCAGCUGCCCAGGGCUUUGCUGUCUGCCACGGACGGCAAAGUGCCCAAAUGGGUCAGCUCCCAGGUUGCACAGGUUGCUGCCACGUGGCUUCUUUGCCGUCCGCGGUAGAUGGCAAAGGUCUCUUUGCCGUCGGAGGCGGACGACAAAGUGCCUGUAUUAUUACUGUUUUUCUGUUUUCUAUUAUAUCCCUGCAUUUUGAAAAGAUAUAUAUGAUAUAUAUAUAGUUUCAACCUCAAACAUAGCCCAUGUAUCAAACAUCUAGCAGUCCAUCAAUGCAACAGAACACAUAGGGUAUUAAAAGAUCCAAUACAUACAUAGUUUCACAGUGUUCAUCCAUAUAUACAUACAUAGUUUCACAUUGUUCAUCAAUACAAAUGAAAACAAGAACUAAACACUAGCAGUCCAUCAAUGCUGCUUCCAUGAAGUGAAUCAAACCUGCAAAAUUGGGAGUAAGAAAGUUAGAAGAAGAAGACUAGACGAGAAGACUAGAAGAAUAAGAAGAAGACUAGAAGACUAUAAGAAGAAGAAGAAGAAGACUAGAAGAAGAAGAGAAGAAGACGAGAAGACUAGAAGAAGAAGAAGAAGACUAGAAGAAUAAGAGAAGAAGAAGAGAAGAGCUUCUUCUCUUCUUCUUCUCUUAUUCUUCUAGUCUUCUUCUUCUUCUUCUUCUUCUUCUUCUUCUUCUCCUUCUUCUUCUUCUUCUUCUUUUCUCAUCUUUCUUCUUCUCUUCUAUAUUUUUGAAGCUUCUUCUUGUCUUCUCUUCUUAAAAAUUAUAGAUACGAUGGAGACGUAUCAGCAUCCCCAAGCUUAAUUCCUGCUCGUCCUCGAGUAGGUAAAUGAUAAAAAAGAUAAUUUUUGAUGUGGAAUGCUACCUAGCAUAAUCUUGAUCAUAUGUCUAAUCAUGGCAUGAAUAUUAAGACAUGAGUGAUUGAAAUCAAUAGUCUAUCAUUUGACAUAAAAACAAUAAUACUUUGAGCAUACUAAUAAAGCAAUCAUGUCUUUUCAAAACAACAAGGCCAAAGCAAGCUUAUCCCUACAAAAUCAUAUAGUUUGGCCAUUCUUCAUUUUCGUCACACAAAAUGCCCCCAUCAUGCACAACCUCGAUGACAAGCCGAGCAAUUGGUUCAUACUUAUUAACGCGCUUCAGGUUUUUCAACCCUCACACAAUACAUGAGCGCAAGCCAUGGAUAUAGCACUAUAGGUGGAAUAGAAUAUGACGGUGGAGGUUUAUAUGGAGAAGACAAAAAAGGGAGAAAGUCUCACAUCGACGCGGUUAAUCAACGGGCUAUGGAGAUGACCAUCAAUUGAUAUCAAUGCAAGGAGUAGGGAUUGCCAUGCAACGGAUGCACUAAGAGAUAUAAGUGUAUGAAAGCUCAAACUGAAAACUAAGUGGGUGUGCAUCCAACUUGCUUGCUCAUGAAGACCUAGGGCAUUUGAGGAAGCCCAUCGUUGGAAUAUACAAGCCAAGUUCUAUAAUGAAAAAUUCCCACUAGUAUAUGAAAGUGACACACAUAGGAGACUCUCUAUAUGAAGAACAUGGUGCUACUCUGAAGCACAAGUGUGGUAAAAUGAUAGUAACAUUGCCCCUUUUCUUUUUUUUUCUUUUUUUCUUUUUCUUUUUUUGUGUGGGAUUCUUUGGCCCCUUUUUUAUUUAGGCUUCUUUGGCCUUUCCUUUUUUUUUUCUUUUUUUUCUUUUUUUCAUGGGGCAAUGCUCUAUAAUGAUGAUCAUCACAGUUUUAUUUACUUACAACUCAAUAUUACAACUCGAUACUAGAACAAAGAUAUGACUCUAUAUGAAUGCUUCCGACGGUGUACCGGGAUGUGCAAUGAUCUAGAAUAGCAAUGACAUCGAAAAACGGACAAGCCAUGAAAACAUCAUGCUAGCUAUCUUACGAUCAUGCAAAGCAAUAUGACAAUAAAUCCUCAAGUCAUGUAUGUGAUGAUGAUGGAAGUUGCAUGGCAAUAUAUCUCGGAAUGGCUAUGGAAAUGCCAUGAUAGGUAGGUAUGGUGGCUGUUUUGAGGAAGAUAUAAGGAGGCUUAUGUGUGAUAGAGCGUAUCAUAUCAUGGGGUUUGGAUGCACCGGCGAAGUUUGCACCAACUCUCGAGGUGAGAAAGGGCAAUGCACUGUACCAAAGAGGCUAGUAAUGAUGGAAAGGUAAAAGUGCGUAUAAUCCAUGGACUCACAUUAGUCAUAAAGAACUCAUAUACUUAUUGCAAAAGUUUAUUAGCCCUCAAAGCAAAGUACUACUACGCAUGCCCCUAGGGGGAUAGAUUGGUAGGAAAAGACCAUCGCUCGUCCCCGACCGCCACUCAUAAGGAAGACAAUCAAAGAAACACCCCAUGCUUCAAAUUUGUCACACAACGGUUACCAUAUGUGCAUGCUACGGGACUUGCAAACCUCAACACAAGUGUCUCUACAAUCCACAAUCACCGACUAGCAUGACUCUAAUAUCACCAUCUUUAUAUCGCAAAACUAUUGCAAGGAAUAAAACAUAUCAUAUUUAGCGAUCUAAGAGUUUAUGUAGGAUUUUAUGACUAACCAUGUGAUUGACCAAUUCCUGUCAUCUCUCUAAAAGAUAUAAGUGAAGCAAAAGAGUUUAAUUCUUUCUACAAAAGAUAUGCCCACAGUCUAACAAAUAUAAGUGAAGCAAAAGAGCAUUCUACAAAUGGCGCUUUUCUAUGUGAAGAGAAAAAGGCAAUCCAAACUUCAAAUGAUAUAAGUGAAGCACAUGAAGCAUUCUAUAAAGCCAUACUCAAAAGAUUUAAGUGAAGUGCAAUGAGUAUUGUAUAAAUAAACUAAGGACUAUCUCAUACUAGCAUGGUGCAUAAAAGAAAAGUGAAAACUAAAUGCAAAAGACGCUCCAAAACUUGCACAUAUCGCAUGAACGAAACGAAUACGAAAACAUACCGAUACUUGUUGAAGAAAGAGGGGAUGCCUUCCGGGGCAUCCCCAAGCUUAGACGCUUGAGUCUCCUUGAAUAUUUACUUGGGGUGCCUUGGGCAUCCCCAAGCAUGAGCUCUUGCCUCUCUUCCUUUUCCUCAUAUCGAGACCUCCUCGAUUAGACACUUCAUCCACACAAAACUUCAACAGAAAACUCGGUAAGAUCCGUUAGUAUAAUAAAGCAAAUCACUACUUUAAGUACUGUUGUAAACCAAUUCAAAUUUUGUUUUUGCAUUGUGUCUACUGUAAUAUAGCUUUUCCAUGGCUUAAUCCACUGAUAGAAAUUGAUAGUUUCAUCAAAACGAGCAAACUAUGCAUCAAAAACAGAAUUUGUCAAAAACAGAACAGUCUGUAGCAAUAUGAGAAUUAACCAUACUUCUGGUAACCCAAAAAUUCUACCAAAAUUAGGAAAAAUAAAAAAUUUGUACAUAAAGACAGUGCGGAAAUAAUUAGAACCGUUUUACAUUCCAGUUAAAAAUGUAAAAUCGUGCACUACAGCCAAAGUUUCUGUCAUGCACCAUACAAACCAACAAGCAUUGUAAACAUCCUAAAGGCAAACCCUGGCACAUUAUUUUUAUAAUAGAAUGGAAUUGUACAAGGGGGUAAUUAUUUUUGUUGAAAAGUUUCUAUAAUUAAGAUUCACAAAGUUUCCGUGAGCAUGAACAAAGUUCAAGGAGCUCUCCCACUUCAACAAUGCUUGUCUCUCUCACUUUCACUUUCCUUUUUGAAAAGUUUUGGGUUCCCCUCUUUAUUUUUUUGUUUUAAAACUAUAUAAAAGCACACAACAGAAAUAAAUGACUCUCUAAAACUUCCGGGUUGUCUCCCUGGCAGCGCUUUCUUUAAAGCCAUAAAGCUAGGCAUAUAGUGCUCAAGUAAUGAAUCCACCCGGAUCCCAAGGUUUAUCAAAGCCAAUUUUAAUUAACAAUGAUUUGUAAUUUAGUAGUGAGAACAAAGUAACAUAUAUCAUCCAAUGACGAAGUCUAACUCUCUUCCUAUGUAUCGGCAUGUCAUAAAAGAACAAUUCAUGCACACAAAGUAAAGGCCAAUGCAUAGUAUAAGCAGUUUCUUGCAAUUUUAUCAUAUUGGAAACAUAGAGAUGUGGAGAUAUAGUUCCUCUCUCAUAAUAAUUGCAAGUAGGAGCAGCAAGCACAUGAAUAUUAUAUCUAUCAAAAUUAUCAUGUGCAAUGGUAAAAGAUAACCCAUCAAUAUAAUCCUUAAUAAACACAAACUUCUCCAAUAUAGUGUAGUUUGGAGAAUUCAAAAAGAAAAUAGGACUAUCAUGCGUGGGUGCAAUAGCAACAAUUUCAUGUUUAACGUAAGGAACUAUAGCAAGUUCAUCUCCAUAAGCAUCAUUCAUAUUGGCAUCUUGUCCACAAGCAUAGCAAGCAUCAUCAAAAAGGGGUACUUCAAGAGAAUCAACGGGAUCAUAACAAUCAUCAUAGCAAUCAUCCUUCGGUAAGCACGAAGGGGAAUUAAACAAUGUAUGAGUUGAAGAGUUACUCUCAUUAGAAGGUGGGCACGGGUAGCUAAUCCGCUCUUCCUCCUUUUGUUCUUCGCUCUCCUCAUCAUCUUUUUCAUCCAAGGAGCUCACAGUUUCAGUAAUUUCUUCUUCCAUAGCUUCCUGUAAAAUAUUAGUCUCUUCUUGGACAGCGGAGAAGUCCUCAAUAUAUGGUUUAACAUAGGCAUUAGAAGCAUAAUUAUCAUAACAAUAUUUAAGUAUGGCAAAAAUUUUAGGUAUAUAAACUGAAUCAUCAAAAUCGUCAAACUCUUUAAACACAGAUUCAAUCUCAUAAGCACCCAUAAAAGCAACAAAUUCUUCUAUUUGUUCCACAUCAUAGUAAUCAUAGAUACCAUUAGCAUAAGAAGCCAAGGUUUUAUUAUCAUUAAAUUCGCAUGAAAAGGGAAGAUGUGGAGCCUCCCUCCUAGAGCAACAAGUAUAAUCAUAUCUCAAGCAUAGUUGCCUAGCAUACCAAUACAACAUAUUAAUUUGAUCCCAUAAUAGUUUCCCUUUUUGUGUCAAGCGAUAAUCCCUAAAGUAUUCACGUUGAUCCAAUGUGUCUCCCAUAACAAACUUGAAUGGGGUUUUCUCAGGAUUAUCAAAGUAGUACAUAAUUUCUUUCACAUAACGAGCAUCGAGGGUUUUAGGAGGUUCCCCAUCUCCAUGAGUAGCAACUACACCUAAUUUUUUUGGUAUUUCGUGUUCCAUAUCCAUAACUAAAGAUAGAGAACAACUAAGAACAGAAAAUAAAAAUUACUUAGUGAUAAAGCAAACAAGCACACACGAGAAUAUUCACCCCAUGCUUUGACUCCCUGGCAACAGCGCCAGAAAAAGGUCUUGAUAACUCGCAGGUAUACGGGAUCAAUGUAGCCUCUUUUGAUAAGUAAGAGUGUCGAACCCAACGAGGAGCUAAAGGUAGAAUAAAUAUUCUCUCAAGUCUUAUCUGCCACUGAUACGACUCUACGCACGCUUAGUGUUCGCUUUACCUAGAACAAGUAUGAAACUAGAAGUACUUUGUAGGUGUUGUUGGAUAGGUUUGCAAGAUAAUAAAGAACACGUAAAUAAAAGCUAGGGGCUGUUUAGAUAAAGAAGCAAUAAAGUAAAUAUAGCGAGUGUGGAAAAGUGGUGGUAGGAGUUGUGAAAUUGCCCCUAAGCAAUUGACUACGUUACUAGACCGGUAAUCACUAUUGCAAUUCUAUUUGAGGGAGCGGCAUAAGCUAACAUACUUUCUCUUCUUGGAUCAUAUGCACUUAUGAUUGGAACUCCAGCCAGCAUCCGCAACUACUAAAGAUCAUUAAGGUAAAACCCAACCAUAGCAUUAGAGUAUCAAGUCCCCUUUAUCCCAUACGCAAACAACCUACUUACUCGGGUCUGUGCUUCUGUCACUCACGCCACCCACCAUAAGCAAAUCAUGAACAUAUUGCAAACCCUACAGCGGGAAUCCCUCAUGCUUGCGCGACACGGAGGGCACAAUAGGACAGCACCAAUAAUAAAACAUGAAACUCAAACCUAUCAUAACAAUUCAUCAAUCACCGAUAGGACAACGAAAAUCUACUCAGACAUCAUAGGAUGGCAACACAUCAUUGGAUAAUAAUAUGAAGCAUAAAGCACCAUGUUCAAGUAGAGGGUACAGCGGGUUGCGGGAGAGUGGACCACUGCAGAUAGAAGGGGGAAGGUGAUGGAGAUGUUUGUGAAGAUUAUGGAGGUGUUGGUGAAGAUCGCGGUGAUGAUGAUGGCCCCCGACAGCGCUCCGGCGCCACCGGAAGCAAGGGGGAGAGAGGCCCCCUUCUUCUUCUUCUUCCUUGACCUCCUCCCUAGAUGGGAGAAGGGAUUCCCCUCUGGUCCUUGGCUCCCAUGUCGUGGGAGGGGCGAGAGCCCCUCCAAGAUUGGAUCUAUCUCUCUGUCUCUCCUUGUUUCUGCGUUCCCGGAUUCUGCCUUGGCACCGUUUCUUUUAUAUCUGGAGAUCCGUAACUUCGAUUGGAUUGAAACCUUCGCCCAGAUCUUUUUCCAAAAAUUAGCUUUCUUGCGGCCAAAGUAGAGCAUCAACCGCCUUACGAGGGGCCCACGAGGGUGGGGGCGCGCCCACCUGGAGUGGGCAUGGGCCCAUGUCUCGUGGCCACCUCGGGCACUGUCUUGUGUUGAUUUUACUUCCCAAAAAUCACAAAUAUUCCAAAAUAAUUCUCUGUCCAUUUUUAUCCUGUUUGGACUCCGUUUGAUAUGGGGUUUCUAUGAAACAUAAAACAUGCAAUAGACAGGAACUGGCACUGGGCACUGGAUCAAUAUGUUAGUCCCAAAAACAAUAUAAAAAGUUGCCAAAAGUAUAUGAAAGUUGAAUAAUAUUGGCAUGGAACAAUCAAAAAUUAUAGAUACGACGGAGACGUAUCAACCCACCGUAGAUAGAAAACUUGGUUCACAUGUUGAGCCAUAAUAUAGACAUCAAGAAUAUCUAAAUGGGUGCUUUGUUUGAUUUCGACUAGCCGUAUAUGUUCAUGAGUCCUUCUAGUCUCCUUCGGCUGGAACCAGUAACAUUUGAAGACUACGACAUUUGGUGCGUUUUGACCAUAGAAUAGAACUUAAUAAAUUGCUUCAACUCUCCCAUAAUACUCGAUACCUCCAUCGCCAAUAGAGGAAACACAACAAUUUGUAGACUUUCAGUCGGCCAUAGAUAGCUCUUUGCCGUAGGUACGAAAGUGAUACCCAUUGAUGUCAUAUUUGUCAAAUGAAAGGACCUUAAAGUCAAAACCAUUAGCGACUUGUCUCAAUUCGGCGUCCAUAGACUCUUAAUUAGCCUACAAGUUUAAUACAAAAGGAUUGUUGCAUUAGCCGCAAAUUAGAUGAAGAAAUGAGAAUGGUCUAAUGGAAAUUACCGUUUGUUUGAACCAAGAGAUGAAACCGGGAAAGGUGCGCUCCUUGCUUUGCCAUAAGCUCAUACUUUUCAAUGAAUUCCUUUUGGAUCACCGAGAAUUUGGCAACGUAUCGACUGUAUCAAAAAACAUUCGGGAAUAAGAGCAGUUCAAAGGAAUUAGAAGUUGUGAAACAAUGUACCGCGAGAACCUACUCGAUGUACUGCCGCACUUCUGUUAGGUUGGUGAAGAUAUACAAAAAUGGUCUGCCAUUCUUCGACAUCCAACGAUAUUUGUUUCAAAGCACCGGUUGGUGUGAGAUUCCCUUUGAAUAUAUUGAGGUUGGAUCCACCUUUUUUUGGUCGCCAGCAUUGUACCGAGGCUUUGGAUUAUGCAAAUGAUGAUUUUUGGCUUCGUAGCGUGUUGUCACGAAGUAUGCCGCCUCCUCAGUAAUGAAUGCCUCGGCCAUCGAUGCUUCAAUUCUACGUUUAUUUUUACAUUUUUCUCAGAGCUACUUCUGCAUCCUCUCAGUUACGUAGCACCAAUGAUUUUGCACGCCCCCCAGUCCUGCCUCGAUUGGGAGAUGCAAAAUCAAGUGUUGCAUUGGAUUAAAGAAGCCCGACAAAAAGAUCUUCUCUAACUUGCAGAUCAACUCCGGCGCCAACUCUUCCAUUUCUUCUAGCACGGUAGGCGAUACUUCUUUCGCACAAGGAACACGGAAUAAAUAGCUCAGAUUUUCCAGUACUAGCCAUUCAUCCUCAGGAAUGAAGCCACACAACAUCACCGACAUUACCCGCUCAAUCCAUAUGUUCCAAUCAUGACUCUUGAGACCAAAUAUUUUCAAUUUGUCAAUACUCGCUCCCCUCUUUAGAUUCGCUGCAUACCCAUCAUUGAACAUCAACUGCAUUUUCACCCACAAGAUAAUUUCCCUCAUAGUUGGCCUUCCAAGAUUGAACCAUGCCUUUGGCUUCAUCCAGUUCUGCUUUCCUUUUGGUUCUUGCAUGUUUUGUAAUGGUCUAUGACAUAGCGCCUCUUGAUCGACUCUAGCCUUAGUAUUAUCCUUUUACUUCCCCCUCUAUGCCAAACAAUGUACCAAAAAGUGCCUCGGCGAUAUUCUUUUCAGUGUGCAUCACGUCGAUGUUGUGUAGGCAAAGGAGGUCUUUGAAGUAAGGCAGAUCCCACAAGCAUGUCUUGUGAGUCUAGGCGUGUUAGGAAUUAUGCCCCUUGAAAUACCCUGGACGCUUUGGAUCUAGCUCGAGAGCGUUUAACUGAUCCAGGGUCUCUUGGCCUCUCAAUGGAGGUGGUGUAGAGUUUUUGACAACUCUACCUUUCAUGAAGUUCUUCUUGUAUUUCUUGAAAUUAUGGCGAGGAUCCAGGAACUAUCUAUUCAAGUCAAAGCAAGAAAACUUGCGACCCGCCCGCAACCAAUGAAACUCAAGAGCUGCCUUGCAUGUGGGGCACGGGAACCUUCCAUGCACACACCGGCCAACGAAUAGCGCAUACGCCGGCAAGUCAUGCAUCGAGUACAUGUACCAGACACGCAUUAUGAAGUUCUGUUUGUUAAAGGUGUCGUAUGUCUUGAACCCAUUAUCCUAAGCUUCUUGCAGUUCGUCCUUAAGCGGCUGCAUGUACACAUUCAUAUUCUUCCCCGGACAGUUCGGCCCUGGAAUUAUCAACGUCAGGAAAAUGUUCUUUCUUUGCAUAAUCUGUCCGGGGGGGGGGGAUUGAGUGGAAAUACAAAUACGGGCCAACAACUGUAUUGGGUUGCCGUCAGACCAAACACACUGAACCCAUCCGUGUUGAUGCCGACUCGAGGAUGCCUUGGAUCUACCGAUUUUUCCACAUAUAAUGCAUCGAAGCGCUUCCACGCUUCACCAUCCGAUGUGUGUAGCAUCAUCAGAUUCCCAUCUACAUCUAGUUCGGUUCUUUUGCCCGUUUUGUGCUAUGUCAUCUGUCUGAUCGUCUCUUCGACCAUGAAAAGACGUUGAAGUCUUGGUACAAUUGGCAUAUACCGAAGAAUAUUAACCGGGAUUUUGGUCUGCAUCUUCUCACCCAUACCGUUGUCUACGACAAUAUACCUGGAAGACUUGCAAAUGGGACAAUAGUUCAAGUCCGCAUACUCAAGCCUAAAUAAGGCACAUCCUUUCUCACAUGCAUGUAUCUUCUCAUAGGGCAUCUUAAGUGCAUGGAGGACUUUGUGUGACUGGUAUAGGUUUGCAGGCAGUAAAUGGCCUUUGGGUAGAAAGCGUCCAAAUACUAUCAUCAUCGCGUCGUAGCAUUCUCUGCCCAAGUUAAAUUGAGCCUUCAGAGCCAUUAUUUGUGAGAUGGCAUCUGAUACAUCUCCGUCGUAUCUAUAAUUUUUUAUUGUUCCAUGCCAAUAUUAGAGUUAAUUACACUAUUAGUACAUAAACUCACAACUUGGGUACAAUUUGAUAAAAAAACUUGCAAAAUGACGCAACCUAGCCCCUAAACUUGCUUUUCGGGUUCACUAAUGCACAAUUAGCGCCCGUAUUAGCCAAGUCGGACGCCAGAUAGUCCCCUGCACUUGGUCCACGUCUAAGAUAAUUUGUAGGAACCCCCACUGGUAUGCUGAAAAUAGAUCGCUAGCCCAGCCAAAUCACAUAGCUCCUUUUCCUUAUUUGUUCAUUCCACAGAAUCCCUAGAGACCUCUCCUCUGUUCUGGCAUUGGUGGUAGCCCUCGCGGUGGCAUUGGUGGUGGCGGUCGCAGCAGCAGCUGAGGCAGCGGCUGCAACUAAGAGCAGGAGCUCGCGGUGGCGGCCGUUGUGGGGACGUCAGUGGUGGUGCUCACGGUUGUUGGCCGGGGCGGGCGACUGCAAUGACGAGGUGGCACUCGCAGCGGUGUCAGUUGUGGGGCUUGCGGUUGUUGGCCGGGGCGGGCGACUACAAUGACGAGGUGGCAUUCGCAUGGUGUCAGUGUGGCACUCGCGGUGGCGGCCCGUGCGGCGGCUGCAACGAAGACUGAAUGUGCUUGUCCUCUCUUGUUGUAUUCUUAAGUUCUCUUGCGGACAAGAAACGAGCAGUCGAAGCGGCCAAUGAGAAACGAACAUGCAGAUGAACAUGAACAGACGAAGGGGUUUGUGCUGGGUUUGCAGUGCAAAUGUAAUUUUUUGCAUAACCUCAGUUGCCAUUUUUAAGUUUUCUACUGUACCAACUCUCUCUAAAGGCCGCGGGUUCACUAAUUGCUAUACUUGGGGGCGUUUCUGCGUAAUAUCUGACUGACCAGCGCGCCCCUCCUGUCCGACGUGGCAGGUUUCAGACUAAAUUGUAUCGAUUUGUUCUCGCGGAGCAAGUUUAGGGGCUAAUUUGAGUCGUUUUGCAAGUUCAUGUAUGAAAUUGUACACCCGCUGCAAGUUUGUGUACUAAAAUUGUAAUUAACUCCCAAUAUUAUUCAACUUUCAUAUACUUUUGGCAACUUUUUAUAAUAUUUUUUGGGACUAACAUAAUGAUCCAGUGUCCAGUGACAGUUCCUAUCUGUUGCAUUUUUAUGUUUCGCAGAAACCCCAUAUCAAACGGGAUAAAAAUGGACGGAGAAUUAUUUUGGAAUAUUUGUGAUUUUUGGGAGGAAGAAUCAAUGCGAGACGAUGCCCGAGGUGGCCACGAGAUAGGGGCCCAUGCCCACUUAAAGUGGGCGCCCCCCACUCUCGUGGGCCACCCGUAAGGCGGUUGAUGCCCUUCUUUGGCCGUAAGAAAGCUAAUUAUUGGAAAACAAUCUGGGCGAAGGUUUCAAUCCAAUCGGAGUUACAGAUCUCCAGAUAUAAAGGAAACGGUGCCAGGGCAGAAUUCUAGAACGUAGAAACAAAGAGAUAGAUCCAAUCUCGGAGGGGCUCUCGCCCCUCCCACGCCAUGGGAGCCAAUGAACAGAGGGGAAACCCUUCUCCCAUCUAGGAAGGAGGUCAAGGAAGAAGAAGAAGAAGGGGGGCCCUCUCACCCUUGCUUCCGGUGGCGCCGGAACACUGCCGGGGGCCAUCAUCAUCACCGCGAUCUUCACCAACAACUUCACCGCCUUCAUCACCAACUCUUCCCCCCUCUAUGCAGCGGUGUAACCCCUCUCUUACCCGCUGUAAUAUCUACUUAAACAUGGUGCUCAAUGCUAUAUAUUAUUUCCCAAUGAUGUAUGGCUAUCUUAUGAUGUUUGAGUAGAUCCAUUUUGUCAUAUGGGUUAAUUCAUGAUCGUGAUUGGUUUGAGUUGCAAGUUUUAUUAUUGGUGCUGUCCUAUGGUGCUCUCCAUGUCGCGCAAGCGUGAGGGAUCCCCGCUGUAGGGUUUGCAAUAUGUUAAUGAUUUGCUUAUGGUGGGUGGCGUGAGUGAACAGAAGCACAAACCCGAAUAAGUAGGUUGUUUGUGUAUGGGAUAAAGAGGACUUGAUGCUUUAAUGCUAUGGUUGGGUUUUACCUUAAUGAAUCUUUAGUAGUUGCGGACGGUUGCUAGAGUUCCAAUCAUAAGUGCAUAUGAUCCAAGUAGAGAAAGUAUGUUAGCUUAUGCCUCUCCCUCAAAUAGAAUUGCAAUAGUGAUUAUCGGUCUAGUUAUCGAUUGACUUGGACAAAUAACUUUAUCAUAACAAAAAUCUCUCUACUAAUACUUACUUUAUUGCAUCUUUAUCUAAACAGCCCCUAGUUUAUAUUUACGUGCAUUUUAUUAUCUUGCAAACCUAUCCAACAACACCUACAAAGUACUUCUAGUUUCAUACUUGUUCUAGGUAAAGCGAACGUGAAGCGUGCGUAGAGUCGUAUCAGUGACCGAUAGGACUUGAGAGAGUAUUUGUUCUACCUUUAGCUCCUCGUUGGGUUCGACACUCUUACUUAUCGAAAGAGACUACAACUAUCCCGUAUACUUGCGUGUCAUCAAGAACUUUUUCUGGCACCGUUGCCGGGGAGUCAUAGCGUGGGGUGAAUAUUCUCGUGUGUUCUUGUUUGCUUUAUCACUAAGUAAUUUUAUUUGCUGUUCUAAGUUGUUCUCUAUCUUUAGUUAUGGAUAUGGAACACGAAAUACCAAAAAAAUUAGGUGUACUCGCUACGCAUGGAGAUGGGGUAACUCCUAAAACCCUCGAUGUUCAUCAUGUGAGAAAUAUUUUGUACUACUUUGAUAAUCCUGAGAAAACCCAACUUAACUUCAUAAUGGGAGACACGUUGGAUCAACGUGAAUACUUUAGGGAUUAUCACUUGACACAAAAAGGGAAACUAUUAUGGGAUCAAAUUCAAAUGUUGAAGUGGUAUGCUAGGCAACUAUGCUUGAAAUAUGAUAUUACUUGUUGCUCUAGGAUGAAGGCUCCACAUCUUCCCUUUUCCUGCAAAUUUAAUGAUAAUAAAACCUUAUCUUCUUAUGCUAAUGGUAUAUAUGAUUACUAUGAUGUUGAACAAAUAGAAGAAUUUGUUGCUUUUAAGGCUGCUUAUGAAAUUGAAUCUUUGUUUGAAAAGUAUAAAGCUUUAGAUGAUGAUGUUUAUAGGCCUGAAAAUCUUGCUAUACUUAGAUAUUGCUAUGAAAAUUAUGAAUACAAUUACAAUAUUAAUGCAUUUAUUAAGGAAGUCUUCGUUGUCCAAGAAGAGACUAAUAUUUAGCAGGAAGCUAUGGAAGAAGAAAUUGAUGAAACUGUGAGCUCAUUGGAUGAAAAAGAUGAUGAGGAGAGCAAAGAACAAAAGGAGGAAGAGCGGAUUGAUCACCCGUGCCCACCUUCUAAUGAGAGUAACUCUUCAACUCAUACAUUGUUUAAUUCCCCUUCGUGCUUACCGAAGGAUGAUUGUUAUGAUCCCGUUGAUUCUCUUGAAAUACCCCUUUUUGAUGAUGCUUGCUAUGCUUGUGGCCAAGAUGCCAAUAUGAAUUAUGCUUAUGGAGAUGAACUUGCUAUAGUUCCUUAUGUUAAACAUGAAAUUGUUGCUAUUGCACCCACGCAUGAUAGUCCUAUUUUCUUUUUGAAUUCUCCAAACUACACUAUAUUGGAGAAGUUUGAGCUUAUUAAGGAUUAUAUUGAUGGGUUGUGUUUUACUACUUUACAUGAUGAUUUUAAUAGAUAUAAUAUGCAUGUUCUUUCUGCUCCUACUUGCAAUUAUUAUGAGAGAGGAACUAUGUCUCCACCUCUCUAUGUUUCCAACACGAUAGAAUUGCAAGAAACUGCUUAUACUAUGCAUUGGCCUUUACUUGGUGUGCAUGAAUUGUUCUUUUAUGACAUGCCGAUGCAUAGGAAGAGAGUUAGACUUCGUUGUUGCUUGAUAUACGUUACUUUGUGCUCACUACUAAAUUACAAAUCAUUGUUAAUUAAAAUUGGCUUUGAGAUACCUUGGGAUCCAGGUGGAUUCAUUACUUGAGCACUAAAUGCCUAGCUUAAUGGCUUUAAAGAAAGCGCUGCCAGGGAGACAACCUGGAAGUUUUAGAGAGUCAUUUAUUUCUGUUGAGUGCUUUUAUAUAUUUUAAAAACGAAAUAAAUAAAUAAAGAGGGGAACCUAAAAACUUUUCAAAAAGGAAAGUGAAAGUGAGAAAGACAAGCAGUGUUGAAGGGGGAGAGCUCCUUGAACUUUGUUCAUGCUCACAGAAACUUUGUGAAUCUUGAUUACAGAAACUUUUCAUCAAAGAUAAUUAUCCCCUUGAACAAUUCCACUGUAUUAUAAAAAUAAUGUGCCAAGGUUUGCAUUUAGGAUGUUUACAAUGCUUGUUGGUUUGUAUGAUGCAGGACAGAAACUUUGGCUGUAGUGCAUGAUUUUACAUUUUUAACUGGAACGUCAAUUGGUUCUGAUUCUUUUUGCAAUGUCUUGAUAUACAACCUGUUUAUGUUUCCUAAUUGUGGUAGAAUUUUUGGGGUACCAGAAGUAUGGUGGAUGUUCAGAUUGCUACAGACUGUUCUGUUUUUGACAGAUUCUGUUUUUGAUGCAUAGUUUGCUUGUUCUGAUGAAUCUAUCAAUUUAUAUUAGUGGAUUAAGCCAUGGAAAAGUUAUAUUACAGUAGACACAAUGAAAAAACAAAAUAUGAAUUGGUUUGCAACAGUACUUAGUGUUGGGUUUCGUAGUAAUUUCAAAAAAUUUCCUACGUACACGCAAGAUCAUGUGAUGCAUAGCAACGAGGGGAGAGUGUUGUCUACGUACCCAAUGCAGACCGACUGCGGAAGCAAUGACACGACGUAGAGGAAGUAGUCGUACGUCUUCACGAUCCAACCGAUCAAGCACCGAAACUACGGCACCUCCGAGUUCGAGCACACGUUCACCUCGAUGACGAUCCACGGACUCCGAUCCAGCAAAGUGUCGGGGAAGAGUUCCGUCAGCACGACGGCGUGGUGACGAUCUUGAUGAACUACAGCAGCAGGGCUUCGCCUAAACUCCGCUACAGUAUUAUCGAGGUAUAUGGUGGAAGUGGGCACCGCACACGGCUAAGGAAUAGAUCACGUGGAUCAACUUGUUGUGUCUUUGGUGCUAGCCCUGCCCCUCUAUUUAUAUGUUGAGCCCCGGGGUCGAAACUUGGAGCAAAAGCCUCCUCAAAGUCGGUUUUGCCUGAAAGGCAAGAGUUCCACUCGGACUCCAGGACCAAAUGCCAUAAUCCUUGGCGUCUGGCGCAGACGCCAUGGGCCUCGGUGUCUGGCCCAGGGCCAGACGCCAGGGUCUCCGGCGUUUGGCCCCCUGGCCUCCGCAAAACUCCUUUUUGCACCGAUCUAAAGCCUCAUGGGCUUGACCCCUUGGCCUAACCAUAUCAUCCAAUAUAUGAAUCUUUACGUCUCGACCAUUUCGAGACUCCUCGUCAUGUCCCCGAUCUCAUCCGGGACUCCGAACUCCUUCGGUUCAUCAAAACAUGUAAACUCAUAAUAUAACUGUCAUCGUAACCUUAAGCGUGCGGACCCUAUGGGUUCGAGAACAAUGUAGACAUGACCGAGACACGUCUCCGGUCAAUAACCAAUAGCGUGACCUGGAUGCCCAUAUUGGCUCCUACAUAUUCUACGAAGAUCUUUAUCGGUCAGACCGCAUAACAACAUACGUUGUUCCCUUUGUCAUCGGUAUGUUACUUGCCCGAGAUUCGAUCGUCGGUAUCCAAUACCUAGUUCAAUCUCGUUACCGGCAAGUCUCUUUACUCGUUCCGUAAUACAUCAUCUCACAACUAACAUAUUAGUUGUAAUGCUUGCAAGGCUUAUGUGAUGUGUAUUACCGAGAGGGCCCAGAGAUACCUCUCCGACAAUCGGAGUGACAAAUCCUAAUCUUGAAAUACGCCAAAUCAACAUCGACCAUUGGAGACACCUGUAGUACUCCUUUAUAAUCACCCAGUUACGUUGUGACGUUUGGUAGUACCCAAAGUGUUCCUCCGGUAAACGGGAGUUGCAUAAUCUCAUAGUCAUAGGAACAUGUAUAAGUUAUGAAGAAAGCAAUAGCAACAUACUAAACGAUCGUGUGCUAAGCUAAUGGAAUGGGUCAUGUCAAUCAGAUCAUUCUACUAAUGAUGUGACCUCGUUAAUCAAAUAACAACUCAUUGUUCAUGGUUAGGAAACAUAACCAUCUUUGAUUAACGAGCUAGUCAAGUAGAGGCAUACUAGUGACACUUUGUUUGUCUAUGUAUUCACACAUGUAUUAUGUUUCCGGUAAAUACAAUUCUAGCAUGAAUAAUAAACAUUUAUCAUGAUUAUAAGGAAAUAAAUAAUAACUUUAUCAUUGCCUCUAGGGCAUAUUUCCUUCAGUCUCCCACUUGCACUAGAGUCAAUAAUCUAGUUCACAUCGUCAUGUGAUUUAACACAAAUAUUCACAUCUGUAUAUGAUUAACACCCAUAGUUCACAUCAUCAUGUGACCAACACCCAAAGGGUUUACUAGAGUCAAUAAUCUAGUUCACAUCGCUAUGUGAUUAACAUCCAAAGAGUACUAAGGUGUGAUCAUGUUUUGCUCGUGAGAGAAGCUUAGUCAACGGGUCUGUCACAUUCAGAGCCGUAUGUAUUUUGCAAAUAUUCUAUGUCUACAAUGCUCUGUACGGAGCUACUCUAGCUAAUCGCUCCCACUUUCAAUAUGUAUCCAGAUUGAGACUUAGAGUCAUCUGGAUCAGUGUAAAAGUUUGCACUGAUGUAACUUUUACAACAAACUCUUUUAUCACCUCCAUAAUCGAGAAACAUCUCCUUAGUCCUUACUAAGGAUAUUCUUGACCAAUGUCUAGUGAUCUACUCCUAGAUCAUUAUUGUACUCCCUUGCCAAAUACAGAGCAAGGUAUACAAUAGGUCUAGUACAAAGCAUAGCAUACUUUAUAGAACCUAUGACUGAGGCAUAGGGAAUGACUUUUCAUUCUCUUUCUAUUUUCUGCUGUGGUCGGGAUUUGAGUCUAACUCAAUUUCAUACCUUUGCAACACAGGCAAGAACUCUUUCUUUAACUGUUUCAUUUUGAACUAUUUCAAAAUCUUGCCAAGGUAUGUACUCAUUGAAAAUCUUAUCAAGCGUCUUGAUCUAUCUCAAUAGAUCUUGAUGCUCAAUAUAUAAGUAGCUUUUUACUGAGGUCUUUUCUUUUUAAAGAACUCCUUUAAAACACUCCUUUAUGCUUUGUAGAAAAAUUCUACAUCAUUUCUGAUCAACAAUAUGUCACUCACAUAUACUAAUCAGAAAGGCUGUAGUGCUCCCACUCACUUUAUUGUAAAUACAGGCUUCAUCGUAAGUCCAUAUAAAACUAUAUGCUUUGAUCAACUUAUCAAAGCGUAUAUUCCAACUCCGAGAUGCUUGCACCAGUCCAUAGAUGGAUCGCUGGAGCUUGCACAUUUUGUUAGCACCUUUAGGAUUGACAAAACCUUCUGGUUGCAUCAUAUACAACUCUUCUUUAAUAAAUCCAUUAAGGAAUGCAGUUUUGACAUCCAUUUGCCAGAUUUCAUAAAAUGUGGCAAUUGCUAACAUGAUUCAGAUAGACUUAAGCAUCGAUACGAGUGAGAAAACCUCAUCGUAUUCAACACCUUGAACUUGUUGAAAAACUUUUGCAACAAGUCGAGCUUUGGUAGAUAGUAACACUACUAUCAGUGUCCGUCUUCCUCUUGAAGAUCCAUUUAUUUAACAUGGCUUUGCUGAUCAUCGAGCAAGUCAAUCAAAGUCCAUACUUUGUUGUCAUACAUGGAUCAUAUCUCAGAUUUUAUGGCCUCAAGCCAUCUCGCGGAAUCUGGGCUCAUCAUCGCUUCCUCAUAGUUCGUAGGUUCAUCAUGGUCUAGUAACAUGACUUCCAGAACAUGAUUACUACACCACUCUGGUGCAGAUCUUACUCUGGAAGACCUACGAGGUUCUGUAGUAACUUGAUCUGAAGUUUUAUGAUCAAUAUCAUUAGCUUCCUCACUAAUUGGUGUAUUUGUCACAGGAACUGAUUUCUGUGAUGAACUACUUUCCAAUAAGGGAGCAGGUACAGUUACCUCAUCAAGUUCUACUUUCCUCCCACUCACUUCUUUCGAGAGAAACUCCUUCUCUAGAAAGGAUCCAUUUUUUUAGCAACGAAUAUCUUGCCUCCGGAUCUGUGAUAGAAGGUGUACCCAACAAUUUCCUUUGGGUAUUCUAUGAAGACGCACUUCUCCGAUUUGGGUUCGAGCUUAUCAGGAUGAAACUUUUCCACAUAAGCAUCGCAGCCCCAAAUUUUAAGAAACGACAACUUGGGUUUCUUGCUAAACCACAGUUCAUAUAGUGUCGUCUCAACGGAUUUAGAUGGUGCCCUUUUAACGUGAAUGCAGCUGUCUCUAAUGCAUAACCCUAAAACGACAAUGGUAAAUCAAUAAGAGACAUCAUAGAUCGCACCAUAUCCAAUAAAGCGCGGUUACGACGUUCAGACACACCAUAACAUUGUGGUGUUCCAGGUGGCGUGAGCUAUGAAACUAUUCCACAAUGUUUUCAUUGAAGACCAAACUCGUAACUCAAAUAUUCGUCUCCGCGAUCAGAUCAUAGAAACUUUAUUUUCUUGUCACGAUGAUUUUCCACUUCACUCUGAAAUUCUUUGAAUUGUUCAAAUGUUUCAAACUUAUGUUUCAUCAAGUAGAUAUCCCCAUAUCUGCUCAAAUCAUCUGUGAAGGUCAGAAAAUAAUGAUACCUGCUGCAAGCUUUAAUAUUCACCGGACCACAUACAUCAGUAUGUAUGAUCUCCAACAAAUCUGUUGCUUGCUUCAUUGUUCCGGAGAACGGCGUUUUAGUCAUCUUGCCCAAAAGGCAUGGUUCGCAAGCAUCAAGUGAUUCAUAAUCAAGUGAUUCCAAAAUCCCAUCAGCAUGGAGUUUCUUCAUGCGCUUUACACCAAUAUGACCUAAACGGCAGUGCUACAAAUAAGUUGCACUAUCAUUAUUAACUUUGCAUCUUUUGGUUUCAAUAUUAUGAUUAUGUGUAUCACUACGAUCGAGAUCCAACGAACUAUUUUCAUUGGGUGUGUAACCAUAUAAGGUUUUAUUCAUGUAAACAGAACAACAAUUUAUUCUCUUACUUAAAUGAAUAACCGUAUUACAAUAAACAUGAUCAAAUCAUAUUCAUGCUCAACGCAAACACCAAAUAACACUUAUUCAGGUUCAACACUAAUCCCGAAAGUAUAGGGAGUGUGCGAUGAUGAUCAUAUCAAUCUUGGAACCACUUCCAACACACAUCGUCACUUCACCCUUAACUAGUCUCUGUUUAUUCUGCAACUCCCGUUUCGAGUUACUAAUCUUAGCAACUGAACUAGUAUCAAAUACUGAGGGGUUGCCAUAAACACUAGUAAAGUACACAUCAAUAACAUGUAUAUAAAAUAUACUUAUGUUCACUUUGCCAUCCUUCUUAUCCGCCAAUCACUUGGGGUGAUUCCGUUUCCGGUGACCAGUCCCUUUGCAGUAGAAGCACUUAGUCUCAGGCUUAGGACCAGACUUGGGCUUCUUUACUUGAGCAGCAACUUGCUUGCCCUUCUUCUUGAAGUUCCCCUUCUUCCCUUUGCCCUUUUCUUGAAACUAGUGGUCUUAUCAACCAUCAACACUUGAUGUUUUUCUUGAUUUCUACCUUCAUUGAUUUCAUCAUCACGAAGAGCUUGGGAGUUGUUUCCGUUAUCCCUUGCAUAUUAUAGUUCAUCACGAAGUUCUACUAACUUGGUGAUGGUGACUAGAGAAUUCUGUCAAUCACUAUCUUAUCUGGAAGAUUAACUCCCACUUGAUUCAAGCGAUUGUAGUACCCAGAUAAUUUGAGCACAUGCUCACUAGUUGAGCGAUUCUCCUCCAUCUUUUAGCUAUAGAACUUGUUGGAGACUUCAUAUCUCACAACUCGGGUAUUUGCUUGAAAUAUUAACUUCAACUCCUGGAACAUCUCAUAUGCUCCAUGACGUUCAAAACGUCGUUGAAGUCCCGAUUCUAAGCCAUUAAGCAUGGUGCACUAAACUAUCAAGUAGUCAUCAUAUUGAGCUAGCCAAACGUUCAUAACGUCUGCAUCUGCUCCUGCAAUAGGUCCGUCACCUAGCGGUGCAUCAAGGACAUAAUUCUUCUGUGCAGUAAUGAGGAUAAACCUCAGAUCACGGAUCCAAUCCGCAUCAUUGCUACUAACAUUUUUCAACAUGAUUUUCUCUAGGAACAUAUCAAAAUAAACACAGGGAAGCAACAACGCGAGCUAUUGAUCUACAACAUAAUUUGCAAAAUACUACCAGGACUAAGUUCAUGAUAAAUUAAAGUUCAAUUAAUCAUAUUAUUUAAGAACUCCCACUUAGAUAGACAUCCCUCUAAUCCUCUAAGUGAUUACGUGAUCCAAAUCAACUAAACCAUGACCGAUCAUCACGUGAGAUGGAGUAGUUUUCAAUGGUGAACAUCGUUAUGUUGAUCAUAUCUACUAUAUGAUUCACGCUCGACCUUUUGGUCUCCGUGUUCCGAGGCCAUAUCUGUAUAUGCUAGGCUCGUCAAGUUUAACCUGAGUAUUCUGCGUGUGCAAAACUGGCUUGCACCCGUUGUAGAUGGACGUAGAGCUUAUCACACCCGAUCAUCACGUGGUGUCUGGGCACGACGAACUUUGGCAACGGUGCAUACUCAGGGAGAACACUUCUUGAUAAUUUAGUGAGAGAUCAUCUUAUAAUGCUACCGUCAAUCAAAGCAAGAUAAGAUGCAUAAAAAGAUAAACAUCACAUGCAAUCAAUAUAAGUGAUAUGAUAUGGUCAUCAUCAUCUUGUGCUUGUGAUCUCCAUCUCCGAAGCACCGUCAUGAUCACCAUCGUCACCGGCGUGACACCUUGAUCUCCAUCGUAGCAUCGUUGUCGUCUCGCCAAUCUUAUGCUUCCACGACUAUCACUACCGUUUAGUAAUAAAGUAAAGCAUUACAUCGCGAUUGCAUUGCAUACAAUAAAGCGACAACCAUAUGGCUCCUGCCAGUUGCCGAUAACUCGGUUACAAAACAUGAUCAUCUCAUACAAUAAAAUUCAGCACCAUGCCUUGACCAUAUCACAUCACAACAUGCCCUGCAAAAACAAGUUAGACUUCCUCUACUUUGUUGUUGCAUGUUUUACGUGGCUGCUACGGGCUUAAGUAAGAACCAAUCUCACCUACGCAUCAAAACCACAACGAUAGUUUGUCAAAUAGACUCCGUUUUAACCUUCUCAAGGACCGGGCGUAGCCAUACUCGGUUCAACUAAAGUUGGAGAGACAGUCGCCCGCAAGCCAUCUAUGUGCAAAGCACGUCGAGGGAACCGGUCUCGCGUAAGCGUACGCGUAAGGUUGGUCCGGGUCGUCUCGUCCAACAAUACCGCCGAACCAAAGUAUGACAUGCUGGUAGGCAGUAUGACUUGUAUCGUCCACAACUCACUUGUGUUCUACUCGUGCAUAUAACAUCAACAUAAGUAACCUAGGCUCUGAUACCACUGUUGGGUUUCGUAGUAAUUUCAAAAAAUUUCCUACGUACACGCAAGAUCAUGUGAUGCAUAGCAACGAGGGGAGAGUGUUGUCUACGUACCCAAUGCAGACCGACUGCGGAAGCGAUGACACGACGUAGAGGAAGUAGUCGUACGUCUUCACGAUCCAACCGAUCAAGCACCGAAACUACGGCACCUCCGAGUUCGAGCACACGUUCAGCUUGAUGACGAUCCCCGGACUCCGAUCCAGCAAAGUGUCGGGGAAGAGUUCCGUCAGCACGACGGCGUGGUGACGAUCUUGAUGAACUACAGCAGCAGGGCUUCGCCUAAACUCCGCUACAGUAUUAUCGAGGUAUAUGGUGGAAGGGGGCACCGCACACGGCUAAGGAAUAGAUCACGUGGAUCAACUUGUUGUGUCUUUGGUGCUAGCCCUGCCCCUCUAUUUAUAUGUUGAGCCCCGGGGUCGAAACUUGGAGCAAAAGCCUCCUCAAAGUCGGUUUUGCCCGAAAGGCAAGAGUUCCACUCGGACUCCAGGACCAAACGCCACAAUCCUUGGCGUCUGGCCCAGACGCCAUGGGCCUCGGCGUCUGGCCCAGGGCCAGACGCCAGGGUCUCCGGCGUUUGGCCCCCUGGCCUCCGCAAAACUCCUUUUUGCACCGAUCUAAAGCCUCAUGGGCUUGACCCCUUGGCCUAACCAUAUCAUCCAAUAUAUGAAUCUUUACGUCUCGACCAUUUCGAGACUCCUCGUCAUGUCCCCGAUCUCAUCCAGGACUCCGAACUCCUUCGGUUCAUCAAAACAUGUAAACUCAUAAUAUAACUGUCAUCGUAACCUUAAGCGUGCGGACCCUACGGGUUCGAGAACAAUGUAGACAUGACCGAGACACAUCUCCGGUCAAUAACCAAUAGCGGGACCUGGAUGCCCAUAUUGGCUCCUACAUAUUCUACGAAGAUCUUUAUCGGUCAGACCGCAUAACAACAUACGUUGUUCCCUUUGUCAUCGGUAUGUUACUUGCCCGAGAUUCGAUCGUCGGUAUCCAAUACCUAGUUCAAUCUCGUUACCGGCAAGUCUCUUUACUCGUUCCGUAAUACAUCAUCUCACAACUAACAUAUUAGUUGUAAUGCUUGCAAGGCUUAUGUGAUGUGUAUUACCGAGAGUGCCCAGAGAUACCUCUCCGACAAUCGGAGUGACAAAUCCUAAUCUCGAAAUACGCCAACCCAACAUCGACCAUUGGAGACACCUGUAGUACUCCUUUAUAAUCACCCAGUUACGUUGUGACGUUUGGUAGUACCCAAAGUGUUCCUCCGGUAAACGGGAGUUGCAUAAUCUCAUAGUCAUAGGAACAUGUAUAAGUCAUGAAGAAAGCAAUAGCAACAUACUAAACGAUCGGGUGCUAAGCUAAUGGAAUGGGUCAUGUCAAUCAGAUCAUUCUACUAAUGAUGUGACCUCGUUAAUCAAAUAACAACUCAUUGUUCAUGGUUAGGAAACAUAACCAUCUUUGAUUAACGAGCUAGUCAAGUAGAGGCAUACUAGUGACACUUUUGUUUGUCUAUGUAUUCACACAUGUAUUAUGUUUCCGGUAAAUACAAUUCUAGCAUGAAUAAUAAACAUUUAUCAUGAUUAUGAGGAAAUAAAUAAUAACUUUAUUAUUGCCUCUAGGGCAUAUUUCCUUCACAAACAUAGGCUUCCAAUAUAUCAAUCUUUACGUCUCGACCAUUUCGAGACUCCUCGUCAUGUCCGUGAUCACAUCUGGGACUCCGAACAACCUUCGGUACAUCAAAAUGCAUAAACUCAUAAUGUAACUGUCAUCGUAACCUUAAGCGUGCGGACCCUACGGGUUCGAGAACAAUGUAGACAUGACCGAGACAUGUCUCUGGUCAAUAACCAAUAGCGGGACCUGGAUGCCCAUAUUGGCUCCUACAUAUUCUACGAAGAUCUUUAUCGGUCAGACCGCAUAACAACAUACGUUGUUCCCUUUGUCAUCGGUAUGUUACUUGCCCGAGAUUCGAUCGUCGGUAUCCAAUACCUAGUUCAAUCUCGUUACCGGCAAGUCUCUUUACUCGUUCCGUAAUACAUCAUCUCACAACUAACAUAUUAGUUGUAAUGCUUGCAAUGCUUAUGUGAUGUGUAUUACCGAGAGGGCCCAGAGAUACCUCUCCGACAAUCGGAGUGACAAAUCCUAAUCUCGAAAUACGCCAACCCAACAUCGACCAUUGGAGACACCUGUAGUACUCCUUUAUAAUCACCCAGUUACGUUGUGACGUUUGGUAGUACCCAAAGUGUUCCUCCGGUAAACGGGAGUUGCAUAAUCUCAUAGUCAUAGGAACAUGUAUAAGUCAUGAAGAAAGCAAUAGCAACAUACUAAACGAUCGGGUGCUAAGCUAAUGGAAUGGGUCAUGUCAAUCAGAUCAUUCUACUAAUGAUGUGACCUCGUUAAUCAAAUAACAACUCAUUGUUUAUGGUUAGGAAACAUAACCAUCUUUGAUUAACGAGCUAGUCAAGUAGAGGCAUACUAGUGACACUCUGUUUGUCCAUGUAUUCACACAUGUAUUAUGUUUCCGGUAUAUACAAUUCUAGCAUGAAUAAUAAACAUUUAUCAUGAUUAUAAGGAAAUAAAUAAUAACUUUAUUAUUGCCUCUAGGGCAUAUUUCCUUCAGUCUCCCACUUGCACUAGAGUCAAUAAUCUAGAUUACACUGUAAUGAAUCUAACACCCAUGGAGCUUUGGUGCUGAUCAUGUUUUGCUCGUGGAAGAGGCUUAGUCAACGGGUCUGCAACAUUCAGAUCCGUAUGUAUCUUGCAAAUCUCUAUGUCUCCCACCUGGACUAGAUCCCGGAUGGAGUUGAAGCGUCUCUUGAUGUGUUUGGUCCUUUUGUGAAAUCUGGAUUCCUUUGCCAAGGCAAUUGCACCAGUAUUGUCACAAAAGAUUUUCAUUGGACCCGAUGCACUAGGUAUGACACCUAGAUCGGAUAUGAACUCCUUCAUCCAGACUCCUUCAUUUGCUGCUUCCGAAGCAGCUAUGUAUUCCGCUUCACAUGUAGAUCCCGCUACAACGCUUUGUUUAGAACUGCACCAACUGACAGCUCCACCGUUUAAUGUAAACACGUAUCCGGUUUGCGAUUUAGAAUCGUCCGGAUCAGUGUCAAAGCUUGCAUCAACGUAACCUUUUACGGUGAGCUCUUUGUCACCUCCAUAUACGAGAAACAUAUCCUUAGUCCUUUUCAGGUAUUUUAGGAUGUUCUUGUUAGGUUUCGUAGUAAUUUCAAAAAUUUUCCUACGCGCACACAGGAUCAUGUGAUGCAUAGCAACGAGAGGAGAGUGUUGUCUACGUACCCAACGCAGACCGACUGCGGAAGCGAUGACACGACGUAGAGGAAGUAGUCGUACGUCUUCACGAUCCAACCGAUCAAGCACCGAAACUACGGCACCUCCGAGUUCGAGCACACGUUCAGCUCGAUGACGAUCCCCGGACUCCGAUCCAGCAAAGUGUCGGGGAAGAGUUUCGUCAGCACGACGGCGUGGUGACGAUCUUGAUGAACUACAGCAGCAGGGCUUCGCCUAAACUCCGCUACAGUAUUAUCGAGGAAUAUGGUGGCAGGGGGCACCGCACACGGCUAAGGAAUCGAUCACGUGGAUCAACUUGUGUCAACUUGUGUGUUUAGAGGUGCCCCUGCCUCCGUAUAUAAAGGAGGAGAGGAGGGGAGGCUGGCCGGCCAAGGGGGGAGGCGCAGGAGAGUCCUACUCCCUCUGGGAGUAGGAUUCCCCCUCCAAUCCUAGUCCAACUAGGAUUCCUCGGAGGGGAAAAGAGGAGGAGGGGGCCGGCCACCUCUCCUAGUCCUAAUAGGACUAGGGGAAGGGGGGGCGCAGCCCAACUUGGGCAGCCCCUUCUCUUUUCCACUAAGGCCCACUAUGGCCCAAAUAGCUCCCGGGGGGUUCCGGUAACCCUCCCGGUAUUCCGGUAAAAUCCCGAUUUCACCCGGAACACUUCCGAUAUCCAAAUAUAGGCUUCCAAUAUAUCAAUCUUUAUGUCUCGACCAUUUCGAGACUCCUCGUCAUGUCCGUGAUCACAUCCGGGACUCCGAACAACCUUCGGUACAUCAAAAUGCAUAAACUCAUAAUAUAACUGUCAUCGUAACCUUAAGCGUGCGGACCCUACGGGUUCGAGAACAAUGUAGACAUGACCGAGACACGUCUCCGGUCAAUAACCAAUAGCGGGACCUGGAUGCCCAUAUUGGCUCCUAAAUAUUCUACGAAGAUCUUUAUCGGUCAGACCGCAUAACAGCAUACGUUGUUCCCUUUGUCAUCGGUAUGUUACUUGCCCGAGAUUCGAUCGUCGGUAUCCAAUACCUAGUUCAAUCUCGUUACCGGCAAGUCUCUUUACUCGUUCCGUAAUACAUCAUCUCACAACUAACAUAUUAGUUGUAAUGCUUGCAAGGCUUAUGUGAUGUGUAUUACCGAGAGGGCCCAGAGAUACCUCUCCGACAAUCGGAGUGACAAAUCCUAAUCUUGAAAUACGCCAAAUCAACAUCGACCAUUGGAGACACCUGUAGUACUCCUUUAUAAUCACCCAGUUACGUUGUGACGUUUGGUAGUACCCAAAGUGUUCCUCCGGUAAACGGGAGUUGCAUAAUCUCAUAGUCAUAGGAACAUGUAUAAGUUAUGAAGAAAGCAAUAGCAACAUACUAAACGAUCGUGUGCUAAGCUAAUGGAAUGGGUCAUGUCAAUCAGAUCAUUCUACUAAUGAUGUGACCUCGUUAAUCAAAUAACAACUCAUUGUUCAUGGUUAGGAAACAUAACCAUCUUUGAUUAACGAGCUAGUCAAGUAGAGGCAUACUAGUGACACUUUGUUUGUCUAUGUAUUCACACAUGUAUUAUGUUUCCGGUAAAUACAAUUCUAGCAUGAAUAAUAAACAUUUAUCAUGAUUAUAAGGAAAUAAAUAAUAACUUUAUCAUUGCCUCUAGGGCAUAUUUCCUUCACUUAGAGUGGUGAUUUGCUUUAUUAUACUAACGGAUCUUACCGAGUUUUUUGUUGAAGUUUUGUGUGGAUGAAGUGUCUAAACGAGGAGGUCUCGAUAUGAGGAAAAGGAAGAGAGGCAAGAGCUCACGCUUGGGGAUGCCCGAGGCACCCCAAGUAAAUAUUCAAGGAGACUGAAGCGUCUAAGCUUGGGUAUGCCCCGGAAGGCAUCCCCUCUUUCUUCAACAAGUAUCGAUAUGUUUUCGUAUUCGUUUCGUUCGUGCGAUAUGUGCAAGUCUUGGAGCGUCUUUUGCAUUUAGUUUCCAUUUUUGUUUUAUGCACCAUGCUGGUAUGAGAUAUCCCUUGGUUGAUUUAUAGAAUUCUCAUUGCACCUCACUUAAAUCUUUUGAGUAUGGCUUUAUAGAAUGCUUGAUGUGCUUCACUUAUAUCAUUUGAAGUUUGGAUUGCCUGUUUCUCUUCAUAUAGAAAACCGCCAUUUGUAGAAUGCUCUUUUGCUUCACUUAUAUUUGUUAGAGCGUGGGCAUAUCUUUUGUAGAAAGAACAAACUCUCUUGCUUCACUUAUAUCUAUUUAGAGAGAUGACAGGAAUUGGUCAUUCACAUGGUUAGUCAUAAAAUCCUACAUAAACUUGUAGAUCGCUGAAUAUGAUAUGUUUGAUUCCUUGCAAUAGUUUUGCAAUAUAAAGGUGGUGAUAUUAGAGUUAUGCUAGUGGGUGAUUGUGGAUUAGUAGAAAUACUUGUGUUGAGUUUUGUGAUUCCCGAAGCAUGUACGUAUGGUGAACCGCUUUGUGAUGAAGUUGGAGCACAGUUUUAUUUAUUGAUUUUCUUCCUUAUGAGUGGCGGUCGGGGACGAGCGAUGGUCUUUUCCUACCAAUCUAUCCCCCUAGGAGCAUGCGCUUAGUACUUUGUUUUCAAUGGCUUGUAGAUUUUUGCAAUAAGUAUAUGAGUUCUUUACGACUAAUGUUGAGUCCAUGGAUUAUACGCACUCUCACCCUUCCACCAUUGCUAGCCUCUCUUGUGCCGCGCAACUUUAGCUGGUACCAUACACCCACCAUAUACCUUCCUCAAAACAGACACUAUACCUACCUAUCAUGGCAUUUCCAUAGCCAUUCUGAGAUAUAUUGCCAUGCAACUUCCAUCAUCAUCAUAUACAUGACUUGAGCAUUCAUUGUCAUAUUGCUUUGCAUGAUCGUAAGAUAGCUAGCAUGAUGUUUUCAUGGCUUGUCCAUUUUUUGAUGUCAUUAUUACACUAGAUCAUUGCACAUCCUGGUACACCACCGGAAGCAUUCAUAUAGAGUCAUAUCUUUGUUCUAGAUAUUGAGUUGUAAGUAAAUAAAAGUGUGAUGAUCAUCAUUAUUAGAGCAUUGCCCCAGUGAGGAAAGGAUGAUGGAGACUAUGAUUCCCCCACAAGUCGGGAUGAGACUCUGGACUUUAUGAAAAAUAAAAGAGGCCAAAGAAGCCCAAAUAAAAAAGGAGGCCAAAGAAGCCCACCAACAAAAUAUAAAAAAAAUAAUAUAAAAAGGAAAAAAAAUAGAGAGAAAAAGAGAGAAGGGGCAAUGUUACUAUCCUUUUACCACACUUGUGCUUUAGAGUAGCACCAUGUUCUUCAUAGAGAGAGUCUCCUAUGCUUUCACUUUCAUAUACUAGUGGGAAUUUUCAUUAUAGAACUUGGCUUGUAUAUUCCAAUGAUGGGCUUCCUCAAAUGCCCGAGGUCUUCAUGAGCAAGCAAGUUGGAUGCACACCCACUUAGUUUUCAGUUUGAGCUUUCAUACACUUAUAGCUCUAGUACAUCUGUUGCAUGGCAAUCCCUACUCACUCACAUUGAUAUCUAUUGAUGGGCAUCUCCAUAGCCCGUUGAUACGCCUAGUUGAUGUGAGACUUUCUCCUUUUUUGUCUUCUCCACAUAACCCCCACCAUCAUAUUCUUUUCCACCUAUAGUGCUAUGUCCAUGGCUCACGCUCAUGUAUUGCGUGAAAGUUGAAAAAGUUUGAGAUUAUUAAAGUAUGAAACAAUUGCUUGGCUUGUCAUCGGGGUUGUGCAUAAUUAAAUACUUUGUGUGAUGAAGAUAGAGCAACAGCCAGACUAUAUGAUUUUGUAGGGAUAACUUUCUUUGGCCAUGUUGUUUUGAAAAGACAUGAUUACUUUAUUGGUACGCUCGAAGUAUUAUUGUUUUUAUGUCAAAUGAUAGACUAUUGCUUUGAAUCACUCGUGUCUUAAUAUUCAUGCCAUGAUUAGACAUAUGAUCAAGAUUAUGCUAGGUAGCAUUCCACAUAAAAAAAA
rnacentral:lncRNA from 1 species